GUUUGUUCAUUUCAUCGAGAGCACCAUUCCAGAACCCCAAAAAAAAAAAAAAAAAAAGGAGCAAGGAAAAUUCAUCUAAAAAAAGCGAUUCCGUUCGAUUCAGUUGGCGAUUUCAAGCGUUCUGAAUUGAUCCCAGUGGCGGUCGCCCGCGUCAACAGCCUCUUCAAUGCCGCGACUCAUCUCCUUCGUUUCCCUUCCGCGGCCGAGAGCUUCGAAAUGUUAUCGUUCCGCUCGAAGCUUCUCCACCUGUUCAGGUUUCGAUCAUCGACACGUUCUAUAGCUUCUUUCAGUGAUUCGUGCGCCAAACCGCGGCCUCAGUCCACUUGAUUAACCGGGUAGCAUCUCCCGUUCUGUCGUCACAAGUAAGAGGCCGAGAGUCCGAUUCUCUUAUUAUGAUGAAAUUGAUCAUAGCUGACUUUUUUUUUCUUUGACUUCGAACAUCAUGUACUGAUUUAGGUUGAGUCUAGUUACAAAUUUGGGUUCGAAAUGGCUUUGAUCUGUUCCACAACCGAUUCACCACAAUCUGUUCGAUGAAAUGUGUCUGAGACCUUGGUGUGAAUUGAUUCCAGUAAUCGUCCGAUUUGAAAGCACAUUAGUGAUGUUCACUUGAUAUUGUUUGAUUUUUUAAUCUUUAGACAUGAUUACGAGUAUACACCAAUAGUUGCCAAGGAUUAAACUGACUCUCCGUUUGUUUCCUCGGUGGUUCCUGUGAUCUUUUGGUGAUUGGUGGUGGUUGGCGAGACGAGAAGGCUUGGAGUCACUGGCACACGCGUGAUCUUUGGGUGAUGAUCAUAGUACACCCUGUUGAACAGAAUUGAGAUGACGUCGCUGAGCAUGAAUCGCGAUCACGCCGAUUCAGAUCACUAACUUUGGGCCGACACAUGUUUCGGUCACUAACUGGAGCAAUGUUAUGGCUACUUGCUAGCCUUAUCGUUGCUGCUGAGUUGCCUCACAAUUUCCUCAACCGCCNNNNNNNNNNNNNNNNNNNNNNNNNNNNNNNNNNNNNNNNNNNNNNNNNNNNNNNNNNNNNNNNNNNNNNNNNNNNNNNNNNNNNNNNNNNNNNNNNNNNUCGUUGCCAUUGUAAUUGCUGUGGUAAACCUACCUUGCCAUACCGCCAUGCGUUACUGAUAUGGGUUGACGUACUGAUAGAGCUAUAUCCACUGCAUUUUGUUAAAAAUCGGAUCGCCUCAUACCACCGGCUUGUUUCUGGUCCAACUGAUUUUUAGAGUUGACUGUAUAUUCAGAUUUCCUUCACUCCUUUGUUUUUUAUGUUCAGGAUUUUGCGCAUCUUCUUAAACCGAAUCAUGGGAAAGCUAAGCGGUUCGAAGUCCAGUCGUCAUGGGGUCAAUACUUUGUCACAAAAUCAUCGCAGAUUACCUGCUUUGCCAUUCCUGUCUUGUCCUUUGGUUAUUGAUUACUCCACCUUCGUCAAUUUCAUUGUCCAGAAGCAGGUGCUAAAUCUGAGAACACCCACUAAAAUGAUAUUUUAUGUCUGUCGUCUACUUCCUGCUUUAUUCUCUGUGGAUGACAUAUUCUACUUCACACGUGCUGUCGAGGGAGAUCAUGGUCAACAAUCAAUAUGAAGUGAGCAAGUUGUAUUUACUCUCUGUCAUUAGUUGAUAAGCUUUUGGGUAUGACAAUCAAGGAAUGAAACCAGUUAGUAGCUUGCUCAGAAUUAGUAAAUGAGGAUUUAUUUCUUUCUUGGAAGUGUCAAUGCCAUCGCUUUGUCUCUGAUCGUGGAAAGAGUUUAUUGUUCUUUUUGAACUUGCAUAAAAAUCGAUGGAAUGCUUAUGAAGCAGUGAGAUACCCGGAAUUUACAAGUUUUAUGAAUUGGUGUGUCCUGUUGUUGCAUAUGCUGUAGUUUAGCGGUUAUUGUUCAUCUAUGUUUGCUGAACCGUUUGAUUUAUCACUUUCAAUUAACAAGAUUUUGAUAAAGACACGUGACAGUUGUGAGAGAUGCAUUGAAACUGGCACUUUGGUGAUGACAGUGCUCCUUCGAGUCACACUAUGUACUUGUUUUUAGGAAAAAUCAUUUAUGAUGUUGGAGAAGUGAAUAUGUGUUGAAGGUGCCAACCCCUUGUGAUCUUGGACCCACUCGUUGAAGAAAUGGAGAGGUAUAAACGUAAUUACUUUCCUUUUGAAGAAAUGAAGAGGUAUAAACGUAAUUACUUUCCUUCUCUUCGCAACAAUUCUGCCAUUCCCGUAGAAGUUCCAAGGGUACAAUGAGGUCACUUAAAAAUAAGAAAACAGAAAAUGGAGAAACAUUUUGAAUCGGAAGCAACUAAACUAGUGUUCUAUUAUGGUUUUCUCCUAAAAAAUGUGGUGCUUAGAACCAUUGAGAGAGAGCUUUCCGGAGUAAUGCUUACAACCGCGGCUGAUCAGUCAAAUAGCACAUUGGAAAAUGUACAGGACUAUGUUAAGCAGGGAGAACUAAGAUAGGUAUCCGCGUGCUUUAUUUUCUUUGCGCUUCCAGCUGAGUUGAAGCUAGAUGUAUAUAGUCGGCAUGCAUCUAUGAAAAAGUAUAUCUACAGUGUCAGAGUAAACGAGGUAGUCUGAUAAUUAUAAUGGAGGUAAUAUACAGUUUGCAGGCCCAGUAAUGGACAUGUGACGUUUGGCCAACAAAAUGAACAUACGAAGCACAAAACCAGAAACAAAAUCUUUCAUUGUCACCUGUCAGCACCGGUAAAAGCAUUACGCACCUGCAAACUUCAAACAUCUCACUUAACUGAGUCCAAACUCCAAAUCUUUGCAUGGAAAGUAGAAUUGGAUAACAAAAAUGUUCACAGCAUACAAAUAAGAGGGCGCAUGAAGCUAUUGCUUCAAUUUUGCUGCUGAAGAGCACCCCACUAAUUUCGGAAUCCUCUCUGCAACCGCAACUACCANNNNNNNNNNNNNNNNNNNNNNNNNNNNNNNNNNNNNNNNNNNNNNNNNNNNNNNNNNNNNNNNNNNNNNNNNNNNNNNNNNNNNNNNNNNNNNNNNNNNGUUUCCCAUCAAAAUUUGAUUCAUUAAGUCGAUGAAUGUAAGUGUCCCCAACGUAGUCCGAAAUUUGCUGCGUUCUUAAAUCUAGAGAAUAGCAAUAUUGUGUAUUUUUCCGACGGCUGGUCGCGUGCUUAUCUUUGCAUCUACAAAUCCAAAAAGGACAAGCUGUAACAAGACAGCCUACCAAAACACUAAAAUAUAGACCGAAGAUCACCAUACACCUUCCACAUCUUCCAAAACCACAUAUCAGACAAACCCAAAGAUAGAGCAAAUUGAGAUAGAGCAGAACGAAAGUAUUCUUCAGAGUCAGGUCACAGAUGGGCAUCCCUGAUGAUGUUGCAAUAUGGAGCCACAUAUGCGAUAAUGUUUAAUUCUUGCAAUCUGAUCAAGUAUGUGCCAUACUUAAAAUCUUUAGCAAUGUAAUUUAACCUUGCAAUAAAAUCAAAGGAAGACCCUUGGCACAUCACCAGCAUUGGAGAAUAUCAUAUUGACUUAUUUUAAACAUAAAGAUUGACAAAUCAAGGAAAGGUUAGUAAGCAUAUGUCUAUUGAUGGAUAUCCCAUGUGACACUUUUUCAUCUUUUGAUAUAUACUCAAGUUCAAAGUUACUUCUUUGCUACAAAUUUACAUGGAUGGAGCAUUAUCACAAUCAAUGGAAUAUAGCUUGAAAUGUGAAAAAUGACCAAGCACCAUCUUAUCUAAUAGCCAGAAGUUUGAGAUCAAAGAUCAGCACUUUGACAUCAUUAUGAUCACCUGUGUCAAUAAUGAGUACUUAAGUUCAACGCAUAAACUCAAUAAUUUAUGGUUGGCUAGUGCUAGUGCGAUCACCCUUGGACUCAUAAUAAAUUAGACACAACGGUGAUAGGACUAUUAGAUCAAAUAACCAUAAUGAGACACUGCAAAUAUUCUCGUAUCAGGGUAUAAGAAACAUAAAAAAAUAAGUCCAAGAAGCCACACUAUGGACCUAUUCCAAAUCAUCAGAAAAUGUCAUAAUCAAUUAAAGUGUUGAUAAAACCUCCAUAUAUAUUUUAAAAUUAACAAAACUAUCCAUGUUUGUAUUGAUCUUGGUAAUUGCAAAAAAGGCAUUUGUGUUUUAGGUACUAUCUAUGUCAAAAGGAUUCUUCUUGUCUAAAAAGAAAAUUAAAGAAACAAUGGAGAGUUGUGGACCUAAGCAAGUCCUUAAAAGGCUCAAGGAGGAAAUAUGCGAGAUAACCGCCCUGGGGUGGGAGUCCCUGCGCUGUCCUCCAUAUUCCCUCUUUGUCGGGAAGAUAAAGAUAAACAGGGAAUUUUGGGGCCUCUCGAUGGGGAAGGUAGACUUCACGUCAAAGCUUGCUUUGGCUACCGCCGGAUAGGGUGGUAUAGUCGAUACCCGCGUGUGGGGUGAGAAAGGGUGGGUGAAAUGCCCACUGCUGUGUCAGCAUGCCUUACGGCACGGUUCCCAACCAUUGGCUAACAUAGUACCCCUGGUAUAUGUGCGAUAUCAACAAGGCAACAGGCUAGAUAUCAGUAGAGUCCCACAAAAGCUAAGUAUAAGCAUGAAAUUGGUUUACAAGAUUAUUUUUCGAGACAUUUUAUCUCAUUUUUAACAACUUGUGAUUAGGUAUGAAUUGCCUCUUAAGGAAAUAUUGAUUGUCUAUCUCAGAGAUUGUCUUAGCAAAAGACUCAAUCUUGUAAGAUAUUUUGAUUGAUUGGCAAUCAUCUUCAAAGGCAAGUUUCUUUCCAUAGUAGAAGCGUUCUAUUUUUUAGAACCAAGGUUUAAUUGUAUAGGCGACCAAAUGAAAAAGUCACAUUUCAUAUUCUUCCCUAAAAUAUAUUUUGUUUUAUCUUUCAUAAUAUAAUCGUCAUUACUAUAUGCAUCUUCUUGUUUAUUUCUCAUAACGAAACGCAUAACCAAUACACUAUCGUCCUCAUGAACUACAUUGUCUACCACAUUAACAUGUCUUAUCUUAUUUUAUUUUAUUUUAUUUUGUAAAUUGAGGUAUUGCAUUAAACAUCUUAACAAAUUUUAUUCUAUUUAGGAAACAAAAAGUAACCAUUUGGUUAAGAUAAUAUAUUUAUGAUAGUGUAAUUGGUCAAGGUGGUGACAUUGUUCUAUAGUCAGUUCAUACUAUCCGAUCACUAAUGACAGCGACCUAUAACAAGGAUUGCUCAUUAAUUUUAUUUUCUAUAUUUUGUUAUUAAUUAAAUAUGCAAGUUCAGUUAGGUGUGCCGGAUCUUGACUUUCAAUAGAAGCUUCAUGUGCACUUGCUCGAAGAUUUAGAUUUAUGGAUUUUAUUGAUCACAUGUUGUUGGACGAUGUCAAUUACAAAGUUUGGAUUAUUUAAGGUUUGUGCCGAGAUGAUGUGGCAUUAACAUAUAUUCCCAAAUAUGAACCCAAGAUGCCAACAACUCAGGAAGGGCCAAGAGUUUGUGAAAAGGAAAAAGAAGGUUGACCAAAAUUAUCUUGUUUAGGUGGUGAGAUAGAUUUAACGUCAUGUAUAACUCAAUUAGUUGAUGAUUGUGUAAACAAGAUCGUCAUAAUCAUCCAAUUUGCCCAAACAAGGAAAAACAAAUGUUCUCAUAUUUACCAUCAAUCGAUUUUUAAUUAUCUCGAUAAUCUAAUAUCCAUAUAGUAGAUUCUUCAGAAUUGUUACUAUAUUAAAUAUGCUAAUAUGCUUGUAACUCCAUUCAAACUGGGAUAUGGAGCCUAACCCAAUUCCCAUCUUUAGUAAAAUAUUCACGUCUAAUUUUCAAAGGCCAUUAAACGGCAGAAAAGAAGUGGCUCUGCGUAGAGGGAUUGUAUUCUGGUUUUCUAAUAAAUUAGGUAUCUUCUUCAAAUUAUAUGCCAAUGAGUAUAUCAUUAUCAUUAAAUGCUGUCGUAAUCUACUUUAUUUAUUUAUUCACUAAAAUUAGUUGGUGGAGAAUACGCACCUUCCGCAUAAUGCUACGGAAAUAAUAAUCCAAGGAGUGACGUUUUUGUGAUUGACUCGUGUAUGCACCGGAAUCAUGGGAGUACUGCUAUGCGGGUUAGUUUUCUUUUCUAUUUCUCUUAUUAAAAUAACAGCAAAGUCAAGUCAACAAGCACGAGCAUAGGAUUCUUCCAUGCACCUCCUGCAAACUGCUGUAGAAAUUACGCGUGCAUUGAUUGACCUGUGGAAAUUGGUUUUGGUGAGAAUUGAUGGUUGGUCUUCAUUUCUACUUCUUUAUUAGUAGAAAAAGCAAGUCAAGUCAAAAAGUGUAGGAUGGUCCCUGCGCCUGCUGCAAAAUGUAGUGGAAAUUACGCGGGCAAGAGUCGCCCUAGGGUUGUGUUUUCUAUUUCUCUUAUUGAUACAAAAGGCAAGGCAAGUCAAGUCAAGGUCUUGCUCGCUUUGGAUGAAUAAAAUGUUUAGAAAUAAAAUAUCAUUAACAUUGGAAAUAUUUUUUUAUUAAUUAAUUAUUUUAAUAAAUAUAAAUAAUCAUUUUUAAAAUAUAUUUUAAAUGAUAUAAUGACAUUAUUUUUUAUUAAUUAAUUAUUUCAAAUAAUACAAGUAAACAUAAGAUUUUUUGUUUCGAGAAUUCACUUGCAUUUCUCUAAAAACUUAAUCAAUAAAAAAUAUUUUCAUUAUCAAUGAUAAUUUAUAUUUAAAUAUUUUCAUGAAUAAUUCAUUUAUUAAUUUUAGUAAGUAAUAUAAAUGAUUAUUUUUAAAAGAAUAUUUUUUGAAGUAUUUAUGUUUUCUAGAACAAACGCAUUCUAGAAGCUCCAAACAAAUGUUAAACUGAUGUGAUGAAGUAUUAAGGUGCCCUAUCAAGGGCCCCAACGUGAAAUCCUCGAAGUUGCCAUACCGCUUGUACGUAUCAAAGAAACUCAAAAAAAUCUACCCAGACUGAUACGAACUAGACAAACUGGUGGACUAGAGAGAGAGAGCCAUGUAAGAUGAACUAAAGAUAAGGAUGGAAUCUUGAACACCCAAUGAAACAAGAGAUACAGAUAUCACAAGAUAAGGCUCAAAAUUCAUUUAUAAUAUGUUUCGUGGUGUGUUUAGGCUAUAGACGGGUCAUGUCUUUCAUUCUCAUUGGAUGCGCAGGAAUCCAAUAUCCUAAUAUAUUAUAUAGGUGCGUUUCAAAGGUUGUGGUCUCCAAAUAUGCAAACAUUUUCUUUUUUCUAAUAAGGUGCUAAUUUGUCUAAACCUUAAUGCGAGUGGAAAUCCAUCACUGACCUCGCCAGUAUUUUGCAUGAUCUAAUUUCAAAUGGUAGAAGAUUAAUGGGCAAGUUGAGCCUAGAAAUCCUUGCCCAAGAUCGAUCAUGAAUAUAGAAUAGGAAAAUACUACCAACCCCAGGUCUAUUUGGAGAGAAUUUAUCUUUUGUUUUUUCAUAAAUCUUUUUUUAGUUUUUGCCGCACUCUUAGUUUAAUAUUCCUUAAUUUUAUGCAAUUAAAAUAUUUGCACUCACAUUAAGGACCCAAUUGCACUAUCACUUGAAUUAUUUUCCUAAAAUUAACUAUUUAUAUCAUUUAAAAUAAUUAUUUAAAAAUAUUUUAAUCAAUAAAAAAUAUUUUAUUAUCAAUGAUAAUUUAUAUUUAUAUAUUUUGCAUUUUUUUAAAAAGCGAGCAAGACUUUGACUUGACUUGUCGUGCCUUUUCUAUGAAUAAGAGAAAUAGAAAAGAAAAUCAAAGGGCAAUCAUCAUUGCCCGCGUAAUUUCCAUUGCAUUUUGCAGAGGUACCAGGGACGGGUGGGACCAUCCUCUGCUUCUGGACUUGACGUACUUUUUCUACUGAUAAAGGAAAUAGAAAUGAAAACGAACAAGCAAUUCUCCUCCAUCUAAUUUCCACAGGGCAAUCAACUGCGUGCGUAAUUUUCACAGCAAUUUGCAGAAGGUGCGUGGAACCAUCUUGUGCCGGUGCUUCUUGACUUGACUCUGCAUUUUUCUGUUAAUAAGAAAGAUAGAAAAGAAAACUAACCAGCAUAGCAAUGCUCCCGUGCUCCUGAUGGCAAUUUAAACAAGUUAAUAAAAAAAAAUCAUUUGUCAGAUUAUUAUUUUUGUGGUAUUAUGCGGAAGGUACGUACUUUCCACCAACUAAUUUUAAUAAAUAAAUAAAUAAAAUAGAUUGCGAUAGCAUUUAAUGAUGAUGGUUUGCUUAAUGGCUUAUAGCUUUGAUGAUGGGGUGCACUGAAAAGGAAAAUUAGAAAUUUGUUUCUUUUUUCUUUCAUCAAUCUUUCUUUUAUCUAAAUAAAUUACUAACUCAGUCAUGUAUAUUUUCAGAUGAUGAGGAAACCCUUCCAAUUUCCAUUACUCAUUCAAAUAAUGAAAGUUUCGCUCAUUUCCUCUAGAUAUUUUGCCUCCCAAGCAAGUAAAAGUCCAUGACCUCACUAAUUCCAUCAAUUAUUGCUACACUUCUCGAUCCUCAAAAGAGUCUGAACCAAUGUUUAUCAUUUGUCUAGAUAACUUCUUGAUCCUCAAAAGAGUCUGGACCAAUAUUUAUCAUUUGUCUAGACAACUUAUAUAACUAACAAACUUUUCUCCUCCUAGAUAUCUAGGAUUUCUAACUUUUUUUCUUUUCCUCGGGGAGGGAUUCGCCCAUCGGUGACGCCCACCAAUUAUUAGAAGCAUCGUUAGGAAAAAAAUAAAUGCACCCUACUAUGCGACAAAGUUACAUUCCAUAUUCUUCCUUAAAAUAUAUUUUGUUUUAUCUUUCACAAUAUAAUUAUUAUUAAUCCAUCAUUUGUUUUUUUUUUCAUAACUAAACACAUAACCGGUACGAUGUCGUCCUCAUAAACUACAAUAUGCAUCAUAUCAUAAUGUCUUGUUACGUUUUUCUGUUUUUUUAUUUUUAUUUUCGUUUGUAAAUUGAGGUAGUGUAUUGAACAUCAUUUAGUUAUGGUGAUAUAUUUUAAUAGUGUGAUUGGUCAAGGUCGUGAUAUCAUUGUAUAGUUAGUCCGUACUAUUCAAAUGCUAAUGAUAGAGACCUGUAACGAGUAAUGCUCGUUAAUUUUCUUUUAUAUAUUUUGUUAUUGAUGGAAAAUGCAAAUCCAAUCAAGUGAGCUGGAUCUUAGAUUUCCAUCGAAGCAUCACUUGCACUUGCUUGAAGCUUCAAGUCUAUGGAUUUAAUUGUUUGCAUGUUGUUGUAGGAUGUCAAUCGCAAAGUUUGGAUUAAUUAAGGUUUUUAAAGAGAUGGUUCGGCAUUAACAUGUAUUCCCAAAUAUGAACCCAAGAUUCCACGAACUUGGGUGGGGCCAACUACAAUGUCUUGUGAGUUUGUGAAAAGGAAAAAAGAACAUUUGAUCAAAAUCAUAUUGUUUACGUCAUGAAAUGGAUUUAACAUAAUGCAGUAAAUCAAUUAGUUAUUAAUCGUGCUAACAAGAUCGUCAUAAUUGUCCAACUUGCCCAAGCAAGGACAAACAAAUUUUCCCGUAUUUACUAUCACUUCAUUUUUAAUUGUCUCGAUAAUCAAAAAUACAUAAAUUGUAGAUUCUUCACAAUUGUUACUAGAUUAAAUGUGCUAACAUGCCUAUAGCUCCAUCCGAACUUGAACAUAGAGUUUCACCCGAUUCCUCUCUUUAAUAAAAUUUCCACAUCUAAUAUUCAUUCGGCAUUAAAUAGUAGGAACAAAGUAGUUCUAUGCACAAAUGUGAUGGUCGUAUUACGAUUUUAUGAUAAAAUAGGUAUCUUCUUCAAAACUAUAUGUCAAUAUGCAUACCAUCAUCAUUAAACGCUACAGAAAUUUACUUUUUUUUUCUUUAAUAAAAUCAGGGAGAGAGAGAGAGCGCAUUAUCGCAAUCUGCACAAUCGGAAUUGAUUGUUGCUUUUCGGUUCUAUUUCUUUAUUCACAAAAAAAAAAAGUAAGUCAAGUCAAAAAGCAGACGUACCUUCGAUGAUGCUGGUGUGCAAUAAUUAUCCUGUCCGCAGCACGCGACUUGGAUCGUUGGAUGGCACAUUUAUCCUACAGAGAGAGAGAGAGAGAGAGAGAGAGAGAGCAUUAUCGCAAUCUACACAAUCGGAAUUGAUUGUUGCUUUUUGAUGCUAUUUCUUUAUUCACAAAAAAAAAAGUGGGUUGAGUCAAAAGGCACACGUACCUUCGCAUUAAUGCUGGUGUGCAAUAAUUAUCCUGUCCGCAGCACGUGACUUGAGUUGUUGGAUGGCAACUCAGCAUUAUGUGCUCUUUUGGACAGAUCUCCUUGGAAAGAAAAAAAAAGAAGAGUAGAUUUUUGAUUGAAAAUAAUAAAUUAUCCUUAUUCGAAUAUCUAAAAAAGUGUCGUACUGACAUUUAUGUUAUAAUAUGUUUUUGUGAUUGACUCAUGUCUAUUAGUACUGGCAGCAUCGGAGUCUUGCUGGUUAGUUUUCCUUUCUUUUUCUUUUAUUAAAAGUUUAAAAAGUAAGUCAAGUCAAAAAGCACUCGCAUAGAAUGGCCCCACGCACCUCAAGGUUCCAGUACCUACCGCGUAAUGACGCAGGUACCAUCAAACAACAAUUUCUUUCAUUUUAAGUACUUAAAAUGAAAGAAAUUCAGUACUAAAAAAUUUCAGUAAUUAUUUUCCAGUUUUAUCUAAACGGGCAUGUGCUCGCCGCUUAAUUUUCACAAAUGAAUAAAGUUCAGUGUUGGCCAAAAAAAUAAAAGAUUGAGUGAAGUUGAAAAUCGAGUUAUGACACGUAAGGUUCGACUUGAAAUUACCAAUGCAAUCAUUUACUUUAAGCCAUUAGAGUACAAUGCUAAAUACAUUUUAGAUCUUAACAAAUUAUUUGGUUUGAUUUCUAGCUUUUUCUUAACAACGAAGCAUAGAUCAAGUAUGUUAAUCCACAUAUCAACAAACUCUCCAUUUAUGCAAAAUAUUGGGCAAGACAUAAUCUCCAAAUACAAAAGAGUUUAUGCUUACAAAUAUGAGGAACCAACACAUAUCGCGUGGUUAGUUUUCGUAUACUAAUUUUUACUUUAUAUUCCCUCACGCCUCUCAUAGUUGAACUUAAAAUUACUUAAAAGAUUCAAAAUAUUCAUAUAUCGUCACAUAGAUAAUUAUACAUUCAUGUUUGUAAUUUAACUUAAAGAAUGUACAUAUUUAAAAUAUUUUAAAUGUAAAACAUCAAAUAUAUUUUUAAGUGCAACCUAAAUUUUUAUCAAAGGGCGGCAUACCAAAAAUUUUCUUCUAUUUUGAAAGAGGUAAUGCGCCUCAUUAGUCAUUAGAGAAAAAGGCCAAAACAUGGAGCCGCGGCCACCUCAGCCAGCGCUGUCGAGGAGUGUAGCAUAUUCCCAUCUCAUUUUUCAAAAGCCAAAAGAAAUUGCUCCGAAAGUCCAACCCCAAAGUCGCGUCGGUCGGGGAGAAGGCGGGAACUUGCUCGGACCGCGCGCCACGGGAGCUCGAGGGGGCAAUUCAGUACAUUCGGAGCGGCCGAAGAUAUCCUCGAGGUGCGAGGUGGGGACCACGCGUGGGCUUCGGUUUCUGAGCAGCUGACCGUCGUAGCGGUCAAGCAAAGUGGAGAGGAGGAGCGACGUGGGUCCGCUUUAAGAGACAACUUAGGCAGAAUCCACGAAGCAAAUGUCUACUCUGUUUCGUGGAUAAAAGGUUCUGGGACAGUCGGACGGCAAUAACUCAGCAUCGUUUAAGCAAGUAGGGGAGAGUGUUGAGUGUAGUUAAUCCGAGGUCGAAGGGUGAGAACCGGCAGAGAUCACAGCAGUGGGUGGAUUGUGUUGUUUGAGCACUCCUAGGUAAUCGAUUCCUCCAUUUUCUUUUGAUGAGUUUCGAUUUGAGUUCUUAGGGACAUUUCUGCAUUCCGAGAUCUGAACUGUGAAAUCUAGCCCUUUUUUUAAAGGCUUUGCUCGAUAAAUCUCUUAUUUGGUCAAAUCACACUUUAUUUUUGUUUGAAUGCAGCUACGAAUUGAGCUCUGACAAACAUUUCAGCAAUUCCCAUACGUGGGUUUCCAUAUUUCUCUUCACUAUUUCCUGGUUUCCUUUGAGGCUCUGCUCCAUCAAUCUCUUUCACCGUCUUUGUAGGUGAUGACGGCAGCGGAGCCUAAAAGAUUCGAUAUGUGGGGCGUCUUCCUUUCUGUUUGAAUUUAGCUACAAAAUGAACUCUGACUGACAUUUCAGCAAUUCCCGAAUCUGGGAUUCCGUAUUUCUCUUUGUUUGCUGCUUUUCUUCGAGGCUCUGCUCCAUCGAUCUCUCCAUUUCCUUUAUAGGUGAUUACAAAGGCGGAGCCUAAAAGAUUCGAUAUGUGGGGACAUUCAGAAGAUCCCAAUUGCGGGGCUUCUUCCUCAUCGACUUCUACACCUGUAGGUGAUUAUGAAGGCAGAACCAAAAAGAUGAAAAGAAAUGACUACGAAGUGUUCUUGAGCUUUAGAGGGAAGGAUACUCGCAACGGUUUCACCGAUUAUCUCUAUAAUAGUCUUGUCAAUGCAGGAAUUCAUGUGUUCAGAGACGACAAUGAGCUUUGCGUUGGUGAGGAGAUCGGACCGGAACUUCUCCGCAGUAUUACACAAUCUAAGAUCUCCAUCCCGAUUAUCUCAGAGGACUAUGCUUCCAGCAAAUGGUGCCUUCGUGAGUUGGCUCUUAUGUUGAAUUGCAAGAGAAACAAAGGGCAAAUGGUGUUGCCCAUAUUUUACAAAGUGGAACCUUGGCAAGUGAAGCAUCUCACAGGGAGAUUUGGAGAUGCUAUCAAUACACAUAAAAAGAAUUUGGAAGAAAAGAUUGUGAAGGAAUGGGAAGAAGCACUCAAAGAAGUCACUUCCUUGAAAGGAUUGGAAUCGGAGAAAAUUGAUAAUGGGUAUAUUAUUCUCUACCACAACAUUGUUUACUUUCUCAUAACUAGAUUUUACUUGAAAAAUAAUACGAAUAUUUUCAUCAUAUAUUGAAUUUUUUAUUGUUGUUCGACAGGCGUGAAGGAACAUUGGUUAAAAUAGUUGUCAGAAAAGUUAUGAGUAAGUUAAAGGAAUUGUUUUUGCUAAAUGUUCCCAAACAGUUGGUGGGAAUUGAUGAUCAUGUGGAGGAUAUUAUGCACUUCAUAGAUGCUAAAUUUAACGAUACAAGUAUUAUCGGAAUCUAUGGAAUGGGCGGCAUCGGUAAGACAACUCUUGCGAAGGUAUUGUACAAUAAGCUUUUAAGUCAUUAUGAAUCUCAUAGCUUUGUGGCGGAUAUCCGAGAAAAAAUUAAGCUAAAGGGUCUUGAAUGCAUGCAAAAGCAGCUCAUUUCUGACAUAAGUGGAGGCUUAUGUGAUGUGUCUAGUGUCGAUCACGGAAUCAGUAUCCUUAAAUCUCGAUGUAUAAGUAAGAAAGUACUCAUUCUUCUUGAUGAUGUGGAUGAUAAUACUCACCUGAAUGCUUUGGUCGAAGACGGUAGUUGGUUUAAAGCUGGAAGUAUGAUCAUCAUCACCACUAGAGACGAGAGUAUUCUUGACAAGGCUGGGGUAAGACACAAGUAUCAACUCAAUGGGUUGCUUUCAGAGCAAUCAUUGGUUUUAUUUAGCAGACAUGCAUUUCGAACGGAUUCUCCUCCGAGUGAUUAUUGGGUUAUCUCUCGUGAUAUCGUAUCUACUACUGGGGGGCUUCCUUUAGCUCUUGAAGUUAUUGGUUCAUUCUUAUGUGGAAAGAAAAAAGAAGCAUGGAAAGCUACAUCAAAAAAAUUAGAGAAAGUGCCUCAUAAGAAAGUGCAAGAGAAGUUGAGAAUAAGUUAUGACGCAUUAGAUUUUGAGGACCAGCAGAUUUUUUUGGAUAUUGCAUGUUUUUUUGUCGGAUCAUCUAAACAAAAUCCAACUUACAUGUGGGAUGCCUGUGGUUUUUUCCCGGGAAAGGGGAUUGAAGUAUUGAAUCUUAUGUCCCUAAUUAAAAUUACUGAUGAUGGCGAGCUAAUGAUGCAUGAUCAGCUGAGAGAUCUUGGAAGGGAAAUUGUUCGUCAAGAAAAUCUAAAGAAGCCUCAAAAGCGUAGUAGACUGUGGGAAUAUGAGGAUGGCAUAGAUGUGCUUCUCAACAACAAGGUAAGAGUUUUUCUCUGCUUGUCUUAAUCGUCGAAUGUGAGCCCAUCUUCUCUUUCUUGUUUAAAAUAAUAAUUAUAGUCAAUCAUGAGUCCCCAAAACUGGUUGCGUCUACUGGCAAGAGGGCUCUUUUAAUUAAUUGUACUUCUUGUCGGACUUUAGGACAAAAUUGAAGAGCAAUUUCUUGGUUAUUAGUAACUAAUAUUUUUAACUAGUAAAAUUGUGAUGAGGAUACUCUCCUUUUGCUAGCUUCAAGAAAAAACAAAGCUACAAAUUAAUGUUCGAUAGAGCACUUUUAAAGAAAAUCGAAUAUCUAUAAAUUGUUGGGGCCAUGCUUUCCCACAUUUUUGUUUGGUGCACAGGUUGAUGUUUGGAUUCUUAUAUUGAUUUCUUUUAAGGUAUUUUCUUUCUUUUUUCUUUUAACAAGUACCGACUUCUUAAGAGUUUGCUACGAUGAAUGAGACCAUUCAUUAAUGAUGAUUAGCUAUCCCGAUUCUUGAAUUUUUCAAGUUGGGUAAAGUAUAGAUUUAGUCCCUCAAGUAAUACUAUUUGUAAGAUUUAAUCCCCUUUCUAUUUUUUGCUCAAUAUCAUUCUCCAUCUUUCACAGUUUGUGCAAUCAAGUCCUUUGUAGUCAACCGUAAAUGAACAUGGUCAAUUUGUUGAUGUGACUUUCAUAAACUAUAAAUAAAUAUGGUUAUAAUUAAUAUAAAUCCUAGUUAUAAUUAGAAAUCUAACAUUGAUAGAGUGACUUGGAAAAAAAGACAUGAAUUUUGGGAAUAACUAUUACUACGAGUAAAUAUUGUAAUAGACUAUAAUAGCCAUUACGGUAAUGAAACGUGCUCUAAUAAUCUAAAUGCAUGUAAUAAUACAUUGCUACAUAAUGUGUAUGUAACUAAGGGGUAGUAUAUGUGUACAACUAAACAGUAUAUAUUAUGCGGUAAGAUCUUUAGUUCAAAGUAAGAUGUUAGGAAAAAAAAGUAGAAAUUUUCCAAUAAACAGGAUUAAUAAAGCGAUAAAUACUUUACUUAGAUUUUUAACACUCAAAAUACUAUAAGCUUUUGCUUCGUACUCUAAUCUUAAUAUCUCGAUCUUCUCUAAUAGUCUCAAACUUGACCAAUUUGCAAUAAUUAAAGGUGGUCAAGGACUUACACUGAUGAUCUAAAUUGCAAUACUAAAGACAUCUAGAAUCGACUUAUAGGAAACUCCAUCAAACACAAAGGGAAUGCUCUAUCACUUUGAUCCAUAUCUCUCUAGCUCUUCCCAUUUAAUGUCUUCCGGUUGGUUUGAGGAAUGAACUGGACACGUGUCAAAUGAUUGGUGAAAUAAUUGGUGAAGCAAAAAUUCCCAUAGCACACUCAUGCAACUCACCAUCUCACAUUCUUCUUCUGAUCUGUGCAUUUUUUUCUUUUUUCUCUCUUUUGAAAGCUCCUUCACAAAAGUUAGUCUAAUCAUAUUGAGUUUAUCACAAUAUUUACAUUCUACUUAAUCCUUGAAAAUACGAGUUAUUACCUUACAGUAGACUUCUGCUACUAUUACAAUCUACAACACUUGAAAAAUAGAGAAUCUAAAUAGUCUUUUCUUGCAUUAUAAAGGAGAUAUUAUAUAAAGAAGUUAUCGCCAAAAAAAGAAGAGUAAAAGAGGUUGCAUAAAGAUGUGUUAUUAAGAAAUAAAAAUAAAGAAGUGGAAAGACAAAGGGAAGUAACUAAGGAAUACUAAUAGAUAGUAAAAUAAUGUAUCGAAGAGGACGCACUAUGGAUGUUCAUUCAAUUAGUAUAUUAUAAAUAAUUAGUAUAUUGUGCUAAUUAGUAUAUUAUAAAUAAUUUUCAACAUAAUAAGUGAUAAUGAGUUAUCAAGAUAACAUAAUCACUAUUUCAUCAACUAUUUACCAUUUUUAUUUCAUAUUUUCUAUGUCAAUGAUAUAAUAAGUGAUCAAGAUAACAAAUAUUCAUGAUCUUGACAAUUUCAUGGAAGAAUAGUUAUUACGAUAUCUCUGUAUACAUAGACAUAUCUGAAAAUUAAUUCCCAAGUCACAAUUUCUAUGAAAAGUGUUUAAAAGAAUUUUUAGAGGUGAAAUUGUGGAUUUGUUUACAACAUUAUAAUAUAUAUUGGCAAUGAUAUAUUUUAACAAUACUUUUAUAAUUUUAUUUGAGAGCUAUGUAUUCUCAACAAAAUAUAUAUUAAUAAAGUUAUUUCUCAAUACCAUAAUCAUAAAAAUUUUAAUGUUGAAGUAUUAUCUAAACUAAAAUUUUUAACAUGAUACUUGUUAAACUUGGUUAAAUAUUUCAACCAUACAUACAUGACCUUUUUCUUUAUAUAGAGGAUGAGUGAUGAAGUGACUUUUUAGUUACAACAUUUUUAAAUAUUUAUAGAAGAAUGAUAAUUAGUAAUAAAACUAAACAAUUUCACAAAUGUAUGCUGGCACAGAAGUGAUAUUAACAUAAUAUAAUUAUUCUUCAUGUCCAAUCUAUCUCUUAGCAAGAUCUCAUUAAUUUAUGGGCAAAAUUGAUCAUAAAUAUUAGAUGACUGUUAUUUCUUUGUAACAAAAUCAAAAUGAAAUGAAAAGUUAGCAUCAAACAUAUAUAGUAAUAAAAAGAGAAGUGAAAAUCAUGCAUAUAACUUGUUGAAGAAACACAUGAUAAGAAAGGAAUGUAAAACAUGUGUGUACUUCUUGGGAUGGAAUUCUUAUUUUCAUUUUGCUAUCGAGAAUUGUAAACAAGGUAUGAAAGAAAAAGAGGGGAAUUCUACAAUUGGGAUUCUUUAGUAUUGAUACAUGCUUUGACAGUAAAUUUGAUAUAUGCAUUUGAAGUUUUGAACUGUAAGAGACAUGUUGUUUCACAUAUAAAGGAUAUGAGUUAGUUUGUUAUUUCCCAUAUAUAGGGCACGGAAUUUUCAAGUGAUGUUUUCUUGAAAAGAGGCCUUCUAUAUUAAUUUUGAAAGGAUGGGAAUUUGGGGAAUUUAAAAGCUGCAAAUUGUGAAGGGCAUAAUUGGAAGAGGAAAAGUUUGGGAAGACCCUCUAGAGGUUCACAUUUUUACAUGGAUUACCACAACCUGUCAUGUCAUGAUAGUACGACAACAAAUUUGAAAUCAAUACAUUUUUUCUCAUAUAUAGUUGCUUUCAACCCAUUAUUCAAAACAACGAUUUACAAUGUUGCCUAAUUGCAGGGCACUAGUAAAAUUGAGGCCCUGCGUCUUGACUUCGAUAAUGGGAGAGAAAGUUACACGGCUGAGACAUUUAAAGAAUUGACCAAAUUGAGGAUACUUCAACUGGAAGGUGUGAAUCUCACUGGACAUUUUCAGAACUUGUUUCCUCAACUAAGAUUGCUUGAGUGGAUGGAUCAUCAACCGGAUUUUGAAUUGACCAACUUUCACCUGAAGAAAUUAGUCGUGCUCGAUUUGUCGGGGGGCGAGACUUCAGAGAACUGGGGAGGAUGGAGUCAACUAAAGGUAAAAUGUAGAAAAGGCAUAUCUCUUAUAAAUAAUCACGUGUUGUCGAUGGGCCCAAUUGCACCAAGUUAUCCUUUAUUUCUUCUGAAAAUAUAUAUUAUGGAUUUUCCUCUAAGCAUAAGAGGAAUUUAUAGGCACCUAAAUAUGUCAAAAGUUUCUACCCCUUAAUAUUUUAACAAGCUAGUCAUGCUUAACGUUAGUCCUACUAAUAAAAGCUUUUUUAAUCGUAUUAAUUAACAUCUAUCAAAAAUAUAAUUACAAUAAUGUGCCCAUGUUAAUUUUAAUCUAAAUGGUUUAUGGCUUCUAGUUAAUUUCUCCCCAUGCAAAAGUAUGUCUUUUUAGCAAUUCUUGUUAUAUGUAUGUAUGUAUCUUCUUUCAUGGAGAUGCAAAGAUCCUCACAGUGACUUGUGUUUUACAUACAUACUAAACUUCUAAAUUCAUUGUUACUUUUAGAGUAAUGGAAAUAAUUUGUGAACUACUCUGACUUGUUGCGCACAAUAAUUAUUCAUUAUUAUUGUUGAUUGUUGAAGUCACCGUACAACACAUUAUAAAGUAGUAAUGUUAUAUGAGUAAUACAACACUUUUUUAUGUCUUGUACAUAUAGCAUUUUAAAAUUGUUUUUCAUAAUUACAGUAGCCAUUUCUCUUUAAUUUCAUACUAAUUGAAGGAAAACACGGCACCAAAUGCAUGCAUUUAAUUUCUGCCAUUUGUUGUCAUCUGUAAUUUGAUAAUAAAAUUUGUGUAUCUCUAUUCAAUAAAUAACAACAUAGUCAUAACUUCGAAAAACUAAAUAUGAUAUUUUCUAAGAAAUUUUAUUUACAAAAAAUUGUAGAUAGCACUCAUACAUCCCUAACAUUGUCUUCGCAAUGAUAUGCUUAAAAACAUUUAUAUGCCAGCUUAGCCGAAUAUACUAUUGAAAAGAAAUAUUUAAAAUUAAAUAAGAUAGCUGUGUAAGAGUAGGGAGCAUAGGUUUUGUUUUUUUGUCCAAUCUCAAAGUGGUAACCUCUUUCUUUCAGAUAGCAACCGAGCUCAAAGUUCUCAACCUUUCGAAUUGUGCUUUAAGAACAACUCCCGACUUGUCCGCUUUCAAGAGCUUGGAGAUUUUGAUACUUGAAGCUUGUGAGGAUCUAAAAGAGAUUCAUCCUUCUAUCGAGGACAUCGAGACCCUUGUCUCCUUGAAUGUCAGUGAUUGUUGGCAACUGAUGGAGCUACCGCUAGGAGUAGGUAGAAUGGAAAAUUUGAGCAAGCUUCUUAUAAAUGGCACUAAUAUACGAGAGAUUCCUAUUUCAAGAGGUUGUUUGACAAAGCUGGAGACUCUAAAUGCCUCAAAUUGUAGACGGCUUACUCAACUUCAAGAAUCCUGGGGCUCCCUUAUGUCGUUAACUCAACUAAACCUAAAUGAAACAGAAAUUGAAGAACUACCUGAAUCUAUUGGAUCAUUAAAGAAGCUCAAGACUCUAAAUACCUCUGAUUGUGCAUCGUUAACCUACCUACCCAACUCAAUAGGCGAUUUAGCAUCUCUAUGUUGCCUUGACCUAAGCAAUUGCCACAAGCUUGCUCAACUUCCAAACUCCAUAGGCUCCCUCGUGUCUCUAUCGCAAUUAUUGUUGUCGGGAUGCCACUCGUUGAGACAAAUUCCAGACUCGAUUGGAAAGUUGACAUCAUUAACUGAGCUGCAUUUGAAAUCUACAGCCAUUGAAGAAUUACCUGAAUCCAUUAGUUCUUUGAAGGAGCUCGAGACUCUAGAUGUCUCUUAUUGCAAAUCGUUAGCCCGCAUACCCAACUCAAUAGGCAAUUCAACAUCUCUGUCUCACUUUGACCUAACAGGAUGCCAUAAACUGGUUCAACUUCCAGACUCUAUAGGCUCAUUCGUGUCUCUACAACAGUUGUUACUGUCGGGAUGCCACUCGUUGAGACAAAUCCCAGACUCGAUCGGAAAGUUGACGUCAUUGAUUGAGCUGCAUUUGAAAUCUACGGCCAUUGAAGAAUUACCUAAAUCCAUUGGUUCUUUGAAGGAGCUCAAGACUCUAGAUGUCUCUUAUUGCAAAUCGUUAGCCCGCAUACCCAACUCAAUAGGCAAUUCAACAUCUCUGUCUCACUUUGACCUAACAGGAUGCCAUAAACUGGUUCAACUUCCAGACUCUAUAGGCUCCUUCAUGUUUCUAAAGCGGUUGUUACUGUCGGGAUGCCACUCGUUGAGACAAAUCCCAGACUCGAUCGGAAAGUUGACGUCAUUGAUUGAGCUGCAUUUGAAAUCUACGGCCAUUGAAGAAUUACCUAAAUCCAUUGGUUCUUUAAAGGAGCUCAAGACUCUAGAUGUCUCUUAUUGCAAAUCGUUAACCCGCAUACCCAACUCAAUAGGCAAUUCAACAUCUCUGUAUUGCCUUGAUCUAACAGAAUGCCAUAAACUUGCUCAACUUCCAGACUCUAUAGGCUCCCUGGUGUCUCUACAGCGGUUGUUAUUGUCGGGAUGCCACUCGUUGAGACAAAUCUCAGACUCGAUUGGAAAGUUGACAUCAUUGAUUGAGAUGCAUUUGAAAUCUACGGCCAUUGAAGAAUUACUUGAAUCCAUUGGUUCUUUGAAGGAGCUCGAGACUCUAGAUGUCUCUUAUUGCAAAUCGUUAGCCCGCAUACCCAACUCAAUAGGCAAUUCAACAUCUCUGUCUCAUUUUGACCUAACAGGAUGCCAUAAACUGGUUCAACUUCCAGACUCUAUAAGCUCAUUCGUGUCUCUACAACAGUUGUUACUGUCGGGAUGCCACUCAUUGAGACAAAUCCCAUACUCGAUCGGAAAGUUGAUAUCAUUGACUGAGCUGCAUUUGAAAUCUACGGCCAUUGAAGAAUUACCUGAAUCCAUUGGUUCUUUGAAAGAGCUCAAGACUCUAGAUGCCUCUUUUUGUGCAUCGUUAAUCCGCAUACCCAACUCAAUAGGCAAUUCAACAUCUCUAUGUUGCCUGUCCUAAGCAAUUGUCGAAAGCUUGCUCAACUUCCAAACUCCAUAAGCUCCCUCGUGUCUCUAUCGCAAUUGCUGUGUCGGGAUGCCACUCGUUGAGACAAAUCCCAAGCUCGAUCGGAAAGUUGACAUCAUUGAUUGAGCUGCAUUUGAAAUCUACGGCCAUUGAAGAGUUGCCUGAAUCCAUUGGUUCUUUGAACAAGCUCAAGACUCUAGAUGUCUCUUAUUGCAAAUCGUUAGCCCACAUACCCAACUCAAUAGGCAAUUCAACAUCUCUGUCUCGCCUAGACCUAACAGAAUGCCAUAAACUUGCUCAACUUCCAGACUCUAUAGGCUCCUUUGUGUCUCUACAGCGGUUGUUAUUGUCGGGAUGCCACUCGUUGAGACAAAUCCCAGACUCAAUCGGAAAGUUGACAUCAUUGAUUGAGAUGCAUUUGAAAUCUACGGCCAUUGAAGAAUUACCUGAAUCCAUUGGUUCUUUGAAGGAGCUCAAGACUUUAGAUGCCUCUUAUUGUGCAUCGUUAGCCCGCAUACCCAACUCAAUAGGCAAUUCAACAUCUCUGUCUUGCCUUGACUUAACAGAAUGCCAUAAACUUGCUCAACUUCCAGACUCUAUAAGCUCCCUCGUGUCUCUACAGCGGUUGUUAUUGUCGGGAUGCCACUCGUUGAGACAAAUCCCAGACUCGAUCAGAAAGUUGACAUCAUUGAUUGAGCUGCAUUUGAAAUUUAAGGACAUUGAAAGAUUACCUAAAUCCAUUAGUUUUUUUAAGGAGCUCAGGAUUCUAGAUGGCUCUAUCAUGCAUCGUUAGCCUAUAGAUCUAUUUCAAUAAGCAAUUCAAGACCUCAUUCCCCAACUCAAUAGGCAAUUUAACAUCUCUGUCUCGGCUUGACCUAUGCUACUGUUAUAAACUUGUUCAACUUCCAGACUCUAUAGGCUCCCUCGUGUCUCUACAACAAUUGUUUUUGUCGAGAUGCUUCUCGUUGAAACAAAUCCCACACUCGAUUGGAAAGUUGACAUCAUUGAUUGAGUUGCAUUUGGAAUUUUCGGCCAUUGAAAAAUUACCUGAAUCCAUUGGUUCUUUGAAUGAGCUCAAGACUCUACAUGUCUUUUACUGCCAAUCGUUAGGUCGCAUACCUAGCUCAAUAGGCAAUUUCACAUCUAUGUCUUCCCUUAACCUAGAUGAAUGCCAUAAACUUGUUCAACUUCCAGACUCUAUAGGCUCAAUUGUGUCUCUACAACAGUUGUUAUUAUCGGGAUGCCACUCGUUGAGACAAAUCCCAGACUCGAUCGGAAAGUUGACGUCAUUGAUUGAGCUGCAUUUGAAAUCUACGGCCAUUGAAGAAUUACCUAAAUCCAUUGGUUCUUUAAAGGAGCUCAAGACUCUAGAUGUCUCUUAUUGCAAAUCGUUAGCCCGCAUACCCAACUCAAUAGGCAAUUCAACAUCUCUGUCUCACUUUGACCUAACAGAAUGCCAUAAACUUGCUCAACUUCCAGACUCUAUAGGCUCCCUGGUGUCUCUACAGCGGUUGUUAUUGUCGGGAUGCCACUCGUUGAGACAAAUCCCAGACUCGAUUGGAAAAUUGACAUCAUUGACUGAGCUGCAUUUAAAAUCUACGGCCAUUGAAGAAUUACCUAAAAGCAUUGGGAAUAUGCAAAACUUAAGGAUAUUGGACAUUAGUGGAACUCCCAUAAUAGAAUUGCUUGAUGACCCGGGAAUAUUGGCAGAACUCCAAGAGUUUAGAGCUUCGAGAUGGAAAAAUUCUGAAGGGUCACCUAGUAAUAAUGGCCAAUUGGUUUCACCUAACAAUCUUGGUUUAGACAAGCUUCAAAAACUAUCAGAAUUACGCUCUCGCGUACUAGCGCUAGGUAUAACCUACCAGAUCCCGCAAUCACUGAAUCUAUCCCAACUAAACUUUCUCAAGAAACUUACUCUUUCUAAUUGGCUUGAAUUUCUCCUACACCUUUCUAUAAAACGUUGUAGAAAAGCUGUGAAUCUUGAUUUUGUAUUUUCAAAAGUUCAACCUAUUAGUUGGGCAUUCUAUUUACUUUUUGUCUUGUGAUACAGUUCUCUUAAAGCGUCCUAAGACACCUGCAGCCAACAAUUCAGCCAUGGACUACCAAACAGCAGAUUCUAAACACGUUUUGAAGAGAUCAAGACCUUUUGGAAUCUUGGAUGAAGUACUUGUUUCAUCUUGCUUUUUCUUUAUCAUUCUUUAUUACUUAUAGGAUGGUUCUAUCUAUAAAGAGAAGUAUCUUAUUGGGUGAUCGAUUUUUUAUUAUGUAUGGGACGUUUUUCUCAACAUUCGUAACUAGAUUUGUCAGACUUGUUACAUUUACUUCUUGCUAUUUUAAGUUUUCUCUUCAUGGAAGUAGGGAUUUUCAAUUUUCCUGAAUUAUAAACUUAAGUUGGAAUAUAUUGCCCAUUAUUAUGCGAUUCUCUUUCUUAAUUAUCUUUCUUUGCAUGCCAUUGAAUGAAACCUUUUGAAAGCACUCACCCUUUAAGCUAGCUUUUGGGGUGAGAUAAGCCCAAGACCAUCCAACAAUGAUAAACUUUUAGUUUUGACGUUUCCAGAUACCCUUAACUUUCAUGAUGCACUUAAAGAAAUAAUUGAGGAUUUGAAGGAUUACAAGAAAGUCUGAUGGAGAGAAAAAGGAGCAAAAGGGCUAAGGUUGUCAAUUUAUGUUUGCUUGUCUUAAUUGUGUUUGUUAACUAUGUAAUUCAUCAUGACUUCUAUUAGACAUGUCAAACCAUUGAAUUAGACGAGAGCAUGUAAAUAUCUCUCAACCAACUGGUUAAACGUAUGGUGAGGUGUCAUAUUUUGGUUGUGUCUAUGUUUUUGUGUUUGGUAUUGUCAUGUAAACAAUCGGUGUCAAUAUUGGUAGCAUUAAGGAGGAGUGUGGACUAGGAAGGUGUUGAUUGCAUCUUCUCCCAUUACGCAGGCAUUGUUCUCGCGUAUGCUAGUAAAAUAGUGGCUCUCAUACGAGUUUUGCAUCUUUUGAGUGCCAUGGUUUUUAUCAAUUUUCUAAAGGACUAACUAGUUUUGUAAUCUUUAUGAUGUCCUAUUAGGUGAAUAAUUUGUCGGUAAACAUUCUGCCGAUCUCAUACAACUGCCCAAGCCUCAGUCAGAGUUCUUAUUCUUCAAAUGACUUGCCCAGAAAUGUAGUCAUUACCCUAAGUCAAGGUUCACUUGUUAAGAGUAUGGAUUUCCAUCCAGUGCAACAAAUUCUGCUGCUCGGUUAGCACUUCUUUCAUACUCUAUGAAGAACAUGUUCCAUGCUUUUCUUCAGUUGGAUAUACUUGUUCCUAUUGGAGGCCAUAAGUUUGUGCUUUGGUUCUUGGAAGAUUGCUUUUUGAUGUUCUUUUGACACUAGCUUCAGCUAUUUUAAACCACGGGCUAUGAUUCUUCAAAUUUUAUGCUUCAAUAAUUUUCAGUGGGAACAGAUAUGGGCAAUGUUAUGGUUUUUGAAGUAGGCAGCGGUGCGAGGAUUGCUUCGAGAAAAUUCAAGGUUUGGGAUUUGGGAACACGUUCAAUGGCGUUGCAGGUAUGGAAGUUGAAUUCUAAAUGAAAUCAUGGCAUCUUGUUUUUGGACAUGUGAUUAUGAAUUUUAAUUCUUUGUAGGCUUCUCUGGCCAAUGACUAUACAGCAUCCAUUAACCGUGUAAUGUGGAGUCCUGAUGGAAUCCUUUUUGGUAUGUACAGAUGUCACUUCUACUUGUAUAUCAACUUAAGAAAUUGGGCAAUACAUACUUGCAAAUUGAUGAAAAAACUAAAGCUCCAAGAACCAGACUUCAUUGCAAUAUUUUUGAGGAAGAAGUGUCCAUAUGUUGCUUUUACUAAUGAUUUAUGGGUUUCACUUUAGGUGUUGCUUAUUCCAAGCACAUGGUGCACAUAUAUUCAUAUCAUGGUGGUGAUGACAUAAGGAACCACCUAGAGGUUUGUUGCUAAACAAGGAGAAAAAAAUUAAGCUUCUCUGUUCUGCUGACAAUUGCCACCUACAUGUGAAUUCAACUUGAUUUUGACUCUAGCUAAUGUCUGAUACAGCUCGAGGCUCAUGUGGAAGUGUUAAUGAUCUGCUUUUCAUAUCCAAACAAACAGUUAUGUGUUGUGACCUGUGGAGAGGACAGGUUGAUCAAGGUAUAUUUUGAUUGUUUUCCUCAGCAUUAUGAUGUUUUGUUGUUUGAUCCCUUUUAACCAAGCUAGUAGUUACGUAGGUAUGGGAUGCAGUGACUGGGGCUAAACAACAGACUUUCGAGGGUCACGAAGCACCUGUAUAUUCCAUUUGUCCACACAAUAGAGAAAAUAUUCAGGUACCUGCUUAUUUCGUGUACUAACAAGGACACGCUGCAAGCAUGGCCAAUUGGCUGUACGCUUGACCAUUCAAUGGACUUUCUUUGCUAAAACUCAGUUAGGUCAAAAAAUUUGAUUCAAUUUGUAUGAGAAGUGUGAAUAUGUGUUCUAACGGACCUUGUUCAUUUCAAAGAUUUUGCAAGUCUUCCGAAUUUUGACCUAUCUUGAUUAGAAUGUGCUUGUUAAACAUGGUGACAUGGUCCAAAGAUUAAAUUGUGAAUUUGAUUAUUUCAGGCGAUGCUACUGAGCAUGGACAACUGGGUAAAGGUUUUCGCAAUAAUGACUUCCUUGUUAACAUAAGUUUAGAUGGAAAAUUGCUUUGCUUCCAUUAUUUGUUCUCCCUUAGUUUCUCCUCUAGUUUUGAUUAGUUAAAUUAAUAAUAGAUUGAUGUUUAUUGUGCCUGGGUGGAGCAGCAAUUGGCGAUGGCUUUUUAAUUUUUUUUUUUAAAUUUAUGAUUGUGUACACUUUAUUAUAAAGAUAUUUAAUGAUAUCUAUUAGGGUUUUAGGUGGAUGUGCUCUAUCUGGACAUGUUAUUGAAAUUGAUUGUAGGAUUGUUUUAUUGUGUAGCUCAUCUUCUCAAUAGCAAUAGAUGGGAAAAUUAAGGCUUGGUUUUAUGACAACAUGGGGUCAAGAGUUGACUGGGAUGCACCAGGUCACUCUUUUACCAAGAUGGCAUGCAGUGUCAAUGGAAAAAGGUUCAGACCAUCAGCAUUGCAUUUCAAGCUUGAUUUUAUCCCGUGUCAUUCUUUAUGACUGAAAUAACCUAUUUUAACAAUUUUAUUUGGCUAUAGGUUGUUCUCAUGUGGAACCAAUAAAGAAGGAGAGUCAUACUUGGUUGAAUGGAAUGAAAGUGAGGGGGCUAUCAAACGUACUUAUCAUGGACUUGGAAAGAGAUCUGAUGGGUUUGUGCAAUUUGAUAUCGCUAAAAACAGAUUUUUGGUUGCUGGAGACGAGUCCAUGGUCAAAUUUUGGGAUAUGGACAAUAACAAUAUUUUGACAAGUAUUGAUGCUGACGGUGGAUUGUCGGUAAUUCAUUAUUGUUAAUUUAAUCCAAGUGAAUAAGCUGAACCUUUCCAUUAAACUCGCUCUUUAAAUUUGCAGGCUUCACCUUGCAUUAGAUUUAACAAGGAGGGAAUUCUAUUAGCAGUCUCAACAAAUGACAAUAGUAUCAAAAUUUUAGCAAAUGUUGAUGGGAUUAGGCUGCUAAGGACAAUGGACAGUUGGCCUUUUGAUGCUCCUAGAAUCACUCUGGGACCUCUUAUGAAGGUAAGCUUUUUCAAGCUCACACUAGCUUCAUUGAGAAGAGCUCGCUAAAUGUCGUCAAUCUUGUACUGCCACCAAUGAUUGUGAUAUUUAGUUCUGGUAAUGCUACUAUUGGGGCAAACCUAGGUAAUAGAGGGGUUCCGGUGGCAAAAUUAAAAUGUUUGAUCCAAUUUCCAGUGCAUUUGAUAGAGAAGUCUAGAAAAAUCCAAAAAAUAAAAUAAAAUCUCACAGGAUUAUCUAAAGUUUUGUGUGGAAAAAUCCGUAAAAAUUAUCUAUGUAGUGUGGCGGAGACACUUGCCUUAUAAAUAUCUCUGACUCAAGCAAAUAUUUUUGCAUGUCUUAGCCGCUGAUGCAAUCUUAUGAAAAGGCUUUGGGUCGUCCAAAAGCAAACACAUUUGGGUCUCUAUUUUUAAAAUUUUUUAUUCUCAAAAACUGAUUUGAAAUGAAAAUUCAUUUGAUAAUGUAAUCUUUUUUGAACAAUUUUUUAGUUAAUAAAUAAUUUUGAAAAUAUAUAAGAAUAAUUUUUUUACAUUUCAAAAACAAAAACAAAAAUAAAAUUUUUUCUCAUUACUUGCUUUCGUCAUACGCGACCACCGUCACUCGUCAACCACUCGCCUACUCGUCGCUCUCCACCAAUUGAUAGUCACCGCCUAGAAAUUAUCUUUGCUCAAUUUCUCGUUCAUGGAUUAAAAAUAGAAAAAUUUAUUUGUGAUUAGAAAUUAUUCACAUGAAUUAAAAUAGUUAUCGUUCGUGCCCAUAAUACACCAACUAAAAUAAACCUCUCUACCUUCGUUUGUAUUAUGCAUAGUAUAAUAAAAGCCUUCCUUAUAUAUAUAUAUAUAUAUAUAUAUAUAUAUAUAUAUAUAUUCUUGUGUUCCCUUGCUGCCGCUUUCCGAAAUCCUUGUCCUAUUGUAUUACAUCAGCAGCAACUGUGACUUGCGGAGCAUUUUUUCCUCACGUCCAUCCAGUCAUAUUUUAACACAUCUCUGUGGAUUUUGAAUUAAAAAUAAAAUUCCCUGAUGAUCCAUCGGCCAUGGACCUCGGACUAGCCGGCUGCCACCCUUGAACACCACCGCUCCGGAGGCCGAGCUCCAAAUCUAGCCGAGUCGUGGCCUCCGCGCCGCACCAGAUCUAGUCCACCUUCACUUGCUUCAAGCUCGUCCAUGGCCGCCUCCGAAUCCGGUCGAGCUCGACUCUACGCCAGAUAUCGUCUGCCUUAAAAACGGUUCGAGCUCGGCGGCUCCUCCAUGACCGCCGAGAAGCCGCCGAGAUUUCGGUCACAACGUCGAGCUUCGCAGCCAUAGAAGGCCAUCACCUCCAGAUGUAGAGGCUCAAUGGCAAUGGAGGCCGAGCGUCCAGAUCUGGCCGUGGCGAAGGUCGUGACAUCACCUCGAGCUGCAGCAAUGACCGCCGUUAGAGGUCGCCUUAAGAGACGGCGUUAAAAGUUGCAGACGGCCAUGGACAGAGCGUGUAACAAGAAAGGAGACAAAAAAAAAAAUAGAAAAGAAAAGAAGCAAAGAAUGGUGGGGAACAAUAAGAAAAAGAAACAUCUUUUCCAACUUUUCAACAGCAUCAUCGGCAUGAGCCACGCCGACGACCAUGGACGGCCAGAUCUCGAGAGCCAACGGUGUCGCUGGCCAUGGCGGAGCAAGGUUCGUGUGUGAUGCCGACGGCCAUGGACGGCCAAAUUUGGAGAGCCAGCGGCGUCACUCGUCUAGGUGACGCCCAUGGCCAUGGUCGGCCAGAUCUGAAGAGCCAGCAGCGUCACCGACGCAUCAUCGGCCGUGGCAGCUCGUCCGAGGUCAAGUGGCUGGCUUUGGACGAACGAGGAAGAUGAAGCUAGAGGAAACAGUUCCACCACUCAAAGAAACUCCACAUCAAUAUUUUUUAAUUUAAUUCAAGACACGUAAUAAACUUUUUUAAGUGGAUAUCAAGGAAAAAAUGCUCGCCCCAUCAGCUGACGCGGGGCUGUGAAAUCACUUAAUAUUUUCCCCUUUCCUCACACAUCUACACACAUGGCACAUAAACUAGAAAACCAUCGGGCAGCAAUGGUAGGGAUGGUAAGUGGUAUCAUUACUGCAUUAGGUCGUUAAAUUUUUAUAAGGAGCUUUAUUUGUUGCUUAUUUUAUACUUAAAUGAUGCAAUAAUUGCAUUUGUAUGUGCAUAUUAUUGGACGUCUUUCAAUGACAACCUCUCUUUUGAGCUCUACAGAAGCCCAGAAUUGCCGAUGACUCGACAGACAAAUCACGAAAUUGGAAACUGACAGAAAUCAACGAACCAUCACAAUGCCGGUCCAUAAGGCUGCCUGAUAACUCUACAGCUACGAGGGUACAAAUGACUGCCAAAAUAGGAUUUUUCUCAUGUAAAUUUUUAAGUGGAUGUCAAGGGAAAAAUCUCGCCACAUUAGCAGUUAACACGGCGCUUUGAAACUGCCAAAUAUUUUCUCCUUUGCUUCUCGCACAUCUACACGCACUAGCAUAUAAACUAGAAAACCAUCAGGCAGCAAUGGUAGGUAUGGGAAGUGGUAUCAUUACUGCAUUAGGUAGUUAAAUGUUUUUAACCAGCUUUAUUUGUUGCUGACGCUGUUAGUUAAAUGAUGCGAUAAUUGCAUUUGUAUGUGCAUGUUUAUUGGGCGUCUUUCAAUGACAUCCUCUCAUGUGAGCUCUACAGGACAGUGAGAACAUGGCCGAUGUGAAGCUCGGAAUUGCUGAUGACUCAGGAGACAAAUUGCGAAAUUGGAAACCGACAGAAAUCAAUGAACCAUCACAAUGCCGGUCCAUAAGGCUGCCUGAUAACUCUACGGCUGCAAGGGUACAAAUGAUUGCCACAUUAGGACGUUCUUAUGCAGCAUUUCUUUUCCACAUUAAUCUCUCACGUUUCUACUAGAUAAGAACAAAUUUGAAUAGGGGUUGCAUUUAAUGCACUUGCUUUACUAGCUUUAUUCACAUGUGGUCCAAUGAUUUAUCUCUUAAACCUCGGCACUCAAAUGCAAUUAUUGCAUCAUCAUUUGGCAUUUUAUAGUUGACUGAUUGUUUCAACUACACAAAUAGGAAAGGAUAAGAUCAACAUUAAUAAAUCUAUGAUGAUGGCGUGGCAAUUGUGCUUGAGUUAUGUUGGCUGUGGAGGUCAUGAAUUUUAUAAUAACGUUGAAUAGCAAGAUGGAUGAUUCCUGAUUUAGAAUGUAAUGGUAUAUUUGCAUAACGAGACUUUUUUAGCCUUUGCUUGGAAUAUGGAUUGUUCUGUGGACUUUCAUGCAGUUACAUCUGGUAAAAGACAGAUUAUUUACGGGAUGAAUUUGGCUUUAUACAUGGCAUGCAAAGUAUAUCAUUUUGCACCACUUUGAUGCUUGUGGGGAAUGCUAAGCUCGUGAAAGCUAUUUUGACCUUGUCAAUUCCCAGAAACUGUAAGUGGAAAUUUACCUGCUGAAUGUAAAUAUACAAAACACUAGAGGCAAAAGAAUAGAUAGACAGCUAGAUGGUUUAAGUCAAGGUUCCACUUUUCUUUUGGUAACUGUUUCAACUGGGUUUAGAUGUCAUUUGUAUCAUAUGCUCUAUUCAUAUGUAAGCAUACAGUAUGCAUAUAUAAAUAUGUGUGUGUGCGCGUGCGUGCUACUAUGCUGAUAGAUAUGCAGGCAGCGUCGCCAAGUGUCUUUUUGCAUGGAUAUCUGCAUCUAUCAAUUAGUGCCCAAAUCUCUGGCAUCUUUCUUCUGCAUUUUAUUUUGACUUUCGGUAUUACAUUUGAUUGUCGCCACUGAAGCUGGUAAAACGAAACAGGUCCCAAGAUUGAGCUAUAUAAACUCGGGUCGUGCCAUUCUGGCAUUGUCAUCGAAUGCUGUACACAAGCUCUGGAAAUGGGAAGAAAGUGAUCAAAACUUAACGGGCAGGGUAAGGAAAAAAGAGGCAAAUUCUUUUGUUGUUUAGCGUAUUGUUAACUACAUUGAUUCUUCUUUUCGCAGGCUACAACUAGUGUAGUACCACAGUUAUGGCAACCUCCCGGUGGGAAUUUGAUGACCAAUGAUACAUGUGGUGCAAAUCCUGAAGAUGCAGUUCCGUGCUUUGCAGUGUUAGAGAAUGGUCCUUUUCUAAUAUCAGCAUCAGGGGGGGAGAUCUCUUCGUUCGAUAUGAGGACUUUUAAGGUGAAUAUUUUCCCUAAGAGAUGUAUACAUCCUCUUGUCAGUUUUUGUAGCACUAUCCACAAGGCACGAGAUGAUGAACUACCCCUUUGUGCUUACUAUGCCCAGUAUUUCCUCCACAUUUUUAUGGGAGCUAAAAUUAAUUGGUUCAAUCAUGUAUAAAAACGUAUUGAACUCUAAUUGUUAGGAGGUCCAUGAAAGCAAUUGCUCCGAUUUUCAUGGGGAUUAUCUGUUCAAGAGUGCAGCAUGUCCCUUUUUACUUGCUAAGCGAGAUAAGGGCUUUUCAGUGUCUUCGAUGGAAUCUUUUUGCUCUUAUUGAUUAAAGAAAACAAGCAGUGCUUUUUUAACCCGUCUAGAGAUCUAUUGGUCCAACUUGUUCUCUCCCUUUCCUAAGAAGGGAGAUGCCAUUGAGGCAAGUGCCUCUUGGCACGUGUCCCACUGUUAUUUAUAAAGUUGUUAAUAUUAUCCUACAUGCUGAUAUGCAGACGAUGAAAAAAUUUAUGCCCCCGCCACCACCGCCACCACGAAACAAUGACAUUAUUGAGAUAGGAAUGGAGGACUCCGCUAUUCAAAUUUAUAGUGCUCGAGCUGAUGAGGUGAAACCUGUUUUCAUUGUCGUUGAAAGUUAACCUUGUGAUUAUCCACAACAAAGUUACGGAUAUUGACUAUUUUACUUUCUCAGAUCCAGAGAAAACUAAAAGGACAUCGGAGAAUAAUUCAAGGCUUUGCCUUCUCAACUUACUUAAAUGUUCUCGUGUCUUCUAGUGCUGAUUCUCAGGUACUAGACCAAUGCUUUUUUACUUGCUAGUGAGACAAGGGCUUUUCUGUGUCUUUAGUAGGAUCUUUUUGCUCUUACUGAUUAAAUAAAACAAGGCAAGAGCUUUAUUCCACAUUCCAUAAAUCUAAUAUUCGAAGUUGCCUUCUCCCUUUCGCAAGAAGGGAGACGCCAUUAAGGCAAGUGCCUCAUGGCACAUAUGUCCAACUGUUACCUAUAAAGUUGUUAAUACUAUUCUUCCUGCCAAUAUGCAGACAUUGAUAACAUUUACACCCCGACCACCACCCAUAACAUUUCUGGCGUCUUUUCCUCAAUGUGUAUAUGAAGCAAUAGGAAGGGAGGACUCCUCUAUUCAAAUUCACGAUCAUCGAAUUCAAAAGGUGAGAACUAAUUUUAUUGUUGUUCAAAGUUGACCUUGUUAUUAUCCACAACGAAUAUAUGGAUAUUGACUGUUUCACUUUCUCAGUGGGUGGCAAAUCUAAAAGGACAUCAGAAAAGAAUUACAGGCCUUGCCUUCUCUAAUGUCUUAAAUGUUCUCGUGUCUUCUGGUGCUGACUCUCAGGUACAAGACCACUACCACAUCUUCCUUUCCAUGUAGACAUGCCUAUGUUUUGGGUAGAGAUAGCAAUGUAGUUUAACCUGCUCCAAAAAAUGGGUUGAUGUUCACUCUGGAUAUAUUGAUGCUUACGCCCUCAUCAUACGUCAGUACACGAGGCAUCCUUAACUAGGCAGAAUAAAUCCUUCCAGAAAACUUCUUCUUUUGUGGUGACAGAUUAAUCCCAUCCCAUUAAGUGGGAAAUAAAAAAGCUAUGUUGUCAUGUUGUUGCUUACAACUGAUGCUUGGUGUUAUUCUAAUAUAAAAUACAACGUAAAAUUUUAUUGUUGCAUUAGUCAAUCAAUGUUGAUGUUCCCUUUGAUAAUUGUCAAUUGUCGCUGCAGUUGUGUGUUUGGAACACUCGUAGAUGGAAGAAGCAGACUAGUAAGUUUCUGCGAAUGCCGAAUGGGCGAGGAGCAGCGCCUCUUGCUGAUACUCGUGUUCAAUUUCAUGUGGAUCAAAUACAUCUGCUGGUUGUUCAUCAAACACAGAUCGCCACAUGUGAAGCUCCUAAACUAGAAUGCCUCAAGCAGGUAUUGAAUAUUUUUUUUAUUAUGCACAAUCCAAUCUCUCAUCUCAUCUUGAUUGCAUAAUAAGUAUCAAUAUAUUAGAUAGUAUGAGUCGCUUCAUGCCAAAUGUGUGUUUUUUUUUCAUUCAUUGUUGAUCGCAACUAGUGGGACACUCGAGAAGCUAGCGCUCCAAUCACAGAUGCUACAUAUUCAUGCAAUGGCCACUCAAUAUAUGUGAGCUUUGAAGACGGGAGCAUCGGUGUUCUUUCUACCUCUACACUCAGAUUGAUAUGUUGUAUUAAUCCUGCGGCUUAUAUCCUUCCAAAACCUAGGUAAGUUGGUUAUUGCUGCUCACUUAACCUCAUUCCUUUAUGGAAAAUGGCAAGUCUCAUUCGCAAAGUUCCAUAGUCUCGUGAAUUAUUCAUUCCUUACUGAUGUAUUUGGCAGCUUGAGAGUAUACCCGCUAGUCAUCGUAGCACAUCCAUCAGAACCUAACCAGUUUGCGCUAGGGCUUACUGAUGGCAGCGUGUAUGUGCUUGAGCCAUUGGAAUCUGAAGGAGAGUGGGGUGGUUCUCCUGUUGAAAAUGGUGCUGGGCCUAGCACGACCUAUGGCACAACCAAUUCAGAUCAACCCCAAAGGUAGUGCAGGCCAUGUCUCUCCCUGUGAAACUUGUGAGCAUUACAAUGCUAAGCCGGCUUUCCUCCACCUUACUUGAUUCAAGUUUUGAGGGGAUGCUGCUGAGGGUAGAUUUUACUACCUCAGGGUACUUCCUUGCAACAUAGUUCGGUAUAGUUUGUCCUAAUCGACUUCUGCUCAAGUCUUGUGGUGAUAACUUGCUUUGUUAUAUUCAUUUGGGUUGACUGGAAGUGAAAGAAGAAAAACAUGAGAUUAGAGUGUAGUUUUGAAUACAACAAAUUGGAGGUAGAGAGGAUGUCCCACUUCCUACACAACCAGAAACCUAAGGACUUGAUUAUACUAGUUAGUUAACCAAUGUCUUUUUAGUACCUAAACUUAAUUAAUUUAUAAACUAAUUGUCCACACAAUUUUUGACCAUUUUAUUAACCUAUGUUACUAAAUGAUGUUCAUGUAUGAUUGCACGAUCAAUUAAAAAGUAAACAAUCACAAUCAAUGUAAUGGAAGUAAAUUAGAAGAAAGUAGACCCAGUGGAGUGUCAAGCGAAGAAUCAUAUGGCUUUGUUAUUAAGCCUCUGGGCAACAACCUGUGCUGAAUUCAAUUGAGGCCAAUUCAUCAAAAGAGUGCUCUACCUAAACCUAAAUAAAUUAAAGUUACUUAUCAAAAACCCCCUAAACUAUAUGUAUACUAACUAAAUAAACUAAGCUAAAUCUAGCAUCACAACUUAACGACCUAAUCAAGGUCUCCGUUCCUAGCAAUUUUCAAAUUUUUAUUUUUUUUUGAAUUUUUGGAAAUUAAUUCUUAUCAUUUUUUGAAAAUAGGGACCUGAGCUCCGGCUAUGAGCUGGACGCUGGUCUCACGAAUCUGGGAUAAUAACUAAUAACCACAGUUCGGGCUCUAAUGUUCAGGCCCCUCCAAUUCUAACUUCACUGAGCCCAAUUUCGAUUAUACAUAUUCUAAGCCCACUACCCAUCGUAACUACUCUAGCCCAUUUUCUCUUCCAACUUCACCUAGUCCAUCUUUAAGCCCGAUUUCUAUUAUAGGUAGAUUAAACCCUAAGCCCGCUCGAAACCCAUCUCAUUAUUAUAUUUAAAUCAAUUCUCCUCUUUUCUUACGUCUUUUCGUCAUUUUUUUUUAUAUAUUAUUUUCUUCUUCCUUCUUCCAGCCCUUUGUCCUCUUGGGCAAGUCAAGAAUCUAACCAGCCAUUUUCUCGCCGAUGAGCUCCAUAGAGACUUAACAAAAACAUAUGUGAAAUUAUAGAACGAAAACUCAAGAAAAAUCUAUGUUCUGAUUUGAUCUUGAUAACAAUGAAUUUUAAUAAGAAUUAAAUCUGAAUGCUUAUGGACUGACUUGUAGCAAGUAAUGUAUGCUAAAAUUUCUUCAGAUUGAACUAGAUUAGGAAUUAUUUCACCAAUAUAUCUUAGAGACAUUUCAUCAAACAGUAUAUGUGCACCAAAGGGAUUGAAUCUUGUCAAUAAUUGAAGUUUUUUUUUUCGUCUAAAAUCAAUGUCAGGACCAUGAAGCCAUUACAAAUCAUCAAAUUACAACCUAGAUCAUCAGUGAUUUUCACAUUAGUAACCUGAACGUGGUCCAGUCAUGCAUCUUUCCGAAACAGGGCAAGAAAGAGGGGAAUGAAAUUAUCUUCUCAAGGAGUUCUCAGUUGAGAACUAAAGGCUAAUGAACAAACUAACGGCUAGACAUAGUCUGGUUUCUGGGCAUUUAUGCGUCCGAGUAAUGCAAGUUGGACUUAAUAGAUGUGGAUGGGCCAUGGGCUUGGCUUGGACGAAUUGGAUCGAGCCCAUCGCAUUGAAUAGAUAUCCUUUUAAAUUAGUUGAUGAAUUGAAUUCCCUUCAGUUAUUAUUUUUUGUAAUCUUCAUUUUGGUUUUAUUUAUUCAUAUCUUCAAUAUAAACCGCCUAAGUUGCCGAUUUUCCUUUAAUUGUUGACUAAAAAUCAAACAUCCACGGCAGGUCCAAGACCUCAAAAUUGGUUGAAGCAAUUUCCUAAGAGUUGUUGUAAUCCUGAAGGUGCUACAAUUGAGAAAUGUUUGACAAACCCUUCACAAAAGCCGCAAUGCCCAUUUUCAUAGUCCAAGUAACUCCUAACAUUAAUUAUUCAUACUAUUUUCAAAAUAAUUCAUAUAUUUUUAGAUAGUCAUAAUAUGAAUAAUUUAUUUAGCAAUUUCUAUUAAGAGUCGAAUUGUUAAUUCGAAACUUUCAAGCAAAGAAUUAUAAAAGGAGAUUGCCAAAGGCAUUGGAAGGCAAUUUGGAAAAAGAAGUAUUUUAUAAGAGUCAUAAUAAGUCAAAAUUCAACAAAAUGUCAAUCGAAGUGCUUAAUCAUGAAAAAGAAGAAGCGAUACCAAUAUCAAAAACCAAAGAGCUGUUGGCAGAAUCAAAAUUUCCUUCUCAUCUCCUGUUGGUGUAUAAACUAUUUAUUUAGUUCCGAAAAGAAUAAAUAUAAAUUUACGUUUAUUUUGUCACAUAGUUUAACUUAAAAGUACUUUGAUUUGAUAGGUGGAACCAUCACAACUAAACUGGGUAAGGUCUCUCUUUAAUUUUUGUGGGUAUAUAUUUACAAUGUUAAUAAGUACCUGACAUUUAGAAAUGCUGUGGACAGUAGCUCUCCUUCAUCCUUACAAUGAAUGUCAAUACAACGAAAAUUAAUUAACCACAUUUAAGCCAUUCUCAAUUACUUGCAAGCAUCUGCACACAAAGUGAAACCUGCUUAUUUCCGUCUUCGACUGGGCUUCUUACUCUUUCUAGCUGGGGUCGACUGCUCCAAAGGCACUGGUAAUAGGGUUCCUCCUUUAACACCAUCUUUAUCAUUCAUCUUAUCGAGAGUUUUCUGGGCUCCAAUAUACACCUUAAGGUCUCUGAUCUGUGAAGGAUGACAAGGGACAUGCCACCGUCAACGCACACUAUGCACGCACGCGCGCAGAGUUUUCACAAUAUUAUAUACAAAUUAUUACAGUUUUAAGGCUAAAAGAAAAUACCUGUUCUUCUAAGUCAAGUAUUUGUUCAUCCUUCAACUUCAGUGACAGAGUUUUCCUGCAGAUGCACAGAAGCGUAUGUGUCCUCCAUUCAUGUCAAAUUAGAAGGGAAGACUAAAUUCCUGACAGCUUUAAUUGACUGGAAUCAUAUACUGAAAAAGUGUCGGUACAAUUGACAAUAAUGCUUAUUGAGGAAACUAGUCCACGUAACUUCAAUGAAGAUGGACAAGACGAGUAUACUUCAAAAGGCUGCAUGAAUUUUUCUAUAAAGAAAAUAUUGUAGGCAUAUUAAGGUACUUAAAAGGCAUCUACACCUAUAUUGCUUGACAUGUGAAGCUCAAAUAAGCUUUAAGUCUACCCAAUGUAUCUUCUUUUCCUUUUAUUUUCUAUUUUGUGAAAGUUGGAAAUGUCGACAUAACGCAGUAUGAACAACCAAUCGAAUUUUAAUUGGAAUUAGUAGAAUUUCAAUAUUGAACCAUAUCAAUUAAAAUUUGAAUCCUGAACCAUCACAGAUUAAUGUUCAAAUAUCUCCAGUGUGUAAAAAAGUACUUUGAAAUUGGACCACCACCAUGAAGAUUUUAACAUUGAUUUCUGUCGAUAAAGUUCAACCUCUAAAGCAGUAGCACUAUUUCUUCAGAGGAAAACAAAAUUACAGAUGGAGCAUAUAUAAACAAAAGAACAAAAUUAUGGAGAGCACCGACACAUGGAACCUUCUCCAUACGUGCUUCGCUCUCUCCUUUCUCCUUUUCCCCUCUUUGUCUCUUUCUUUCCCUCGUUAGAGUUUGUCCCAUCUUGCCACUUUUUUAAAAGGAUUCAAUAAAAAAACACCAAAAGCUUUUUCAUCUUCUUGCCACAUCCCCCAACUAAUAAUUAACCUAAACUUAAUUAUCCUUCCCAAGUAUGGUGAAAGGAAGGCAUAUUACCCAUGUGAUAAACUCUUACUCAUCAUAAAAUGACUUUCAUUCUUUUGCCAUUUGUUAUGUGUUACAAGUCACGUAUAGUUGCUAUUCACAUAUUUGAAUUAGAAACUGUAUUUCCUCUUUCUUCUUCGAACUUUAACCUUUUUUACCUCACAUCUAAAAGUCCAUUGCACGUGAACACUUCCUCUUCAUGAUACCCUUCCCACUCUUUUCUCAUCUUCUCAAAUGUCUGUUUCCACUUCCUCCCUCAUGACCAACCUCACAUGAACUAUUACUACAAUGCUGCUUUCAUUUUACUGAUUAGUUUUAUGAGACUAUGAAUGCUAUGGUAUUACUUGUCUAGAGAAAUCAGCAAUGAAAAAUACCUCUCUUCAAUUUCCUUAACCUUUCUCCGCAUCAUAUCUUGGUUCUUGAUAAGAGUUUGAUUAAGCUGCAACCACAAGGAAUGGCAUCCGUUACUGUUAUGAAUGAGUGAAAACUAUUGCAUCUGAUUGUAAUAUGAAAAUGAGGCAUGUGAAAAACAAGCAAAACAACAAUCAGCCUUGGCUUCAGGCAGCCCUCCUCUCAAACUUUAAACAAACAAAAAUCACAAAAGGUAAAACAGAGAAGACUAAAGCCUUACCUCUGCCACGGCCUUCUUUUCAUCACCAAGUUUCCCCAACUUACUAUGGAUGUCUUCAAUCUUUGAAGUCACACCUUUCUCGAUUGCUUCUAGUUUGGAAUUUUCUUUUCUACUUUUGGCUUCUAACAUGAGAGACUCAUAAUGCUAACAGAGAAAAACAAAAGAAUUAAUAGGGGAUGAUAUGUUCAAGGACUUACAAUGUAUUCUUUAAAGUCAGUCUAAGGAUGAUGGCAGUCUAUGUAACAACAAUGACAAACAUGGGUUAGAAAUGGAACACUAUCAUCAACAGUAGCAUGGGCAGUUUAUAUAUAAUCUACUGGCUUUUGUAAUUCUACUUCCGAUACAACAGGUUUUCAAUUCAGAUACUCUUCCUUCUAAGACACAUCACAAAAAGUCAAUAAUAAAAGAGUCCUGGCACCUUAGGGAAACUCAAUUCAUUUUCUACCACAGAUAUAUUAGUAAGAAAACAGAAAAGAAAAGAAGAAUACCGUAAGUUUUGCAUUUCUCUCGAGCUGAUGCAAGCCCACUAGUUCUCUUAUACUUCCUAUAUAAGCUCAUUAGACAAAUGCAGUAUGCAAAUCGACAGGUAUAAAAUGUUGUACACUACAUAAAAGCAAAUGAAGCUGAGAUUAUACAACAUGAGUGUAAUUACUUUCCUUCUCUUCACAACAAUUCUGACAAUCCCAUUGAUUUCCAAGAGUAAAAUGAGUUCACUUAAGGAAAAAAAGAGAGAGAGAGAGAGAAAAGAAAAUGGACAAACAUUUUUUGAUCUGAAAUAACUAAACUAAUGUUCUAUUAUGGUUUUCUCCUAAAAUAUGUGUACUUAAAAACCAUUACCUAAAGCAAAAGCACAAUCGAACGCAAGCUUUCACAAGUAAUGCUUAUAACCAUGGCUGAUCAGUCAAUAUAAUAAAAUGUAAAAGACUAAACAGGGAGAAUUGAAAUGGUCUUGGUAUACGCAUGCUUACUUUUCUUUGCACUUCCAGCUGACUUGAAGCUAGAUGAAUAUAGUCGGCGUGAAUCUACAAAAAAGUAAAGCUACAGUGUCAGAGUAAAUGAAGAAAGUCUGACAAUUAUAAUGGAGGCAAUAUCCACUUUGCAGGCCCAAUAAUGAACUUGUGACAUUUGGCCAACAAAAUGAACAUGUGCAGUACAAAAACAGAAACAGAAUCUUUCAUUGUCAGUUGUCAGCACCUAAAACAGUAAAAGCAUCAUGCACCUCAAAACUUCAAACAUUUCACUUAACUGAGUCCAAGCUCCAAAUCUUUGCAGGGAAAGGGGAACCAGAAAACAAAAAUAUUCAAAGCAUAAAAAUAAGAGGACACAUGAACCUACUGCUUCGAUUUUGCUGCUGAAGAGCGCCCCACUAAUUUCAGAAUCCUCGCUACAACCGCAGCUACCACAAUCUCCUUCAAGUGAUUCACAGUAUGAAUUCAUCUCCAAAAGCUUGCCGUCAGCUUUUGAUUGAUUAAGCCAGUGAACAUAAGUGUCCCCAACAUAAUCCCAAAUUUGCUGUGUUCUUAAAUCCAGAGAAUAGCAAUGUUGUGUAUUUUUCCAAUGGCUGAUUGCGUGGUUAUCUUUGUAUCUACAAAGCCAGAAAAGAAAAGCUAUGAUGAAGACAGCCUAUCCAAUCACUAAAAUUAUAGAAUGAGCGAAAAUUCCAGCACAUCAUGACUGGAUCCAUCACCUUCCACAUCCGACAAAACCACAUAUGAGACAAACCCAAAGAUUUUCCUUUGUUCCACAAAUAAAGCAGGAAGGUACCUCAUCUUGCUGUUGGCAUAGAUGGCAAACCUGGUAAAGAACAGAAACAGAAUCUUCUUCACAAUCUGUUAACAGAGGGGCAUCCCUGAUGAUGUUGCAAAAUGAAACUACAUUUCCAAUCAAGGUAAUUUCUUGCAACCAAAUCAAGAUAUGUGCUGUAAUUGACAUCUUUAGCAAUGUAAUUGGAACUUGCAAUAAAAUCAAAGGAAGACCCUUGGGACAUCACCAGCAUGGCAGACAUCAUGUUGACUUAUUUUAACCAUAAAGAUUGAUGAAUCAAGCAAAAGUUAGUAUGCACAUGUCUGUCGAUAUAUCUUCUACAUGGCACUUUUUCAACUUUUGAUAUUACAUGAGCUCAAAGGUACUUUUUUUAUACAAAUUCACAUGGACAGAGCAUAUUAGAACAUCACUUGAAAUGUAAAAUACGACCAUGAAACAUCUUAGCUUCAAGAUGGGGAAUGUUUGAGGUCAAAGAUCAGAAUUUUGACAUCAGUAUGAUCAUCCUGUACUUGUGAACACACACAUAACUUAUCAUGUAUGCUUGGCCACUGCUAUUACUUCUGUCACUCUUUGACUCACGAGAAAUUUGACAUAGGAGUGACAGGACCAUCGGAUCAAAUACACAUGAUGAGACAUUGCAAAGAUUCUUGUGUCAGAAUAUGAUAAUCAACAAAAAGUAACUCCUAGGAGCCACGCCAUUGACCUAUUCCAAAUCUCCAAAUAAAUGUCAUGAUAAUUUAAAAGAAAUCCUGAACUUAGUAAGCGCAAUAGAGUAAAGGAAAAUUCUACUUUUCAUUCAUAUACUUUCACACGACUUCUAAUCAUGUUUCCAUACUUUUAAUUUGCCUAACCAAGUCCAUCUACUUUAACAAUCUUUCUAAUCAAGUCUUUCCGACACUUAAUACAACCAAAUUCAAUUGAAGUGGCCCUUCGACGACAACAAUGUAUGAUGCCGAUAAAAUUUGCAGAUGCCCACGUGGACAUGUAUGGAAAAAUUUAGCCAAUGUAGACGACCUUGAAGUGUGACAUGGAUAAAAUAAUGGACGUCCACAUUAGAAAAAUUUUAUCCACGUCACACAAUGAAGACAUCUGGCAGUCACAUCAGCUGAAUUUGGCCUGAUUUGGUGUCAGAGAGACUUGAUUAGAAAAUUGGUAAAAGUAGAAGAACUUUAUUUAACAAAUUAACGGUACAAGGGACUUGAUUAGAAAAAAAUGUGAAAGUACAGAAUAAAAACAAUACUGCCACAACUGCUACAGCCAGUAUUAAUUAUCAAAAACCAACAAUUAAUCCACAGUCAGCAGAUUAACAGAGAGAUAGUGGCAGUAGCUUGGAAAUUACAUUAUAAAUUCAUCUAAUCCGUAUCAGCAGAAGAAUGCCUAACCUGACAAGACAAGUAAGUCCAUUUUGUACCACAUGAACAAUGAAAGGAAUGGUCACACUGCGUACUCAAAAUUCCACUGGUAUCUGGGUCCAAUCUCUGACAUUUUUUUAAAAAAAAGUUGCAACUCUGAACAACUUUUGAUAAACUCAUCUCACUGCGGAGGAAAUAUAAUCAGCAAGGGGGCACCAGCAUGGCUUACCAAGACAAACUGGACAAGAGGGUAGCUCCGUAAAGCCCGAUGGGGGUGUGCUAGCUACAUCAGCUGAUUCCGUAUAGUCCACUUCGUGCAGAUAUAGAAUAUGGCAUACCUCAGCCUGAAUGUCCAGAAGACGAGUAUUAAAAGUGAAACAGAAAUCGACUAUGUGAUCUCACAGCAUACAACAGGUGCAAAAAUUGCAAAUACCUCAGCAGGCGAGAAAUUCUUGCCAUUGAAGGUGCAAUAGAAACCAUCAGCAGCCUUUUGAUCGGUAAGCUCGAUCAGCACACUGUACCUAUCUUCCAUCCCAUCAUUCCUACAUCAAACGCACAAUUCGCAAUACAACGAUCACUAAAACCAUUAAAAAGCAUUUAAAAAAGAACCCAGAUCGGAAAACCCAGUUCCACCGUCGGAAUGCUUCCAAAAAAUUGAACUUUCAUCAUCGGACCCCCCCUAAGGCAUGAUCAUGAGCAAAUUUUUGAGUUUCGAGUCCAUCUUUUAGAUUUUUCGUCAGCGAAUUCUAAUUCCUCGAAUUCUCUCUUUCGCUUGCCCAAUUCAUCUCACCAACUGCAAAAACCGGUCCGAAGUCCCGAAGAAGAGGAGGAGAGAAAACAGAAACGAUGGAAGCCUUACCUGAUGAACCGGAGCUCGGAGACGUCGUCCAUCCGGGGGCCGCAGAACCGGAUGAAGUCGUCGGGGGAGAAGUAAUUGGGGACGGCGACGACGAAGAGGGUGGUGGAGCGGGCGCCGGGGCUCGAGAGGGGCGCGUGCGACAGCGUCCGGAACAGGUGGACCAUGCCCCUCCUCUCGGUGAACCUAGGGCUCCCCGGCGGCGGCGAGGAGGAGGAGAAGCCGCCGUAGUCGGUGGCGAGGGGGUGGUCGGUGUCCACCGAGUGGCCCCGGAAGAAGAACAUUUUUUAUUUAUUUCGGGUUUUCGAAAUAUAAAAAAAAAAAAAAAACUAAAUUUGAAAUUGAUAAUAUGUAAAUUGUCAUCCAAUUUCAUUGAUAUCAAAUUAAUUUUUGAUUGAGCAAGUCGAGAAUCAUGUGAAUUAUGUGAUUGCUUAUGAACGACAUAAUUUUAUAAUCAUCUGAUUCUCAUUUACUAUUAAAAUGAUGAUGCAUCUAGAUUGACAUUUGUAAUGAAUUCUAUAAACAUUGAAAAAGUAAAAAAUGAAAAAGGCCUAAACUGACCUAGUCGUGUAUUCUAUUUCUUUUGCUUCAUCUGACAAACAAAACAUGACCAAACAAGCUAGAUUACUCCUAAAUAUUCUAAAACUGAAAUGCAAGAGCAGUCGAGUGUCUAUUCGGCAUAAAAAUUGCUAUUACAGGUGAUUAUUAUGCAAGCCUAGUUUGGGCCAACAUCAGGAGUAAUGUGUUGCUCAAGCUCACUAAUAAAAUGAAUCAUACAUAGAAAUGUUGGGACACGGCUUAGGUGAAGGUCGGGCAAGCUAGGAUUUUUUACCGUAAGGAUAUUUUAUAGUCUCGGGGUCAUGUCUCUCAUUGUGAUGUUGCAAAGUGUAGAUUUUAUAGUCUCGAGGUCUUCCUCCUUACACACUUUGGCACAAUUUGUCUUAAAGUGGUACAAUUAACAUCCUCAUCGACUUGUAGAUUUUAUAGCCUUGGGGUCUUCCUCUGGACAUAGUUUGGCACGGUCUGUUUUAAGUGGUACAAUUAGCAUCCUAAUCGACUUCUGCUCAAGUCUAGUGGCGAAAAUUUGUUUUAUUAUAUUCAUUUAGGCCGAUUGAAAGUGAAAAAGAAGACUGACCAAAAAAAAAGAAAGUGAAAAAGAAGAACAUGAGAUUAGGGUGUUGCCUAAAGCGUUGUAUAUUCGAGUUGGAGACAGGUUUAUCUGAUUUUAGUUAGCAAGCUAAAGGAUCGUAGGAACAGGGUUUAGUUUUUGCAGGCGGCUUCUUCUCUUGUUCCUUUUGCGUCGUGCUGAAAGUACUUUUCUUAUGUAUUUUAUUUAUUCUUUUUAAUUUGCUGAAGUAGCAUUUGUUAGCACUUAGCAGGUUCUCUUUUCUUGUUCUUUCGCCACCAAAAACAAAAAAAAAAAAUCUUCUUCCUGUGUUCCUAUUAUGAACGCGAUUUGAGUGCAACAGCACUCAGACCUUGGAUGAAAGUAAAUACUUCGCCAUGGUCUAUCUCGACAUUUUGCUUAUUGGAAUGCAAUCUUUGGGAAUCAAGUUCCAUCUUUUUUAGGAUGAUGGUCUUUAACUGCAGUCGGUUAAACACUGCAUCGUCGGGGACACAAGUCGGUUAUUUCUCCAGCUUUUACAGUUAACGGACUUGAUUUUUUUCAUUUGCAAAUGGACACAAAGCAGGGAGGAGCAUGACAACGAGCCUCUUUUGAUCUCAUCUAUAUUCCUAUCACCCUUCCCUUACUACGCUAUCAGCCACCAAAGAGUACUUUCUCUCAGCACAUGAGCCUAUAUUGUCAUUGCAAAGUGCUUGCACUUCAAACAAAUGCGGAAGUAGGAUGUGCAAUUUAGAGUGUCUGAUUUGAUUCGUAUACAGCGGGUUCAACCCUCGACAAGUUUGGAUGUCACACCUUAAAAGGCACAUUCUUCUGAACGGCUGAGUUUGCAGAAUCAAUAGCAAAGUGAACCUAGUGGGCACGUUUUCUCCGAACAUUUCCACAAAAUUUGGAAUUAGUUCCCCUUACAAAUAGGAACGAGGGUUUUCCCCCUUAUGAGAAGAUGUUCUUGACCUGGGAGUUUAGAAGGGAGUAAGGGCCCGUUUGGUUCGGCUUUGGGGGAAUGUCAUUUGGAGAAUGCAAAUAUCUUUGAGAGAAAGAGGCUUUCGGAAAUGUUAGACCGUUUGGUAAAUUUUAGCAUUGAAAUGCAACUUGGCAUAAAUACCGUUUGGCAAACUUUGCAUUUGGAAUUAGCUUUUGGUAUUUUUUAAUUUCUUUAAAAUCUGAAAUCAAAUUCCCGGCGGCCGGCCACUGCCGACCAACCGCCGGCGACCGCCGGACGGCCAGAUCUGGGCCGUCGCCGGACCACCAGAUCUGGCCGCCGGAGGUCGCGGAGGCCAGAUCUGGCCUCGCCUGGUCGCCUGGCUCGCGCGAGACUAGGCGACCGAAUUUGGUCGGGUGCUCCGAGCACUGCUCAGCCCGUUGCGUGGGUCGCGCAACCCAGGCGACGCCGCCUGAGGCCGCGACCCACGCGACGACGGUGCGUGGCGACGGCAGUGCAUGGCGACGGCAGUGCGUGGGCGACCAGCUCCAGCUAGUUGAGCUCCGCCGGCUAAAGCUUCAAUCUUGAAGAAACAAUGAAGACGAGGAAGACGAUGAACAGUUAUUUUUUAGGGUAAAAGAAGAAAACUAAAUUAUCAAUGAGGGCAAAAGUGGAAGAAAAAAAAAAUCAUUAAACCCCCUUCAACAUGCCGAAAAUGCUGAAUGCCCAAAGCAGGUCCCCACCUGCUUUGGGCUUUCAGCAUUCCAGAGUAUUUUAAAUGCUAGCAUUCCCCCAAAUAUACUCCCAAAUGCUGAACCAAACGGCUGAAAUUUUUCCCAAGGGGCUUUUGGGGCUGAAAGCCCCUUGGGAAUGCUGAACCAAACAGCCCCUAAGAGCCACUUAAAAGCUGUCGUAGUUUUGGAGAUGGUAUCAAACGACCUCUCAAAAAAGUAAUCCCAGUAUGCCAAACAUUAAUUAUUUUGACCUUUUACAAAAUCGUUCAUAUAUUUUUAGACAGUCAUUAAAUAAAUCGGUUUUAUAGCAAUUUCUACAAAAGCCAAUUUGUUAAUUCAAACAAUCCAAGAAAAGAACAAUAGAAGGAGAUUGCCAAUGCCAUUGGGAGGCAACUUGGCAAAGCGAGCACUUUUGUGAGGUAUAAUAAGUCAGAGUUUAACAUCAUAUGGAUCAAAGUCUUUGAUCGCGAAUAAAGAAAUGGCAAAACCACAAUCACAAAACUGAGGGUAGUUGGUAUAAUCGAAAUUUCAUUAAAAACUACUGUCGGUAUAUAAACUUGUUAUUUUAUUCCAAAGACAAAAAUUAUAAAUAUAUUACCAAAGCAGAACAACAUAUAGAAGAACUGAAGUUGAGAUCUAGACUUCUUAAAUUUUGGGGAGAAAAAGUUUCUACAAUAAGUUUUUAGGUACUGCUUUCAAGAAUGCUUUAGUAAGAUUGGCGGAACUGUAACAACUAAACUGAGAAUGGUCUUUCUUUAAUUUUCAGCGUCUGGCCGAGUAUAUGCAUCUACAAUGUCAAUAAGUGCCGGACACCGAAACUCAAUUGAAGAGGAGGACUGGGGAAAGUCGGGGAGUUGCACCAUCCACAACCCCUCCAAGUAUAGAGGUUCUGCAGAACACUGGGCAGUGAAAUACCACCCUCAGGCCUCCCUUGCGUCCGCAGAUGCUGCUAACAGUACUUUUCCUUCCUACUUAUGACGAAUGUCGAUAAAAUGAAAAAACAAUUAACUACAUUCAUGCCAUUCUUGUUUACUUAUCAAGCAUAUGCACACGAAGUGACACCUGCUUAUUUCCGUCUUCGGCUGGGCUUCGUGCUCUUUCUGGUUGGAAAUGAUUACUCCAAACGCACGGGUAAUAGGGUUCCUCCUUUGACGCCAUCUUUAUCAGUCAUCUUACCGAAUGUUUUCUGGUAUCCAAUAAACACCUCAAAUUCUUUGAUCCGUUAAAGAUGACAAGGAACAUAUUGCUGUCAACACACGUUACAUACACAUACACGCGGUUGGCAAUAUUAUGAAAACCAUAUGAAGGAAUAAAGUUUUGAGGUUCAGAAAAUGUACCCGUUUAUCCACAUUUAGUAUUUUUUUCAUUCUUCGACUUUAGUGACAAAAUUAUCCUGCACAUGUGAAGAAAUCGUAUGUGUGCUUCAUUCAUGUCAAAUCAGAUGGGAGGACUAAGUUCUCCGGACAGCUUUAAAUUGACUAAACUCGUCUACAAGUUGCAUCAAAUACAAUCCAUAACUAUGCUUAUCUAGGAAGAUUAGCCCACAUGACUCGAAUGAAGAUGAACAAGAUGAGUAUACUUUAAAAUGCUGCAUAAUUAUUCUCUACCUUGUAUGCAUAUUAAGGAACUCAAAAGGCAUCUAAACCCACAUCGCUUAAUCUGUGAAGCUCGAAUAAGGGUUAUGUCGACCAAGAGCAUAUUCUUUUCCUUUUAUUUUCUAUGUUCUCGAAGUUGGAAAUUUCAACACUACACAUCAUGAACAACCAAUGAACUGUUAUUGGAAUUAGUAAAUUUUUAAUGUUGCAAUUAAAUUUUAGUCGCAAACCAUCACAGAAUUAUUUGCAAAAUUUUCUAGUGUGCAAAAUUGUACUUUGAACUCGAACAAUGACUGUGGAGUUUUGAACAUUAACUUUCUGCCGAUAAAGUUAAACCUCUAAGGCAAUAGCACUAAAACAUCAAAAGGGAAACAAAAUCACAGAUGAAACAUACAUUAACAAAGGAACCAAAUAAGAGAGAGGUCGUCCCGUCUCGCCACUUCUUUGAAACUUCUUCAAAAAAAAAUUCCCAAUAACUACCUACUUCAUCUUCUUGCCACGUCCUCUAACCAAUAUUAACUCAAACUUGGUCAUUUCCCUCCAAAGUAUGGUGAAAAGCAGGCAUAUUAUCUAUUCAAUAAAUUCUCACACAACAUAAAAUGACUUUUCCUUGCACCUUUAAUGAUGUGUCAUAAGUCAUUUAUAAUCACAAUUCAGAUAUUUGCAUUGGGUGUUGUAGUUUCUCUAUCCUCUUCCAACUACUUUCACCCUUUUUACCUCAAUUUGUGACACCAUCUAAAAGUUCAAACUAUUGAACUCUUCCUCUUCACAUUACCAUCCUCACUUUUUUCUCAUCUUCUCAAAUGUUAUUCCGACCUUCCCUCUCAUGACCGACCGACCUAACUUAAAUGAAUUAUGACCAGCAUUGACUUGGGCCAUUAGGUCCAGCAUGAUAGAACUCAAGCGGGCCGACCCUAACCCGAAUCUCUCUUCAACUGAAAUUCACAUGCCACAUGGCACGCUUCCAUUAGUUAAAAUCCUCGUUGUCUACAAUAGAACAAAUGACGCCCAAUGGUCUAAUCAAUUUUCGUGAAAACUGUGUGGGAGCACAAAACUCUAGUUUAAAAAUUUUUAAAAAAAAAAAACAAAGCUAUUCUACCACCGGCCAAUCAUUACAUGUUCCGACUCCUUCGCUGGUCGCGCCGUCGACCAUCAAUCUCAGGAGGAUCACGUUUGUUCAUUUCAUCGAGAGCACCAUUCCAGAACUAUUUUAAAUAUUAAAAAAAAAAAAAUGGAGCAAGGAAAAUUCAUCUCGAAAAGGCGAUUCCGUUCGAUUCAGUUGGCGAUUUCAAGCGUUCUGAAUUGAUCCCAGUGGCGGUCGCCCGCGUCAACAGCCUCUUCAAUGCCGCGACUCAUCUCCUUCGUUUCCCUUCCGCGGCCGAGAGCUUCGAAAUGUUGUCGUUCCGCUCGAAGCUUCUCCACCUGUUCAGGUUUCGAUCAUCGACACGUUCCAUAGCUUCUUUCAGUGAUUCGUGCGCCAAACCGCGGCCUCAGUCCGCUUGAUUAACCGGGUAGCAUCUCCUGUUCUGUCGUCACAAGUAAGAGGCCGAGAGUCCGAUUCUCUUAUUAUGAUGAAAUUGAUCAUAGCUGACUUUUUUUUCAUUGACUUCGAACAUCAUGUACUGAUUUAGGUUGAGUCUAGUUACAAAUUUGGGUUCGAAAUGGCUUUGAUCUGUUCCACAACCGAUUCACCAUAACCUGUUCGGUGAAAUGUGUCUGAGACCUUGGUGUGAAUUGAUUCCAGUAAUCUUCCGAUUUGAAAGCACAUUAGUGAUGUUCACUUGAUAUUGUUUGAUUUUUUAAUCUUUAGACAUGAUUACGAGUAUACACCAAUAGUUGCCAAGGAUGAAACUGACUCUCCGUUUGUUUCCUCGGUGGUUCCUGUGAUCUUUUGGUGAUUGGUGGUGGUUGGCGAGACGAGAAGGCUUGGAGUCACUGGCACACGCGUGAUCUUUGGUGAUGAUCAUAGUACACCCUGUUGAACAGAAUUCAGAUGACGUCGCUGAGCAUGAAUCGCGAUCACGCCAAUUCAGAUCACUAACUUUGGCCGACACAUGUUUCGGUCACUAACUGGAGCAAUGUUAUGGCUACUUGCUAGCCUUAUCGUUGCUGCUGAGUUGCCUCACAAUUUCCUCAACCGCCGAGCUUUGCUUCUGUCCAUGCCUUGCAGUCCAUCGUUGCCAUUGUAAUUGCUGUGGUAAACCUACCUUGCCAUACCGCCAUGCGUUACCGAUAUGGAUUGACGUACCGAUAGAGCUAUAUCCACUGCGUUUUGUUAAAAACUGGAUCACCUCAUACCACCGGCUUGUUUCUGGUCCAACUGAUUUUUAGAGUUGACUGUAUAUUCUGAUUUCCUUCACUCCUUUGUUUUUUAUGUUCAGGAUUUUGCGCAUCUUCUUAAACCGAAUCAUGGGAAAGCUAAGCGGUUCGAAGUCCAGUCAUCAUGGGGUCAAUACUUUGUCACAAAAUCAUCGCAGAUUGCCUGCUUUGCCAUUCCUGUCUUGUCCUUUGAUUAUUGAUUACUCCACCUUCGUCAAUUUCAUUGUCCAGAAGCAGGUGCUAAAUCUGAGAACACCCACUAAAAUGAUAUUUUAUGUCUGUCGUCUAUUUCCUGCUUUAUUCUCUGUGGAUGACAUAUUCUACUUCACACGUGCUGUCGAGGGAGAUCAUGGUCCACAAUCAAUAUGAAGUGAGCAAGUUGUAUUUACUCUCUGUCAUUAGUUGAUAAGCUUUUGGGUAUGACAAUCAAGGAAUGAAACCAGUUAGUAGCUUGCUCAGAAUUAGUAAAUGAGGAUUUAUUUCUUUCUUAGAAGUGUCAAUGCCAUCGCUUUGUCUCUGAUUGUGGAAAGAGUUUAUUGUUCUUUUUGAACUUGCAUAAAAAUCGAUGGAAUGCUUAUGAAGCAGUGAGAUACCCGGAAUUUACAAGUUUUAUGAAUUGGUGUGUCCUGUUGUUGCAUAUGCUGUAGUUUAGCGGUUAUUGUUCAUCUAUGUUUGCUGAACCGUUUGAUUUAUCACUUUCAAUUAACAAGAUUUUGAUAAAGACACGUGACAAUUGUGAGAGAUGCACUGAAACUGGCACUUUGGUGAUGACAGUGCUCCUUCGUGUUGGAGCACUGUCAUUUAUGAUGUUGGAGAAGUGAAUAUGUGUUGAAGGUGCCAACCCCUCGUGAUCUUGGACCCACUCGUUGAAGAAAUGGAGAGGUAUAAACGUAAUCACUUUCCUUCUCUUCGCAACAAUUCUGCCAUUCCCAUAGAAGUUCCAAGAGUACAAUGAGGUCACUUAAAAAUAAUAAAACAGAAAAUGGAGAAACAUUUUGAAUCGGAAGUAGAUAAACUAGUGUUCUAUUAUGGUUUUCUCCUAAAAUAUGUGGUGCUUAGAACCAUUGAGAGAGAGAGAGAGCUUUUCGGAGUAAUGCUUACAACCGUGGCUGAUCAGUCAAAUAGCACAUUGGACAAUGUACAAGACUAUGUUAAGCAGGGAGAAUUAAGAUAGGUAUCCGCGUGCUUUAUUUUCUUUGCGCUUCCAGCUGAGUUGAAGCUAGAUAUAGGUGGCAUGCAUCUAUGAAAAAGUAUAUCUACAGUGCCAGAGUAAACGAGGUAAGUCUGAUAAUUGUAAUGGAGGUAAUAUACAUUUUGCAGCCCCAGUAAUGGACAUGUGACUUUGGCCAACAAAAUGAACAUACGAAGCACAAAACCAGAAACAAAAUCUUUCAUUGUCACCUGUCAGCACCGGUAAAAGCAUCACGCACCUGCAAACUUCAAACAUCUCACUUGACUGAGUCCAAACUCCAAAUCUUUGCAUGGAAAGUAGAAUUGGAUAACAAAAAUGUUCACAGCAUACAAAUAAGAGGGCGCAUGAAGCUAUUGCUUCAAUUUUGCUGCUGAAGAGCGCCCCACUAUUUUCGGAAUCCUCACUGCAACUGCAACUACCACAAUUUCCUUGAAGUGAUUCACAGUAUGAAUUCAUCUCCCAAAGUUUUCCGUCAAAAUUUGAUUCAUUAAGUCGAUGAAUGUAAGUGUCCCCAACGUAGUCCCAAAUUUGCUGCGUUCUUAAAUCUAGAGAAUAGCAAUAUUGUGUAUUUUUCCAACGGCUGAUCGCGUGCUUAUCUUUGCAUCUACAAACCCAAAAAGGAAAAGCUGUAACAAGACAGCCUACCAAACACUAAAAUAUAGACCGAUCAUCAUACACCUUCCACAUCUUCCAAAACCACAUAUCAGACAAACCCAAAGAUAGAGCAAAUUGAGAUGGAGCAGAACGAAAAUAUUCUUCAGGGUUAGUUCACAGAUGGGCAUCCCUGAUGAUGUUGCAAUAUGGAGCCACAUAUGCGAUAAUGUUUAAUUCUCGCAAUCUAAUCAAGUAUGUGCCAUACUUAAAAUCUAUAGCAAUGUAAUUGAACCUUGCAAUAAAAUCAAAGGAAGACCCUUGGCACAUCACUAGCAUUGGAGAAUAUCAUAUUGACUUAUUUUAAACAUAAAGAUUGACGAAUCAAGGAAAGGUAAGUAAGCAUAUGUCCAUUGAUGGAUAAUCCUAUGUGACACUUUUUCAUCUUUUGAUAUAUACUCGAGUUCAAAGUUACUUCUUUGCUACAAAUUUACAUGGAUGGAGCAUUAUCACAAUCAGUGGAAUAUAACUUGAAAUGUGAAAAAUGACCAAGCGCCAUCUUAUCUAACAGCUAGAAGUUUGAGAUCAAAGAUCAGCACUUUGACAUCAUUAUGAUCACCUAUGUCAACAAUGAAUACUUAAGUUCAACACAUAAACUCAAUAAUUUAUGAUUUGCCAGUGCUAUUGCGAUCACCCUUGGAUUCACAAUAAAUUGGACACAAUGGUGAUAGGACCAUUAGAUCAAAUAACCAUAAUGAGACACUGCAGUUAUUCUCAUGUCAAGGUAUAAGAAACAUCAAAAAAUAAGUCCAAAAAGCCACACCAUGGACCUAUUCCAAACAUUAGAAAAUGUCAUAAUCAUUUAAAGUGUUGAUAAAACCUCCAUAUAUAUUUUAAAAUUAACAAAACUAUCCAUGUUUGUAUUGAUCUUGGUAAUCGCAAAAAAGGCAUUUGUGUUUUAGGUACUAUCUAUGUCGAAAGGAUUUUUCUUGUCUAAUAAGAAUUAUUAGACAAAGAAUGAAGAGUUGUGGACCUAAGCAGGUCCUUAAAAGGCUCAAGGAGGAAACAAGCGAGAUAACCGCCCUGAGAUGGGAGUUUCUGCACUGUCCUCCGUAUUCCCUCUUUGUCAGGAAGACAAAGAUAGACAAGGAAUUUCGGGGUCUCUCGGUGGGAAAGGUAGACUCCACGUCAGAGCUUGCUUUGGCUACCGCCGGGUAGAGUGGUAUAAUAGCCACCCGUGCUUGGGGUGAGGGAGGGUGGGUGAAAUGCCCACUGCUGUGUUAGCACGCCUUAUGGCACAGUUCCUAACCACCGGCUAACACAGUACCCCGGUAUAUGUGUGAUAUUAGCAAGUGACCUACAUUGAUGCCAGCAAGUCAAAGGCUAGACAUCAACAAGGCAACAUGCUAGAUAUCAGCAAAGUCCCACAAAAGCUAAGUAUAAGCAUGAAAUUGAUUUACAAGAUUAUUCUUUGAGACAUUUUAUCUCAUUUUUAACAACUUGUGAUUAGGUAUGGAUUGCCUCUUAAGGAAACAUUGAUUGUCUAUCUCAUAGAUUGUCUUAGCAAAAGACUCAAUCCUGUAAGAUAUUUUGAUUGAUUGGCAAUCAUCUUCAAAGGCAAGUUUCUUUCCAUAGUAGAAGCAUUCUAUUUUUUAUAACCAAGGUUUAAUUGUAUGGGCGACCAAAUGAAAAAGCCACAUUUCAUAUUCUUCCCUAAAAUAUAUUUUGUUUUAUCUUUCAUAAUAUAAUCAUCAUUACUAUAUGCAUCUUCUUGUUUAUUUCUCAUAACAAAACGCAUAACCAAUACACUAUCGUCCUUAUGAACUACAUUGUCUACCACAUUAACAUGUCUUAUCUUAUUUUUUAUUUAUUACUAUUAUUAUUAUUAUUUUGUAAAUUGAGGUAUUGCAUUAAACAUCUUAACAAACUUUAUUCUAUUUAGGAAACAAAAAGUAACCAUUUGGUUAAGAUAUAUAUUUAUGACAAUGUAAUUGGUCAAGGUUGUGACAUUGUUGUAUAGUCAGUUCAUACUGUCCAAUCACUAAUGACAGCGACCUAUAACGAGUAUUGCUUAUUAAUUUUCUUUUCUAUAUUUUGUUAUUGAUUAAAUAUGCAAGUCUAGUCAGGUGUGCUGGAUCUCAACUUUCAAUAAAAGCUUCAUGUGCACUUGCUCAAAGAUUUAGAUUUAUGGAUUUUAUUGAUCACAUGUUGUUGGACAAUGUCAAUUACAAAAUUUGGAUUAUUUAAGGUUUGUGCCGAGAUGGUGUGGCAUUAACAUAUAUUCCCAAAUGUGAAACCAAGAUGUCAAAAACUCGGGAAGGGCCAGGAGUUUGUGAAAGGAAAAAGAAGGGACCAAAAUUAUCUUGUUUAGGUCGUGAGAUGGAUUUAACGUAAUGUAUAACUCAAUUAGUUGUUGUGUAAAUAAGAUCGUCAUAAUCAUCCAAUUUGCCCAAACAAGGACAAACAAAUCUUAUCAUAUUUACCAUCAAUCGAUUUUUAAUUAUCUUGACAAUCUAAUAUCUAUAUAGUAGAUUCUUCAGAAUUGUUACUAUAUUAAAUGUGCUAAUAUGCUUGUAACUCCAUUCAAACUAGGAUAUGGAGCCUAAUCCGAGUCCCAUCUUUAGUAAAAUUUUCAUGUCUAAUUUUCAAAGGCCAUUAAACAGCAGAAAAGAAGUGGCUCUGCGUAGAGGGUUUGUAUUCUGGUUUUCUAAUAAAUUAGGUAUCUAUUUCAAAAUUAUAUGCCAAAGAGCAUAUCAUUAUCAUUAAAUGCUGCCGUAAUCUACUUUAUUUAUUUAUUUACUAAAAUUAGUUGGUGGAGAAUACGCACCUCCCGCAUAAUGCCGCGUAAAUAAUAAUCCAAGGAGUAAUGUUUUUGUGAUUGACUCGUGUGUAUUUGCACCGGAAUCAUGGGAUUAUUGCUAUGCUGGUUAGUUUUCUUUUCUAUUUCUCGUAUUAACAGAACAGCAAAGUCAAGUCAACAACCACGAGCAUAGGAUUCUUCCACGCACCUCCUGCAAACAGCUGUGGAAAUUACGCGUGCAUUGAUUGACCUGUGGAAAUUGGCUUUGGUGAGAAUUGAUGGUUGGUCUUCAUUUCUAUUUCUUUAUUAGUAGAAAAAACAAGUCAAGUCAAAAAGCGUAGGAAGGUCCCCGCGCCUGCUGCAAAAUGUAGUGGAAAUUACGCGGGCAAUAGUUGCCCAACAGUUGUCUUUUCUAUUUCUCUUAUUGAUACAAAAGGCAAGGCAAGUCGAGUCAAGGUCCUCGCUUUGGAUAAAUAAAAUGUUUAGAAAUAAAAUAUCAUUAACAUUAUAAAUAUUUGUCAUUAAAUUAAUUAUUUUAAUUAAUAUAAAUAAUCAUUCUAAAGGAUAUAAUGAAAUUAUUUUUUAUUAAUUAAUUAUUUUAAAUGAUACAAGUAAACAUAAUAUUUAUCGUUUCAAGAAUUUACUUGUAUUUCUCUAAAAAAUUAAUCAAUAAAAAAUAUUUUCAUUAUCAAUGAUAAUUUAUGUUUAAAUAUUUUCAUAAACAAUUCAUUUAUUUAUUUUAGUAAGUAAUAUAAAUGAUUAUUUUUAAAAAAUAUUUUUUGAAUUAUUUAUAUUUUAUGGAACAAACGCACGCUAAAAGCUCCAAACAAAUGUUAAACUGAUGUGAUGAAGUAUUAAGGUGCCCUAUCAAGGGCCCCAAACGUUAAAUCCUCGAAGUUGCCAUACAGCUUGUACCUAUCAAAGAAACUCAAAAAAAUCUACCCACACUGAUAUGAACAAGACAAACUGGUGGACUAGAGAGAGCCUUGUAAGAUGAACCAAAGAUAAGGAUGGAAUCUUGAACACCCAAUGAAACAAGAGAUACAGAUAUCACAAGAUAAAGCUCAAAAUUCAUUUAUAAUACAUUUUGUGGUGUGUUUAGGCCAUAGACCGAUCAUAUCUUUCAUUCUCAUUGGAUGCGUAGGAAUCCAAUAUCCUAAUAUAUAAUAUAGGUGCGUUUCAAAGGUUGUGGUCUCCGAAUAUGCAAACAUUUUUUUUUUGCUAAUAAGGUGCUAAUUUGUCUUUACCUUAGUGUGAGUGGAAAUCCAUCACUGACCUCACCAGUAUUUUCCAUGAUCUAAUUUCAAAUAGUAGAAGAUUAAUGUGCCAGUUGAGCCUAGAAAUCCUUGCCCAAGAUCGAUCAUGAUUAAAGAAUAGGAAAAUACUACCAACCCCGGGUCUAUAAGGAGAGAAUUUAUCUUUUGUUUUUUCAUUUAUCUUUUUUAGUUUUUGCCGCACUCUUAGUUAAAUAUUCCUUAAUCUUAUGCAAUUAAAAUAGUUGCGCUCACAUUAAGGACCCAAUUGCACUAUCACUUGAAUUAUUUUCCUAAAAUUAACUAUUUAUAUCAUUUAAAAUAAUUAGCUAAUAAAAAUAUUUUAAUUAUCAAUGAUAAUUUAUAUUUAUAUAUUUUGUAUUUUUUAAAAAGCAAGCAAGACUUUGACUUGACUUGUCGUGCCUUUUCUAUGAACAAGAGAAAUAGAAAAGAAAAUCAAAGGGCAAUUAUUGUCCGCGUAAUUUCCAUUGCAUUUUGCAGAAAGUACCGGGGACCAUCCUCUGCUUCUGGAAUUGAUGUACUUUAUCUACUGAUAAAGGAAAUAGAAAUGAAAACGAACGAGCAAUUCUCCACCAUCUAAUUUCCACAGGGCAAUCAAAUGCACGCGUAAUUUUCACAGCAGUUUGCAGAAGGUGCGUGGAACCAUCCUGUGCUGGUGCUUCUUGACUUCACUAUGCAUUUCUCCGUUAAUAAGAAAGAUAGAAAAGAAAACUAACCAGCAUAGCAAAGCUCCCGUGCUCUCGGCGGUAAUUUAAACGAGUUAAUAAAAACAAAUCACUUGUCGGAUUAUUAUUUCCGUGGUAUUAUGCGGAAGGUACGUACUCUCCGCCAACUAAUUUUAAUAAAUAAAUAAAAAGAAAAUAGAUUGCAAUGGCAUUUAAUGAUGAUGAUAGGGUGCACUGGAAAGGAAAGUCAGAAAUUUUUUCCUUUUUUCUUUUACCAAUCUUUCUUUCAUCUAAAUAAAUUACUAACUCAUUCAUAUAUAUAUUUAGAUGAUGAAGAAACCUUCCGAUUUCCAUUAUUCAUAUUCGGUUCAUUUCCUUUAGAUAUUUUGCCUCCCAAGCAAGUAAAUAUCCAGGAGCUCACUAAUUCCAUCAAUUCUUGCUACACUUCUCGAUCCUCAAAAGAGUCUGAACCAAUGUUUAUCAUUUGUCUAGAAGUUUGAUCCUCAAAAGAGUCUGGACCAAUAUUUAUCAUUUGUCUAGACAACUUAUAUAACAGACAAACUGUUCUCCUCCUAGAUAUCUAGGAUUUCUAAUUUUUUCUUUUCUUUUCCUCGGGGAGGGAUUCACCCAUCGGCCAUGCCCACCAAUUAUUAGAAGCAUCAUUAGGAAAAAAAUAAAUGCGCCCUACUAUGCGACAAAGUUACAUUCCAUAUUCUUCCUUAAAAUAUAUUUUGUUUUAUCUUUCACAAUAUAAUUAUUAUUAAUCCAUUGUUUGUUUUUUUUUUGUAACUAAACACAUAACCGGUACGAUGUCGUUCUCAUAAACUACAAUGUCCAUCAUAUCAUAAUGUCUUGUUAUGUUUUUCUGUUUUUUUAUUUUUAUUUUCGUUUGUAAAUUGAGGUAGUGUAUUGAACAUCAUUUAGUUAUGGUGAUAUAGUUUAAUAGUGUGAUUGGUCAAGGUCCUGAUAUCAUUGUAUAGUUAGUUCGUACUAUUCAAAUGCUAACGAUAGAGACCUGUAACGAGUAGUGCUCGUUAUUUUUUUUUAUAUAUUUUGUUAUUGAUGAAAAAUGCAAGUCCAAUCAAGUGAGCUGGAUCUCAAAUUUCCAUCAGAGCAUCACUUGCACUUGCUCAAAGCUUCAAGUCUAUGGAUUUCAUUGUUUGCACGUUGUUGUAGGAUGUCAAUCGGAAAGUCCGGAUUAAUUAAGGUUUUUAAAGAGAUGGUUCGGCGUUAACAUGUAUUCCCAAAUAUGAACCCAAGAUUCCGCGAACUUGGGUGGGGCCAACUACAAUGUCUUGUGAGUUUGUGAAAAGGAAAAAGAACAUUUUUGAUCAAAAUCAUCUUGUUUAUGUCAUGAAAUGGAUUUAACAUAAUGUAGUAAAUCAAUUAGUUAUUAAUCGUGCUAACAAGAUUGUCAUAAUUUUGUCCAACUUGCCCAAGCAAGGACAAACAAAUUUUCCCGUAUUUACUAUCACUUCAUUUUUAAUUGUCUAGAUAAUAAAAAAGCCAUAAAUUGUAGAUUCUUCACAAUUUUUACUAGAUUAAAUGUGCUAACAUGCUUGUAGCUCCAUCCGAACUCGAACAUAGAGUUUCACCCGAUUCCUCUCUUUAGUAAAAUUUCCACAUCUAAUAUUCAAUCGGCAUUAAACAGUAGGAACGAAGUAGUUAUAUGCACAAAUUUGAUAGUUGUAUUACGAUUUUAUGAUAAAAUAGGUAUAUUCUUCAAAACUAUAUGCCAAUAUGCAUAUCAUCAUCAUUAAACACUACAGCAAUUUACUUUUUUUAACUUUAUUAAAAUUAGUUGGCGGAGAAUACGCACCUUCCACGUGAUGCCGUGAAAAUAAUGAUGCAAUGAGUGAUGUUUUUGUGCUCAUGUAUAGUGGCACCGGCGGCAUGGGAGCAUUCCUAUGCUGGUUAGUUUUCUUUUCUAUUUCUCUUAUUAGUUGGAAAAAAAAGGCAAAGCAAGUGAAGAAGCACCAGUAUUGCAUGGUUCCACGCACUUUCUGCAUAACUGCUGUGGAAAUCACGCGUGCAUUGAUUGCCUUGUGGAAAUUAGAUCGUGGAGAAUUAAUCGUUGGUUUUCAUUUCUAUUUCUUUUAUUAGCAGAAAAAGCAAGUCAAGUCAAGAAGCAGAGGAUGGUCCCUGACACCAUCUGCAAAACGCAGUAGAAAUUACGCGGGCAAUGGUUGCCCUUUGGUUUUCUUUCCUAUUUAUCUUAUUGAUAGUAAAGGCAAGGUAGGUCAAGUAAAAUGUUGACAAUUAGUGGAGGUCACAGCGGCAGGUGAGCAGUCAUAAGCGUCAGGGGGGAAUUAUCCAUCGAGCACGCCCACUAAUUACUAGAAGCACCGUUAGAAAAAAAAGAUACACACUUUACGAUGUGAAGAAGGAAUUGCAUUUCAUUUUCUUUCCCAAAACUUUAAUUUGUUUUAUCAUUGCUAUUUAACCUUUGUUUCGUGCAUACACUUAUUUAUUUCUUAUAUAAGGAUACAUGUAAUUGGUAAAAAUGUCAUCCUCGAGAACUACAAUGUCCACUAUAUUACCAUGUCUCAUUUUUCUUUUUCCAUUUGUACUUUGAGGUGGUAAAUUAAAAAUGUUAACAAAAACAAAUUCUACUCAGGAGUCAAGUCAAGUGUGAUGAAUCUCAAAUUUCGAUCAAAACGUCACACAUUUGGUAGAAAUUUCAAAAUCUAUGGAUUUCAUUAUUUACAUGUUAUGGUAGUAUGUCAAUCGGAAGGUUUGAAUUAUUUAAGAUUUACACAAAAAUAAAUCUAACAUAAGGCGACAACUCAAUUAGUUCUUAAUUAUGCAAAUGUCGUGAUUGUCCAACUUGCCCAAGUAAUAACAAACAAACCUACCCAUAUAUACUAUCAAAUCGUUUUUUUUAAUUUUCUCGAUAAUCUAAUAAUCAUUGGGAUAUAGGGUCUCAUCCGGUUCUUGUAUUUCGUAUGAUGUCUACAUCGUUUCUUCAAUUGACCGUAAACAAUGAUGAAGCGACUCUACACACAUGAAUUUGGUGGUCGUCUUCUGCUUUUCUGAUAAAAUGGGUCCCCCCUUCAUAACUAUACGUCAAUAUGACAUGAUGCUUCCUAUAAAGAAAGAGGGAGGGAGAGAGAGAGAGAGAGCGCAUUAUCGCAAUCUGCACAAUCGGAAUUGAUUGUUGCUUUUCGGUUCUAUUUCUUUAUUCAUAAAAAAAAGUAAGUCAAGUCAAAAAGCACACGUACCUUCGCAUAAUGCUGGUGUGCAAUAAUUAUCCUGUCCGUAGCAUGCGAGACAGAGCAUUAUUGCAAUCUACACAAUCGGAAUUGAUUGUUGCUUUUCGAUGCUAUUUCUUUAUUCACAAAAAAAAAAAGCGAGUCGUACCUUCGCAUAAUGCUGGUGUGCAAUAAUUAUCCUGUCCGCAGCACGAGAGAGAGAGAGCAUUAUCGCAAUCUACGCGAUCGGAAUUGAUUGUUGCUUUCCGAUGCUAUUUCUUUAUUCACAAAAAAAAAAAAGAGAGUCGAGUCAAAAGGUACACGUACCUUUGCAUAAUGCUGGUGUGCAAUAAUUAUCCUGUCCGCAGCACGUGACUUGAGUUGUUGGAUGGCAAGUCAGCAUUAUGUGCUCUUUUGGACGAAUCUCCUUUGAAAUAAAAAGAAGAAGAGCAGAUUUUGGAUUGAAAAUAAUGAAUUGUCCUUAUUCGAAUAUCUAAACAAAGUGUCCUACUGACAUUUAUGUUAUAAUAUGUUUUUGUGAUUGACUCAUGUAUAUUAGUAUUGACAGCAUGGGAGUCUUGCUGGUUAGUUUUCUUUUCUUUUUCUUUUAUUAAUAAUAGUUAAAAAAGCAAGUCAAGUCAAAAAACACUUGCAUAGAAUGGCCCCACGCACCUCUAGGUUCCCGUACCUACCGCGUAAUGCCGGGGGUAUUAUCAAACAGCAUUUUCUUUCAUUUUAAGUACUUAAAAUAGUCUGAAAUUCAGUACUAAAAAAUUUCAGUAAUUAUUUACCAGUUUUAUCUAAACGGGCAUGUACUCGCAGCUUAUUUUUCACAAAUGAAUUAAGUUCAGCAUUGGCUGAAAAAAAAAAACAAGUUGAUGCAAGUUGAAAAUCGAGUUCUAUCGCAUAAGGUUCGACUUGAAAUUACCAAUGCAAUCAUUUACUUUAAGCCAUCAGAGUACAAUGCUUAAUAUAUUUUAGAUCUUAACAGCUUAUUUGGUUUGAUUUCUAGCUUUUUCUUGACAACAAAGCAUAGAUGAAGUAUGUUAAUCCGCAUAUCAACAAAUUCUCCACUAAUGCAAAAUAUCAGCAAGACACAAGUCUCCAAAUACGAAAGAAUUUAUGCUUACAAAUAUGAUGAAUCAACACAAAUUGCGUACUUAGGCUCCAUAUACUAAUUUUUACUUUCUAUUCUCUCGCACCUCUCGUAGUCGAACUUUUGCUUAACAAAAAUUAUUUAAAUGAUUCAAAAUAUGUAGAUACUCUCACGUAGAAAAUUAUACAAUUAUGUUUGUAAUUUAACUUGAAGAAUGUACAUAUUUAAAAUUUUUCAAAUGUAGAACAUCAAUUAUAUUUUUAAGUGCAGCCCAAAUUUUUAUCAAAGGGCCGCAUACCAAAAUUUUCUUUUAUUCUGAAAGAGGUAAUGCACCUGAUUAGUCAUUAGAGAAAAAGGCCAAAGCAUGGAGCCGCCUCAGUUAGCGCUGUCGUCGAGCGUUGCAUAUUCCCCAUCUCCUUUUUCAGAAGCCAAAAGAAAUCGCCCCGAACGUCAAACCCGCCCACUCGCCUCGGUCAGGGAGAGCACGUGAACUCGCUCGGACCGCGCGCCACGUGAGCUCGAGGGGGCAAUUCGGUACAUUCCGAGUGGCCGAAGAUAUUCCUGAGAUGCGAGGUGGGGACCACGCGUUGGCUUCGGUUUCUGAGCAGCUGACCGUCGUAGCGGUCGAGCAACGCGGAGAGGAGGAGCGGCGUGGGUCCGUGUGAAGAGACAACCUAAGCAGAAUCCACGAGGUAAAUUUCUACUCAUUUUUCGUGGAUACAAGUCUUCGUCUAGUUGCUUUAGGGUUUCCACCAUUACUUAAGGCCUCAGCUUGCAUAGCAGAGUUUAUUCUUACCGAUCUAGCAAAUUCAUCCAUCAAAUUUCCAUAAUUGUUUCGGCAAACACAACUUAUUGCUCCGAUCGUCAUUCCGGGCAAAAAAGUUCUAUUUAUAUUGAUUUUGAGGGUGUCUUCGCUUGGGCCAAACUAGAUCUGAGGUGAGGCUUCUUCGCCUUUUCCCAACUGUUGAAGCACUAAUUUUUCGCCAUGGUUGAGCUUAUAAGGUGCUUCGGAUUUGGCUUUAGUUUGCGGAAAACAAAGUAAUUUCUUUCUUUCCAAAUACGCCAGAGGAUAGAUGCAAGGAGGUCGAAACAUGCAGAGGAUGAUUGAAUUUAAGUAACCAUUCAUCUAUUCGACCAAGUCUAUAAGGUGAGAUCUUAAUUUGUAGUGCAGGAUCCAUCCAAAUUUGAUUCGUGCAAGGGCAAAGUAAGAAGAGGUGCUCUACCGUUUCUGGGUUCUGUUUACAUAAAUCGCAGGUACUUUCUUCCACUAUACCUCUCUUUUGUCGAUUUUCUUUUGUCGGCAAUGCGUUUUGACAUAGUCCCCAUAAGAAAAAUUUGAUUUUCGGGCUUGUCUUAGCCUUCCAGAUCUUUAUCCAAAGAGAUCUAGGGAUUUGGUGAGAGGUAGAGGCUGUGGUGUUAUUGUUCUAUUCUUCCUUCUCUUUGAUUCUAUUAUACCCACUUUUAAGAGUAUAGUCUUGUGCUUUUGUUUGUCCAGCAUAAUUUAUCCUCCUUUGCCUGGGAAUCAAUGGGAUUGUUAGAAUUUCAUUAGCUGUGUGCUCAUCGAACAAGGUCCCAAUAAAUUGUCCAUUCCAAGCUGGGAUAUCUCUGUGAAUAAGCUGGUUCAUCCCUGUUUGCGGGUCUUCCUAUAACUCCUUUGGGAAGCCAUUUUGUCUCUCUGAUAUUAAUCUUUUCCCCAUUCCCUGCUAUCCAUUUUACUGAAGGAAGAAUCUCGUCUUUGCUCAUUAGAAGAUUUUGCCAGAACCAUGAAAGUCGAUACCCCUUUGCAGUUGACCAAAAUUCAGAAUGAGGGAAUUAUAGACUUUUAGUAAUUGGCACCACAGUGAUGAAGGAUUUUGCAUCAUACGCCAUGCUUGUUUACCGAGCAUGGCUUUGUUGAAGGCAAUUAAAUUUCGAAAUCCCAAACCUCCAUUGUCUUUCCUAUGCUUAAGAAUGUGCCACUUCUUCUAGUGUAUUCCAGAUUUUUGUUCAGCAGUAUUCCAUAAAAGGGUCUCGAACGGUUGGACGGCAAUAACUCAGCAUCGUUCAAGCAAGCACGGGAGAGUGUUGAGCGUAGUUUAUCCAAGGUUGAAGGCUGAGAACCGGCAGAGAUCACAGUAGUAGGUGAAUUGUGUUGUUUGAGCACCCUUCAGGUAAUCGAUUGCUCCAUUUUCUUUUGAUGAGUUUCGAUUUGAGUUCUUGGAGACAUUUUUGCAUUCCGAGAUCUGGACUGUGAAAUCUAGACUUUUUUUCUUCAAGGCUCUGCUCGAUCGAUGUCCUAUUCGGUCAAUUAGACUUCAUUUCUGUUUGAAUUUAGCUACGAAAUGAGCUGUGACAGACAUUUCAGCAAUUCCCGAAUCUGGGAUUCCGUAUUUCUCUUUGCUUUCUGCUUUUCUUCGGGGCUGUGCUCCAUCAAUCUCUUCCAUUCCCUUUAUAGGUGAUUACAAAGGCGGAGCCUAAAAGAUUCGAUAUGUGGGGACAUUCAGAAGAUCCGAAUUGCGGGGCUUCUUCCUCAUCGACUUCUCCAACUGUAGGUGAUUAUGAAGGCAGAACCAAAAAGACGAAAAGAAACGACUACGAAGUGUUCUUGAGCUUUAGAGGGAAGGAUACUCGCAAUGGCUUCACCGAUUAUCUCUAUACUAGUCUUGUUGAUGCAGGAAUUCAUGUGUUCAGAGACGACAAUGAGCUUUGUGUUGGUGAGGUGAUUGGACCGGAACUUUUUCGCAGUAUUACACAAUCUAAGAUCUCCAUCCCGAUUAUCUCAGAGGACUAUGCAUCCAGCAAAUGGUGCCUUCGCGAGUUGGCUCUUAUGUUGAAUUGCAAGAGAAACAAAGGGCAAAUGGUGUUACCCAUAUUUUACAAAGUGGAACCUUGGCAAGUGAAGCAUCUCACAGGGAGAUUUGGAGAUGCUAUCGAUACACAUAAAAAGAAUUUGGAAGAAAAGAUUGUGAAGGAAUGGGAAGAAGCACUCAAAGAAGUCACUUCCUUGAAAGGAUUGGAAUCGGAGAAAAUUGAUAAUGGGUACAUUAUUCACCACCACAACAUUGUUUACUUUCUCAUAACUAGAUCUUACUUGAAAAAUAAUACAAAUAUUUCCAUUUUAUUGAAAUUUUUAUUGUUGUUCGACAGGCGUGAAGGAACAUUGGUUAAAAUAGUUGUCAGAAAAGUUAUGAGUAACUUAAAGGAAUUGUUUUUGCUAAAUGUUCCCAAACAGUUGGUGGGAAUUGAUGAUCAUGUGGAGCAUAUUAUGUGCUUCAUAAAUGCUAAAUUUAGUGAUACAAGUGUUAUUGGAAUCUAUGGAAUGGGCGGCAUCGGUAAGACAACCCUUGCGAAGGUGUUGUACAACAAGCUUUUGAGUCAUUAUGAGUCUCAUAGCUUUGUGGCAGAUAUCCGAGAAAAAAUAAAGCUCAAGGGUUUUGAAUGCAUACAAAAGCAGCUCAUUUAUGACAUAAGUGGAGGCUUACGUGAUGUGUCUAAUGUCGAUCACGGAAUCAAUAUCCUUAAAUCUCGAUGUAUAAAUAAGAAAGUACUCAUUCUUCUUGAUGACAUGGAUGAUAAUACUCCCUUGAAUGCUUUGGUCGAAGACGGUAGUUGGUUUAAAGCUGGAAGCAUGGUCAUCAUCACCACUAGAGAUAAGAGUAUUCUUGACAAGGUUGGGGUAAGAUACAAGUAUCAACUCAACGAGUUGCUUUCAGAUCAAUCAUUGGUUUUAUUUAGCAGACAUGCAUUUCGAACGGAUUCUCCUCCAAGUGAUUAUUGGGUUAUCUCUCGUGAUAUUGUAUCUACUACUGGGGGGCUUCCUUUAGCUCUUGAAGUUAUUGGUUCAUUCUUAUGUGGAAAGACAAAAGAAGUAUGGAAAGCUACAUCAAAAAAAUUAGAGAAAGUGCCUAAUAAGAAAGUGCAAGAGAAGUUGAGAAUAAGUUACGACGCAUUAGAGUAUGAGGAGCAACAGAUUUUUUUGGAUAUAGCAUGUAUUUUUAGUGGACUUUGUACAGAAGAUCUGACUUAUAUGUGGGAUGCGUGUGGUUUUUUUCCGGAGAAGGGGAUUGAAGUAUUGAGUCUUAUGUCCCUAAUUAAAAUUGAUGGAGAUGGCAUUCUAAUGAUGCAUGAUCAGCUGAGAGAUUUUGGAAGGGAAAUUGUUCGCCAAGAGAAUCAAAGGGAACCUCAAAACCGUAGCAGAUUAUGGAAUACUAAGGAAGCCGCAGAUGUGAUUUACAAUAACAAGGUAAGAUUUUAUCUACAUCUCUCAGUUAGUGAAUGUGAGCCCAUCUUCUCUUUUAUGUUUUGAGAUAAAAAAUUAUUGGCAAUCUGGAGCCCCUAAAACUUCUUCUACUAGCAAAAGAGCUCUUCCGGUUAAUUGCUUAUGUUGUUUUUGCCUGACUCUUUUGAACAUAAUUGAGGACCAAUUUCUUGGUUGUUGAUGAAUUAUAUAUACCUCUAUCUCGUAGUAUUGUGAUGAGGACCCUCUCCUUUGUAACUUCAAUGCAACUAAAAAAUUACAAAAGCAUAAUAUUUGACAGAGCAUUUUCAAAGAAAAGCUGAUUUUCUAUAAAUUGUUGGCGGCCAUGCUUUUCCCACGUACAUGUUUAAUGCACAUCCAUGAUGUUUGGAUUUUUUCUUUGAUUUCUUGUGAGGUCUUUGCAUCCUUUUUAUCUUUUACUGAGUAUUGAGUUUCUUAUGGGUUGUUUGCUAUGAUAAAUGAGACUUCCAUUCAUUUAUGGUGACUAGCUAUCUUAGUCCCGUAUUUUUUAGAAUUGGGUUAAGUAUAGUUUUCGUCUCCUAGAUAUUACUAUUUAUGUGAUUUAGUCCCCUAUCUAUUUUUUUUUAUUAUAAAUAUUAUAGUCUUUUGUCUUUCGCAAUUUAUGUAAUCAUGUUCUUUGUCUUCAACCAUUAGUCACCACCAUGAUAUGACUUUCAUAUUUAUUUAAGAUAUAUGCGCAACCUUGCAAUGUAACCCUCUAAACAAAUAUUAUUUUCGUUCCAUAGACUUUCUAUAACAGUGCAUAUAUUUUUUCUAUGAAUUUGCUACUAUUAUAUUUUAAUUUUCUGACAAUGUAUAAUAUUUCUAUUAAUCCCCUAAUAACAUUUAUUUGUCAAAUAUUCACUAUCAUCCCCUAAUAAUCACUUCUUCAUAGCUCAACUCUUGGUGAGCAUCUUAUUUAACAAAAAGAUUUACUUAAUUUUAUAUCAUCAUUUGUUAAAUAUGGGCUAGCAUGUGACUUAAUUCUUGUAUCGAUUUUUUAUUUACCAAAUAUUGACUGCCACAGUAUAAUAAAUAUUUCUACAUCGUUCAACUCUUAGCAAGCAGUUAAUUUAGCACAUAUUUAAUACAUUUCUAUCAUUUAAUUGUUAAAUGUGAGCUGUCAUGUUAUAAUUUUUUUUUGGACGUUAUUAUAAUUUACUUAUAAAAUAUGACAAAAUAUUUUCUUCUUUUUUGGUAAGGAUAUGACAAAAUAUUUUCUCAUAAUGAGUAUUGCUAAAACUUUUAAUCAUAACAGCCAUCACUUAUUAUACAUCUCGUUAUACUUAUUAUUGAAGUUUAUGUUGUCAUGUAAUAAAGUCCUCUUAACAUAUAUUAUUUUUUCUUCUAUGAUGGACAAUUUUAUUAAUUCAUCUACCUGUAAAGCAUGUUUAUUUUUUUAUUGGUGAUGAUGGUUACUUUUUUAGUCAUAAUGGGACACCUUUGCAAUCACAAUAGUUGUCACUAGUAACAUUUGAAAAUAGUUUUAGAUGGAAGUAAUAGAGCCAUAAGUUUCUGCUGCGCACUCUAGUCUCAGUAUCUCGAUUUUCUCUAUUAGUCUUAAACUUGACCAAUCUGCAAAAAUUAAAGGUGGUCAGCGACUUACACUCAUCCAUCAUAUACGAAUGAAAUGCUAUAUCGCUCUGAUCCAUUUCUCUCUAGCUCUUCCCAUUUCAUGUGUCUUGAUUGGUUUAAGGAAUGAGUUGGAUACAUGUCAAAUGAUUGAUGAAAUAAUUGGUAACUAAGCAAAAGCACCCCGCAAACAUACUCAUGCAACUCACCAUCUCACAUUCUUCUUUUGAUCAAUGCAUAUUUUUUCUUUUUUCUCUUUUUUAAAAGCUCAUCCACAAAGGUAGUCUAUUCAUAUUGAGUUAAUUACGUAUUCACAUUCUACUUAAUCCUCCAAAAUACGAGAAAUUACAUUACAGUAGACUUCUACUGCUAUUACGAUCUUCGACACUUGAUAAAUAGAGAAUCUAAAUAAUAUUUUCUUGCAUUUAUAAAGAGGACACUAUACAAAGAAGUUAUCACCAAAAAAGAAAAACAGAAGAAGAAGAAGAAGCAAGAGAUGUUGCAUAAAGAAGUAUGUGUUAUUAAGAAAUAAAAAUAAGGAAGUGGAAAGACAAAUGGAAGUAACGAAGGAAUGUUAAUAAAUAGUUAAAUUAUUUGUCGAAAGGGACGAUCUGGAAGUUCUUUCAAUUUUAGGAAUAAAUGUGAGAAGGUCAUUCCUGGCGGAUGCGAAAUGGAAAACAUUCUAUAUUUUACCAAUAAAGAUUACACAUGAGUCGCAUGUGAAUAGAGGCAUUUCUCCUUUGUUUUAGGUUGCUAGAGGAUUGUUGAGUUAUGACUAAUGACAUAGCUCCAAGGAUUUCUGAUAUGAAUUUCAUCUUUAGCAAAAAAAGGAAAUUGUGUAGCAGAAUUUUAGUGUACGCGUGAAGUUGAGUUUCAAUAUGGUUGGAGAUACUUGUUCAAAAAAUUCUAAACCUAAUAUAACGGCUAAUUCAUUUUCAAACUUUUAAAUACGAUUAAGGCCACUAUUUUUUUCCUCAAUGCAAUCCUUUAUCUUUCACAAUUUGGGCAAUCGAGCCCUUUGUUGUCAAGUGUUAGUUAACACCGUCAAUUUGCCAUGUGGCUUUUAAAAUUAUUUAUGAUGUGUAAAUAUUAUUUUCGUCCUAUAGGCUUUUCGUGGUGGUAGUUUGUCACAUUAUUUUCGUCCUGUAGACUUUUCGUGGUAGUAAUUCGCUUGUGACAAUGGAUAAUUUUUCUAUUAAUCCCAUUUCUUUGGCAAAUAUAUGCUGGCAUGAUUUAGUUGAUGAUUAUAUCAUUAUUUGUUAAAUAUGUACUAUCGUGGUGAAUAAGUUUUUUAUCCAUUUUUGGGAAAAUUAUCUAGAGAGUCUUAAACUUAUUGUAUUUUUACCAAUUCAGUUAUAAACUUUUCAAUUUUGUCAAUUCAGUUCUAAACCUUUUCACUUCUUGCUAAUUAAGCCUGUCUAGUUAAUUUUGGCUGAAAAUUGCUAACGUGGCCGGUUGGUGCUAAUAUUUUUUUUUUGUUACUUUUUUUUCUUGGUUUGUAGUUAGGGCCGGUAAGGGUUACUGGCCAACCCUUGCCGGCUUGAUUGAUCCUCGUUGGCCCUGGGGGAGGGCUGUGACGCCCUCAUCGACAAAAGCGAGGGCUCAAGCCCUCACUGGAUUUGGCCAAGCAAGGGUGGUGACCUUGCUCGGGUGCUUGGGGCCCUCGCCUGGCCAAAUCUAGCAAGGGCAUCGCGGCCCUCGCCCACGGCUGACGAGGGUCGGCCGGUAACUGUCACUGGCCCUAACACCAAACCCAAAAUUAAAGAAGAGAAAAGUUAAAAAAAUUCAAAAUUCAAAAUUAAAAAAAAUGGCACAUCAGCAAUUUUCAGCCAAAAUUGGUCAGAUGAACUCAAUUGGGAAGAAAUUAAAAUAUUUAGGAUCAAAUUAAUAAAAUUAAAAGGUUUAUGAAAAAAUAUAAUAGAUUUAAGACUUUUUGAACAAUUUUCCCCCCAUUUUUUAUUUGUCAUAAAUUGAUACCACGUUACAAUGCAUAUUUCAACAUCCUUCAACUCUUAGUAAGCUUUUUAUUUAGCACAUAUUCCGUACAUUUAUAAUAUUAACUUAUUUAAUAUGAGCUAUCAUGUUAUAUUUUAUUUUAUUGAUUUGUUAAUAUGAUUCACUUAUGAAAUAAACGGAAUGUUUCUCAUGUUAAGUAUCUAUAGAACUUUUUAAUCUUGAUAACCAUCACUUGUAUGUAUGUAGUCAUAUAACAGAACACUCUAACAAUAUAUUCUUUUUCCUUCUUUCAUGGACAAUUUUAUUAUAUUCACCUAUUGUAAAGCAUGUUAACUUUAUGUUAUGAUAGAUAUUUCUAGUCACAAUGGCUAUCCACACACCCUUUCAAUCAUAAUAGUUGUAAUUUAUUAUACAUUUCGCUAUACUUGUUAUAGAAUUAUAGUCAGUCAUAUAAUAGAUGCAUGUUUAUGUUUAUGUUUAUGUUCUGAUAGAUAUUUCUAGUCACAAUGGCUAUCCACACACCCUUUCAAUCAUAAUAGUUGUAAUUUAUUAUACAUUUCGCUAUACUUGUUAUAGAAUUAUAGUCAAUCAUAUAAUAGACGCCUCUAGACAUAUACUUGUUUUCUUCUUUGAUGUUUUAUUUUAUUUAUACUAUUUAUAAAGCAUGACAUAUAUAAAUUGUGAUUACGGAUAAUUACAAUUUAAUAUAUGAAUUUUAAACAUUUAAUAAUUAAUUUGUGGUCGAGAUUUAAGCUUAAUCAUAUGGUAUGUGAUCAUACGAACAUAACUAUUUUUUAUUAAAUAAUUAAUAGUACGAUUGACAUAAUAAUUAUAGCACAAUUAAGCAUUAACUAAUAUAAUUAGUAAUUAAGAUGAUCAUUUUAUUAUGAACAUAUAAUAUUAACUUAUGAAAAAUUUAGAUAACCAUAUCUAAUAAGGAGCCACUAACAUUGUGCUAAUUAGUAUAUUAUAAAUAUUUUUUAACCUAAUAACUGAUAAUGAAUAAUCAAGAUAACAUUAUCACUAUUUCAUCAACUAUUUGCCUAUUAAUUAACAUUCUAUUUAUUAAUGAUAUGAUAUGUGAUUAAAGUCAAGAUAAGUAUAAUUGAUGUUAUCAUUACAUAAUUACCACAAAUGAUUUUAGUUAUAAUUAAUAUGUACGUUGAUUAUAGUCAAUAAUAUAAUAUUGAUAGGGUUAGAGAAAAAAAAAAAAGACGUGUAUUUUGGAAAUAGCUACUGUGGCCCUGUAGUAAUAGCUAUUACACAACGGGGUGAUAGUUAUUACAAUUUGGCAACGAUAACUUUCAUUGCUAGUAGAUAUUGUAUACUAUAACAGUCAUUACUGCAACCAUGUGUUGUAAUAAUCUAAACGUACUCUGAUAAUCCAUUGCUAUAAAAUAUAUAUGUAAAUAAAGCGUAUAAAUGUGUAAAACUAAAAGGCACUGGUUAUUUGGUAAUCACAUACUUACAUUCUAAUUAAUCCUAAAAAAUUACGUGACACUAGAUUAUUGUAGAAAAUGCAAAGUCUUAAAUCUUGUGCAUAGCACAAGAAUUCUACUACUAUUAGGAUUUGCAACACUAGAAAAAUAGGGAAUCUAAGACGUAAUAUAAAGAAGUUGUCACCCAGAAAAAAAAAAGCUGCAUAAAGAAGUAUGUGUUAUUAAUAAUAAUAAAAAAGAAGUGGAAAUACAAAUGUAAUUAACUAAAGAAUAUUAGCAUAUAGUUGCAUAAUGUGUCGACGGGGACAUGAUGUGGAAGGUCAUUCAAUUUUAAGUAAAUGGGUGUUGCAUGUGAGAAGAGGCAUUUCUCCAUUUUUCUAGUUAGCCAGAAAAUUUUUUGAGUUAUGAGUAAUGGCAUAGCUCCAAGGACAUAUCUAUUGUGUAUAUAUAUAUAUAUAUAUUUUUUUUUUUUGGCACCCAGAGAAUCUUCGUGCGCCGCUUCGCGGCGGAGUAAACCCUGAAGGAGCAGUAGAGUCAUCAUUACCCUUGCUGCUUCGGGUAAGUCGUGGGUUCCUUUCUCGCAAGGCAAACAAUGCAGCUAAUCGAACUCAUGAUCUCUCUCGAAAGGAACCUGCGCUCAACCAUUACGCCGUCAUCAUGGGUGGUCAUAUCUAUUGUAUUUUGAUCUUUAAAAAAGAAAGAAUUUAUGUGCAAGACAAUUUAUUGUAUAAGUGAAGUUGAGUCUGUUUAAAAUUUCAUGUGGUCAUGCAAUGUAUUUAAAUGUAGAAAGAAGAUGAAUAGCAAAUCACAUAACAUACUAUUUCAAAAUAAAUACCUUCUAAAUUACUAUUAAAAAUACGAAGAAACUGGUCUAUUCAAACUUACCCUAAAAAAAAUGGUGUAUGUUAAUGUAAACAUAAAAGAAGUAAAUAAUAUUUAUUGAUACCACUAAGUGCAAAGAAAGAAAAGAACUAAACAUAAUACAUGAACGCUAGAUAAAGUCAUAUACAAAAUAUGCCACUAAAAAUGCGAAGAGUAUCUGGUCUAAGUAUGUAACUUCCAAGGAAAGCAUCUAUUCAUCAAAAUAUGAAUAUUGUACUAUUUGUUAAAUGUCAUUUUUAGAAGAGAAAUGUCUUUUCAUGCAAUAGUGAAGUCAACGACAUUAAUUGAUGGGUACUUCUAUUUUAUAUUCGAGAAAUUAGAGAAAUGCUAGUAGAAUAACAAACGAACCAUAUAAAUAAUCACCGGAGCCUAACUAAUCAUUAAAAAAUUCGAAAAGUGAUGCAUCUUUAAAUGUAAUACUUUGAAUGGGCACGUUCAUUAAUGAGGGUAUGGAUGGGAGCUCUACUUAUGUAUGUUAUUUAAAAUAAACAUACUAUUUUCAUGAAGUAAAUAAUAUUAGCAAUAUAUUAUUUGGAGAUCCUAUUUUUAUCAUUCAACAAAUUGUGUAUGGUCAAUCAUAAAGACCAUAAAAUAUUAAACUUGGAAGUUAGGUAUUUUAACGAUACAUACAUGACCUUAUUUUUAUAUAGAGAAUUGUCAAAUAUUACAUUUGUAUGAUAACAUAGCUUUACACUUAAUGAUAAUUAGUAAUAAAACUAAGCAACUUCAAAACCAUAUGCUUGCACAUAAGUAAUAUUAACAUAAUAUGAUUAAUCUUCAUGUCCAAUAUGUCUGUUAGCAAGGUCUUGUUAAUCUAUGGGCAAAUUGGUAAAAAAUUAGAUGAUUGCUAUUGCUUUGUAACAAAAUCAACACGAAAUGAACAGAUAGCAUUAAACAUCUAAAGUAAUAAAAAGAGAAAUAAAAAUCAUUUAUAUAACAUUUGAUAUAUGUUUUCUUCCACACGUAAUGAAAAACACUCGUUGAAAAAACAAAUGAUAAGAAAGGAAUGUAAAAUACGUGUACUUCUUGGGAUGGAAUUCUUAUUUUCAUUUUGCUAUUGAGAAUUGCAAACAAGAUACAUAAGAAAAAGAGGGGGAUUCUACAAUUGGGAUUCUUGAGUAUUGAUACAUGUUUUGAUGGCAAGUUUGAUGGAUGUAUUUGAAUUGUAAGAACCAUGUUAUUUCGCAUAUAAAGAAUAUGAAUUAGGGUUUUGUUGUUUCCCAAAUAAAGGGCAUGAGAUUUGAUAGAUAUAUUUGAAGCAGAGUGUGCAUGAAGAGAGACCUUCUAUUGUAAUUUUGAAAGGAUGCAACUUUUGGAAAUUUAAAACGUGCAAAUUGUGAAGGGCAUAAUUGGUAGAGGAAAAUUGGGGGACCCCCUCUUGAGCUUCACAUUUUUAUAUAGAUUAGAUAAGGAAUAUGUAACCACAAUCUAUCAUGUCAUGAAGUCGAAGGUGAGAACCCCACAUCAUUAUAGUACGACAACAUAGUUGAAAUAAUACAUCUUUUCUUGUAUAUAGUUAGUCUCAUCCCAUCAUCCAAUAAUAUGAUCCACAAUGUUUUUCAAUUCUAGGGCACAAGUAAAAUUGAGGCCCUUUGUCUCGACAAAGAUGAUGGGAGAGAAAGCUACACGGUUGAAAACUUUAAACAAUUGACCAGCUUGAGGUUCCUUAAAUUGAGCGGAGUGAACAUCACUGGAGAUUUUCACAACUUUCUUCCUCAAUUAAGAUGGCUUGAAUGGGAUAAUUGUUGCUUGGAUUUUGAAGAGGCUAACUUUCACCCAAAGAAAUUAAUCGUGCUUGACUUGGGGGAUAGUCAGAUUUCGGAGGACUGGGGAGGAUGGGGCCCAAUAAAGGUAAGAUGUAGAGAAGGCAUAUCUUUUAAAAAUAACCAUGUGUUAUCAACGGCCCCAAUUGUACCAAGUUCUCCUUUAUUUCUUCUGAAAAUCCUUUCUCAUAUAAUGAAUUUUCCUCUAAGCAUAAGAGGAAUUUAUAGGCACUUAAAUAUGUUAGAAGCUUUUGCCUCUUAAUAUUUCAACAACUAGUCACGCUUAACAUCAGACUUACUAAUAAAAACUCUUUUAAUUGUAUUAAUUAACAUCUAUCAAAAAUAUAAUUAUAAUAUUGUGCCAAUCUUAACUUUACUUUAAAUUGUGUAUGGUUUCUAGUUAAUUUCUCCCCAUGCAAAAUUAUGUCUUUUUAGCAAUUCUUGUUAUAUGUAUAUAUGGCUCUUCUUUCAUGGAGAGACAAAAACCCUCACAAUGACUUGUGUUUAACAUACAAACUAAAAUUCUAAAUUCAUAGUUACUUUUAGAAUAAUGGAAAUAAUUUGUGAACUAUUUUGACUUGUUGCACACAAUAUUUAUUCAUUAUUAUUGUUGAUUGUUGAAGUCAUCGUACAACACAUUUAUAAAGUAGUAAUGUCAUAUGAGUAAUAAAAUUAUCCUUGAAAUGGCAUUUAAAUAAUUUUAAUGCAACACCUUUUUUAUAUCUUAUACAUAUAGCAUUCAAAAAUUGCUUUUUAUAAUUAAAGUAGCCAUUUCUCUUUGACUUCAUAAUAUUGAAGGAAAACAUAGCACCGAGUGAAUGCAUCUCUUUUCUUCCAUUUGACUUUGUCAUUUGUAAUUUGAUAAUAAAAUUUGCAUAUGUCUAAUUAAUAAAUAACAUCAUUGUCAUAACUAUAAAAAAAUAAAUAUGAUAGUUGCUAUGAAAUUUUAUUUGCAAAUAAUUGUAGUUAGUACUUUNNNNNNNNNNNNNNNNNNNNNNNNNNNNNNNNNNNNNNNNNNNNNNNNNNNNNNNNNNNNNNNNNNNNNNNNNNNNNNNNNNNNNNNNNNNNNNNNNNNNUGAUAUGCUUAAAAACAUUUAUAUACUAGCUUAGUGAAUGCACUACUGAAAAGAAACAUUUAAAAUUAAAUAAGAUAGCUGUAAAGGAGUAGGGAGCACAAGUAUUUUUUUUGGAUCCAAUCUCAAAAUGGUGACUUCUCUUUUCUUUCAGAUGGCAAUGGAGCUCAAAGUUCUUUUCCUUUCGAAAUGUGCUUUGAGAACAACUCCCGACUUAUCUGCUUUCAAUAGCUUGAAGACUUUGUGUCUUUAUGAUUGUCAGGAUCUAGAGGAGAUUCAUCCUUCUAUCGAGGACAUUAAGACCCUCGUCACCUUGACUAUUGAAAAGUGUCAUAAAUUGAAGGGGCUAACGCUAGGAGUAGGUAGAAUGAAAGAAUUGAAGGAGCUAAUCAUAGGUGACACUCAUAUACGAGAAAUUCCUAUUUCAAGAGGUUGUUUGAUAAAGCUGAAGACUUUAGAUGCCUCAUAUUGUAGACAACUUGCUCGACUUCCAGAAUCCUUGGGCUCUUUUAUAUCAUUAACUCAGCUAAAUCUAUCAAACACAGGAAUUAAAGAAUUACCCGAAUCCAUUGGAUCUUUGAAGAAGCUCAAGACUUUAAAUGCAUCUUAUUGUGCAUCGUUAGUCUGUAUACCCAACUCAAUAGGUGAUUUAACAUCUCUAUCUCACCUUAACCUAAUAAAAUGCCAAAAAAUUGCUCAACUUCCAGACUCUAUAGGCUUCCUCGUGUAUCUAUUGUGCUUGUUAUUGUCAGGAUGCCACUCGUUAAGACAAAUCCCAGACUCGAUCGGAAAGUUGACAUCAUUGAUAGAGCUGGAUUUGGAAUCUACCGCCAUUGAAGAAUUACCUGAAUCCAUUGGUUCUUUGAAGGAGCUCAUGACUCUAGAUGCCUCUUAUUGCAAAUCGUUAGCCCACAUACCCAACUCAAUAGGCAAUUUAACAUCUCUGUCUAACCUUGACCUGAAUGAAUGCCAAAAACUUGCUCAACUUCCAGAAUCCAUAGGCUCCCUUGUGUAUCUACAGUGGUUGUUAUUGUCAGGAUGCCACUCGUUAAGACAAAUCCCAGACUCGAUCGGAAAGUUGACAUUAUUGAUAGAGCUGGAUUUGAAAUCUACGGCCAUUGAAGAAUUACCUGGAUCCAUUGGUUCUUUGAAGGAGUCAGACUCUAGAUGCUCUAUUGCAAAUCGUUAGCCCACAUACCCAACUCAAUAGGCAAUUUAACAUCUCUGUCUCACAUUUACCUGAAUGAAUGCCCAAAAACUUGCUCAACUUCCAGAAUCCAUAGGNNNNNNNNNNNNNNNNNNNNNNNNNNNNNNNNNNNNNNNNNNNNNNNNNNNNNNNNNNNNNNNNNNNNNNNNNNNNNNNNNNNNNNNNNNNNNNNNNNNNCACUCAUUGAGACAAAUCCCGGAUUCGAUCGGAAAGUUGACAUCAUUGAUAGAGCUGCAUUUGAAAUCUACGGCCAUUGAAGAAUUACCUGAAUCCUCUGGUUCUUUGAAGGAGCUCCAAGACUCUAGAUGCCUCUUAUGCAAAUCCUUAGCCCACAUACCCCAAACUCAAUAGGCAAUUUAACAUAUCUGUCUCACAUUUACCUGAAAUGAAUGCCAAAAACUUGCUCAACUUCCAGAAUCCAUAGGCUCCCCUUUUGUAUCUACAAUUCUUGGUAUUAUCCGAAUGCCACUCAUUGAGACAAAUCCCGGAUUCGAUCGGAAAGUUGACAUCAUUGAUAGAGCUGCAUUUGAAAUCUACGGCCAUUGAAGAAUUACCUGAAUCCAUUGGUUCUUUGAAGGAGCUCAAGACUCUAGAUGCCUCUUAUUGCAAAUCGUUAGUCCGCAUACCCAACUCAAUAGGCAAUUCAACAUCUCUGUCUCUCCUUGACCUAACGGAAUGCCAAAAACUUGCUCAACUUCCAGACUCUAUAAGCUUCCUCGUGUAUCUACUGUGGUUGUUAUUGUCAGGAUGCCACUCGUUGAGACAGAUCCCAGACUCGAUCGGAAAUUUGACAUCAUUGACAGAGCUGCAUUUGAAAUCUAUGGCCAUUGAAGAAUUACAUGAAUCCAUUAGUUCUUUGAAGGAGCUCAAGACUCUAGAUGCCUCUUAUUGCAAAUCGUUAGCCCACAUACCCAACUCAAUAGGCAAUUUAACAUCUCUGUCUCACAUUUACCUGAAUGAAUGCCAAAAACUUGCUCAACUUCCAGAAUCCAUAGGCUCCCUUGUGUAUCUACAGUGGUUGUCAUUAUCCGAAUGCCACUCAUUGAGACAAAUCCCGGAUUCGAUCGGAAAGUUGACAUCAUUGAUAGAGCUGCAUUUGAAAUCUACGGCUAUUGAAGAAUUGCCUGAAUCCAUUGGUUCUUUGAAGGAGCUCAAGACUCUAGAUGCCUCUUAUUGCAAAUCGUUAGCCCACAUACCCAAUUCAAUAGGCAAUUUAACAUCUCUGUCUUACCUUGACCUGAAUGAAUGCCAUAAACUUGUUCAACUUCCAGACUCUAUAGGCUCCCUCGUGUCCUUGCUGUGGUUGUUAUUAUCGGGAUGCCAUUCGUUGAAACAAAUUCCAGACUCGAUCGGAAAGUUGACAUCAUUGACGGAGCUGAAUUUGAAAUCUACGGCCAUUGAAGAAUUACCUGAAUCCAUUGGUUCUUUGAAGGAGCUCAAGACUCUAGAUGCCUCUUAUUGCAAAUCGUUAGCCCAUAUACCCAACUCAAUAGGCAAUUUAACAUCUCUGUCUCACCUUGACCUGAAUGAAUGCCAAAAACUUGCUCAACUUCCAGAAUCCAUAGGCUCCCUUGUGUAUCUACAGUGGUUGUUAUUGUCAGGAUGCCACUCGUUAAGACAAAUCCCAGACUCGAUCGGAAAGUUGACAUCAUGAUAAAGCUGGAUUUGAAAUCUACGGCCAUUGAAGAAUUACCUGAAUCCAUUGGUUCUUUGAAGGAGCUCAAGACUCUAGAUGCCUCUUAUUGCAAAUCGUUAGCCCACAUACCCAACUCAAUAGGCAAUUUAACAUCUCUGUCUCACCUUGACCUGAAUGAAUGCCAAAAACUUGCUCAACUUCCAGAAUCCAUAGGCUCCCUUGUGUAUCUACAGUGGUUGUUAUUGUCAGGAUGCCACUCGUUAAGACAAAUCCCAGACUCGAUCGGAAAGUUGACAUCAUUGAUAGAGCUGGAUUUGAAAUCUACGGCCAUUGAAGAAUUACCUGAAUCCAUUGGUUCUUUGAAGGAACUCAAGACUCUAGAUGCCUCUUAUUGCAAAUCGUUAGCCCACAUACCCAAUUCAAUAGGCAAUUUAACAUCUCUGUCUUACCUUGACCUGAAUGAAUGCCAUAAACUUGCUCAACUUCCAGACUCUAUAGGCUUCCUCGUGUAUCUACCGCGGUUGUUAUUGUCAGGAUGCCACUCGUUGAGACAAAUCCCAGACUCGAUCGGAAAGUUGACAUCAUUGACAGAGCUGCAUUUGAAAUCUACGACCAUUGAAAAAUUACCUGAAUCUAUUGGUUCUUUGAAGGAGCUCAAGACUCUAGAUGCCUCUUAUUGCAAAUCGUUAGCCCAUAUACCCAACUCAAUAGGCAAUUUAACAUCUUUGUCUUCCCUUGACCUGAAUGAAUGCCAAAAACUUGUUCAACUUCCAGACUCUNNNNNNNNNNNNNNNNNNNNNNNNNNNNNNNNNNNNNNNNNNNNNNNNNNNNNNNNNNNNNNNNNNNNNNNNNNNNNNNNNNNNNNNNNNNNNNNNNNNNNNNNNNNNNNNNNNNNNNNNNNNNNNNNNNNNNNNNNNNNNNNNNNNNNNNNNNNNNNNNNNNNNNNNNNNNNNNNNNNCUUAUUGCAAUCGUUAGCCCACAUACCCACACUCACACAGACAUUUAAACUCUCUGUCUCACCUUGAACAGAAUGAAUGCCAAAAACUUGCUCAACUUCCAGAAUCCAUAGGCUCCCUUGUGUAUCUACAAUGGUUGUCAUUAUCCAAAUGCCACUCAUUGAGACAAAUUCCGAAUUUGAUUGGAAAGUUGAUAUCAUUGACAGAGCUACAUUUGAAAUUUAUGGCCAUUGAAGAAUUACCUGAAUCCAUUGGUUCUUUGAAUGAGCUCAAGACUUUAGAUGCCUCUUAUUGCAAAUCGUUAGCCCGCAUACCUAACUCAAUAGGCAAUUCAACAUCUCUGUCUUGCCUUGACCUAACGGAAUGCCAUAAACUUGCUCAACUUCCAGACUCUAUAGGCUUCCUCGUGUAUCUACCACGGUUGUUAUUGUCGGGAUGCCACUCAUUGAGACAAAUCCCAGACUUGAUCGGAAAGUUGACAUCAUUGAUAGAGCUGCAUUUGAAAUCUACGGCCAUUGAAGAAUUACCUGAAUCCAUCGGUUCUUUGAAGGAGCUCAAGAUUCUAGAUGCCUCUUAUUGCAAAUCGUUAGCCCACAUACCCAACUCAAUAGGCAAUUUAACAUCUCUGUCUCACCUUGACCUAAAUGAAUGCCAAAAACUUGCUCAACUUCCAGACUCCAUAGGCUCCCUUGUGUGCUUGCCGCGGUUGUUAUUGUCGGGAUGCCACUUGUUGAAACAAAUUCCAGACUCGAUCGGAAAGUUGACAUCAUUGACUGAGCUACAUUUGAAAUGUACGGCCAUUGAAGAAUUACCUGAAUCUAUUGGUUCUUUGAAGGAGCUCAAGACUCUAGAUGCCUCUUAUUGCAAAUCGUUAGCCCAUAUACCCAACUCAAUAGGCAAUUUAACAUCUUUGUCUUCCCUUGACCUGAAUGAAUGCCAAAAACUUGCUCAACUUCCAGACUCCAUAGGCUCCCUCGUGUCCUUGUUGCGGUUGUUAUUAUCGGGAUGCCAUUCGUUGAAACAAAUUCCAGACUCGAUCGGAAAGUUGACAUUAUUGAUUGAGUUACAUUUGAAAUCUACGCCAUUGAAGAAUUACCUAAAAGCAUUAANNNNNNNNNNNNNNNNNNNNNNNNNNNNNNNNNNNNNNNNNNNNNNNNNNNNNNNNNNNNNNNNNNNNNNNNNNNNNNNNNNNNNNNNNNNNNNNNNNNNNNNNNNNNNNNNNNNNNNNNNNNNNNNNNNNNNNNNNNNNNNNNNNNNNNNNNNNNNNNNNNNNNNNNNNNNNNNNNNNNNNNNNNNNNNNNNNNNNNNNNNNNNNNNNNNNNNNNNNNNNNNNNNNNNNNNCAAUCCUGCAUUCCUGAAUUUUUCUCACUAAACUUUCUCAAGAGACUCACUCUUUCUAACUGGCUUAAAUGUCUCUCAAACCUUUCUAUAACAUGUUAUAGAAAAGCUAUGAAACUUGAUUUUGUAUCUUACAAAAGUUCGAGCUGUUAGUUGGGCAUUUUAUUUACCUUUUGUCUUGUGAUACAGUUCUCUUAAAGCGUUUCAAGACUCCUCCUGCCAACAACUUAGCCAUGGACUACCAAACAACAGAUGAACAUCCUUUGAAGAGAUCAAAACCUUUUGGAAUCUCAAAUGAAGUACUUAUUUCAUUUUGCUUUUUCUUUGCCGUUCUUCAGUUAUUAAAGGAUGGUUCCAUCUACAAAGAGAAGUAUUUUACUGAAUGAUCAAUUAUUUGUUAUGUGUGGAAUGCUUUGAUCAACAUUCGUAACUAGAUCCAUCAAACUUGUUACAUUCUCGCUAUUUUAAGUCUUUUGUUCUGGAAGUAGGGAUUUUAGUUUUCUUGAAUUAUGAAGUUAAGGUGGAAUAUAUUGCCCGUUCUCUUGUGUUUCUCUCUCUUAAUUAUCUUUAUUUGCACGCCAUUGAUCGAAAACUUUUUGAAAGCGCACUCAUUUGGGUGCUAUUGCGGCAUAUGAUCAUGCAUUGAGAAUCUUCACGAGUGUAGGGGUUAUCUCACAUCAGUUGUGGAAGGAAAAAGUAGUUAGUUUAUAAUUGUGAUGGAAAGUCUCAUCCUUUAAGUUAGCUUUUAAGAUGAGAUAAGCCCAAGACCACCCAACAAAAAAAAACUUUUAGUUUUGAGGUUUCUAGAUACCCUUAAUCUUCAUGAUGUUAACCUAAUGAAAUUAUUGAAGAUUGGAAGGAUAACAAGAAAGUUUGAUGGAGAGAGAAAGGAGCAAAAGGGCUAGGGUUGUCAAUUUGUGUCCUCUUGUCAUAAUUGUGUUUGUGAUUGUGUCAAUUCAUCAUGACUUCUAUUAGACAUGUCAACCCAUUGAAUUAGAUGAAAACAUGUAAAUAUCUCAUCAAGUUAAAUGUAUCGUGAUGUGUCAUAUUGGGUUGUGUUUGUGUUUUUCGUGUUUGGUAUUGUUAUGUAAACAGUAUGUGUCACUAUUGGCAGCAUUAAUGAGAAGCGUGGACUGGAUAGGUGUUGAUUAUGUCUCCUCCCAUCAUGCAUGCAUUGUGCUCACGUAUGCUAGUACAAGAGGGGCUCUCAUAUGAGUCUUUUGCAUCUUUUGAGUGCCAUGGUUUUGAUCAAUUUUCUAAAGGACUCAUUAGUUUUGUAAUCUUCAUGACUUUCUAAUAGGUGAAUAAUUUGCCGGGAAAGAUUUUUCCCAUUACAUACAACUACCAGAGCUUUGGUCAGAGUUCUUAUUCUUCAGAUGACUUGCCUAGAAAUGUAGUCGUUACCCUAAGUCAUGAUUCACUUGUUAAAAGUAUGGAUUUCCAUCCAGUGCAACAAAUUCUACUGCUCGGUUAGCACUUCUUUCUUACUCUAUGAAGAACUUGUUUCUUGAUCUUCUUUAGUUGGAUAUACUUGUUGGCCAUAAGUUUGUGUUUUGGUGCUUGGAAGAUUCCUGUUUGUUGUUUUUUAUGCUCGCUUCAGCUAUUUGAAACCAAGGGAUAUGAUUCUUCAAAUUUUCUGCAUCAAUAAUUUUUAGUGGGAACAAAUACGGGUGAUGUCAUGGUAUGGGAAGUAAGCAACCGUGCAAGGAUUGCUUUGAGAAAAUUCAAGGUUUGGAAUUUGGGAACACGUUCAAUGGCGUUGCAGGUAUAUAAGUUCCACUCUAAAUAAAGUCAUGUAUCUUGUUUUUGGACAUGUAAUUGGGGGUUUUGAUUCUUUGUAGGCUUCUCUAGCCAAUGACUAUACAGCAUCCAUUAAUCGUGUAACGUGGAGUCCUAAUGGACUUUAUUUUGGUAUGUACAGAUGUCACUUCUACUUGUCUUAUUGCAAAUUGAUGAAACAACUAACGCGCUGAGAAUGAGACUUCAUUGCAAUAUUUUCAGGAAAAAUGUUCAUAUGCUGCUAUUACUGAUGAUUUGUGGUGUUCACUUUAGGUGUUGCUUAUUCCAAACACAUGGUGCACAUAUACUCGUAUUACGGUGGUGAUGACAUGAGGAACCACCUUGAGGUUUGUUGCUAAACAAGGAGUGAAAAAAUUCGGCUUCUUUUUGUAGACAAUUGCCACAUAAAAGUGAGUAAAACUUGAUUUUGACUCUAAACUAAUGUUUGAUACAGCUCGAGGCUCAUGCUGGAAGUGUUAAUGAUCUUGCCUUUUCAUAUCCAAACAAAUGGUUAUGCGUUGUGACCUGUGGAGAGGACAGGUCAAUCAAGGUAUAUCUUGAUUAUUUUCCUCAGUGUUGCAGCGUUCCAUCGUUUGAUCCCUUAACUAAGCUAGUAGUUUUGUAGGUAUGGGAUGUAAUGACUGGGGCUAAGCAAUACUGUUUCAAGGGUCAUGAAGCACCUGUAUAUUCUAUUUGUCCACACCAUAAAGAAAAUAUCCAGGUACUUGAUUAUUUCACGUACUAACAAAGACACCCUGCGAGCAUGGCCAAUCAGAUGUACCCUUGACUAUACACUAGACUUUUGUUUUCUAAAACUCAGUUAGGUAAAAAAAAAAUUGGUUCAAUUUGUAUGAGGAGUAUGAACCUAUGUUUUGAAGGACCUUGUUCAUUUCAAGGGUUUUGCAAGUCUUCCGACUUUUAACCUGUCUUGAUUAGAAUGUGCUUGUCAAACAUGGUGAAAUUGGUCCAAAGAUCAACCUACUAAUUUGAUUCUUUCAAGUAAUGCUACUAAGCAUCGACAACUAGGUAAAGGUCUUUGCAAUAAUGACUUCCUGCUUAAUUAUAUAUUCAAAAAGAAAAUUCCUCUACUACCAUUGAUUGUUCUCCCUUAGUUUUCUCUUUUAGUCACGAUUGGUUAAAUUUAUAAUAGAAGGCUGUUUAUUGUGUUUGAGUGGAGCAGCAAUUGGCAAUGUUAUCUUCUUCUUCUUCUUCUUUUUAAACAUUUAUGGUUGUGCAUAGUGUACACUUUAUUACAAAGAUGUCUUAUGAAAUCUCAUCAUUCUAGGAUGCUAUGUUUAAAUAAUUAUAGUUUAAGUGGAUGUGCUCUAUUUGGGCAUGUUACUGAAAUUGGUUAUACAAUUGUUUUAUCGUGUAGUUCAUCUUCUCAAUAGCAACAGAUGGGAAAAUUAAGGCUUGGCUUUAUGACAACAUAGGGUCAAGAAUUGACAACGAUGCACCGGGUCACUCUUCUACCGUGAUGGCAUACAACGCCGAUGGAAAAAGGUUUAGACCAUCAGCAUUGUAUAUCAAGCUUGAUUUCAUCCCGAGUCUUUCUUUUUCACUGAAAUAACCUAUUUUAGCGAUUUUAAUUUGCUAUAGGUUGUUCUCGUGUGGGACCAAUAAAGAAGGAGAGUCAUACUUGGUUGAAUGGAAUGAAAGUGAGGGGGGUAUCAAGCGUACAUAUCAUGGACUUGGAAAGAGUUCUAGUGGGGUUGUGCAGUUUGAUACCAUCAAAAAUAGAUUUUUGGCUACUGGUGACGAGUUCAUUAACAAAUUUUGGGAUAUGAACAAUGAUAGCCUACUUACAAGUACCGAUGCUGAUGGUGGAUUGCUGGUAAUUCACUGUUGUUAAUUUAUUUUGACUGAAUUAACUGAAACUUUCUAUUAAUUACCUCACUCUUUAAAUUUGCAGGCUUCACCUUGUAUUAGAUUUAACAAGGAAGGAAUCCUGUUAGCCGUCUCAACAAGUGAUAAUAGCAUCAAAAUUCUAGCAAAUUCAUUUGGGAUUGAGCUGCUAAGGACUGCAGAAAAACAUAUGCUUCUAGAGUCACUGCUAGGAGUCUUUUGAAGGUAAGCUUUUUUAACAAUACACUAACUUUAUGUAAAGAAGUCACUACUAGUCCAUUGUGGUCGGCUAAAACCCAAGGACUUGAUUACACUAGUUAUUUAAUUAAUGCUCUUUCAGUACCUAGACUUGAUUUAACUAAGUGUCCAUGCAGUCUUGGACCCUUUUAUUGACCUAUGCCACUUAAUUGGUGUCCAUGCAUGAGUGCACAAUAAAGGAAAAGUAAACAAUCAUUAUUAAUUCAACAAAAGUAAAGUAUAAGAAAAUACACCUAAUGAAGUGCCAAGCGAAGAAUACACAUGGCUUUGUUUUUAAGCCUCAAGACAACAACCUUGUAAGCUAAAUUCAAAUUAAGUCCAAUUCCUUUUCUCAAACACUAUUCUAUGUAACCUCACCUAAAUCAAAGGCACUCAUUAAAAUCUCUAAACCAUAUGUAGAGUAACUAAAACUAGAAGAAACUAAGCUACAUCUAGCACUAAAACUUAACGACCUAAUCAAGGUCUUUGUUAUUAACCAUUUUCCAAUUUUUCAUAUUUUCGAUUUUUUUUGAAAAUUUAAUUUUAAUUAUUUUCUGAAAAUAGGAAAUCGGGCCGGGCCCUUGGGCCUGGUCCGGAUAUGAGCCUCAUACUGGUCUCACGAAUCUGGGCUAAUGGACAAAAUUCGGGCUAUUAUAUCCAGAUCCAUCCAAUUCUAACUCUACUGAGCCCAAUUCAGAUUAUACCUAUUUUAAGCCCAUUUACCCAUGGAAGCUACUCUAGCUCACUUUCUCAUCUAACUGCACCAAGUCCAUCUUUAAGCCCAAUUUCUAUUACAAAUAGAUUAAACCCUAAGCCCACGCCAACCCUAUCUUACUAUUAUUAUUUUUAAUCCAUUUUUUCCUCUUUUCUUACAUCUUUCGUCAUUUUUUAUUAUUAUAAAAGUAAUCAAUGUUAGGUGUGCGAAGAGCCCCCCCUUUUUUUUAAGAGACUACCUGGUAAACUUUCCUGCAGUAACUUAAGCUAUAAAGGAUGGGUGAUGUAGCUUUUGUAAGGUCUUUGACAAAUAUUUCACAACUUUUUAGGAAAUUGCUUCGCCCGAUUUUGGGAUGUUGGAGCUGCUGUCGACGGCAUUGGGAAACAAUUUGGUAAAAGAAGUUGAAUUAACCUUCCAGCAAAGAAUUAUAAAGUGGAGAUGGUCAAUGGCAUUGGGAAACAAUUUGGUAAAAGAAGUAUUUCUAAGAGGUAUAAUAAGUCAGAACUCAACAAAAACGUCAGUGGAAGUGUUCAAUCAUGAAGAAGAAGAAGAAGCAAAACACCAUUCACUAAGGGAUAACUCGUGCACGCAGAAGGGAGGAAGCAGGGGAAAAUGGCUCCAUCUUCCAUCGUCUCCAGUCACCAUUGGAUAACCUUUCGUCGCGGUGUCUCAAGUUCCGAUAUAGCCGCUAGCUACCAUCGCCGUUCAUUACGAGUUCCAACUCCUUCGUUGGUUGCGCCGUCGACCAUCAGUCUCAGGAGGAUCACGUUUGUUCAUUUCAUCGCGAGCACCAUUCCAGAACCAAAACAAACAAAAACAUCGAGCAAGGAAAAUUCAUCUAAAAAAAGCGAUUCCGUUCGAUUCAGUUGGCGAUUUCAAGCGUUCUGAAUCGAUCACAGUGGCCGUCGCCGGCAUCAACAGCCUCUUCAAUGCCGCGACUCAUCUCCUUCGUUUCCCUUCAACGGCCGAGAGCUUCGAAAUGUUGUCGUUCCGCUCGAAGCUUCUCCACCUGUUCAGGUUUCGAUCAUCGACACGUUCUAGAGCUUCUUUCAGCGAUUCGUGCGCCAAACCGCGGCCUCAGUCCACUUGAUUAAGCAGGUAGCAUCUCCUGUUCUGUUGUCACGAGUAAGAGGCCGAGAGUCUGAUUCUCUUAUUAUGAUGAAAUUGAUCAUAUUUGAAUUUUUUUCUUUGACUUCGAACAUCAUGUACUGAUUUAGGUUGAGUCUAGUUGUAAAUUCGAGUUCGAAAUGGCUUUGAUAUGUUCCACAACCGAUUGACCAUAAUCUGUUCGAUGAAAUGUGUCUGAGACCCUGUUGUGAAUUGAUUCCAGUAAUCGUCCGAUCUGAAAAAGCGCAUUAGUGAUGUUCACUUGAUAUUGUUUGAUUUUUCAAUCUUUAGACAUGAUUACGAGUAUAUGCCAUAGUUGCCAAGAAUAAAACUGACUCUCCGCAUGUUUUCUCAGUGCUUCUUGUGAUCCUUUGGUGAUAGGUGGUGGUUGCCGGCAAGGGGAGAUGGAAUGGAGUCGCUGGCACAUGCAUUAGUCUUUGGUGAUGAUCGUAGCAUGCCCUGUUGAACAGAAUCGAGACGAUGUCGCUGAGCGUUAAUCGCCAAUUCAGAUAAUGAACUGCGGCCGACACAUGUUGCGGUCACUAACGGGAGCAAUGUUAUGCCUAGUCACUAUCCGCGUCCUUGCCACUGAGUCACCGUGCAAUCUCCUCGACUGCCAAGCUUUGCUUCAGUCCAUGCCUUGCAGACCAUCCUUGCCAUUGCAAUUGCUGUGCCACACCUUACCAUAAUGGCUAUUCAAGUGAACUCCGCAUGCGAUAGCACUGCCAUCAGAAUAAACCGCCAUACAUUACCAUUAUGGAUUGAUGUGGCAAUAGAGCUAUAUCCAUCACGUGUCUUUACAAUCGGUUGUUUCCGUUCCAACUGAGUUUUAGAGUCCAUUGUAUGUUCAGAUUUCCUUCGCUGCUUUGUUUUAAUGUUCAGGAUUUUGCGAGUCUUCUUAAACCGAAUCAUGGGAAAACUAAAUGGUUCGAAGUCCAGUCGUCAUGGGGUCGAUACUUUGUUGUAAAAUCAUUGUGCAUUACCUGCUUCCUGAUUCUUGUCUUGUCCUUUGGUUAUUGGUUACUUCACCUUCGUUGAUUUCAUUGUCCGGAAGUAGGUAAUCAAUCCAAGAGCACCUGCUAAAAUUGCAUUUUAGUUGUGUCAUCUGCUUCCUGCCUCAUUCUCUGUGAAUGACAUUCUACUUCUUGCGUGCUGUUGAGGGAAAUCAAUGGUUGACAAUCGAUAUGAAGUGAGCAAGUUAUACUUGUUUCCUGUCUUUAGUUGAUAACUUUUUGCGUAUGACAAUCGAUUAAUUAAACCAGUCCAUAGCUUGCACGAAAAUAGUAAAUGAGGAUUUACUUCUUUCUUGGAAUUAUCAAUGUCAUCGCUUUGUCUCUGGUAGUGGAAGAGUUUAUCAUUCUUUUUGAACUUUUUGAACUUGUAUAAGAAUCAAUGGAAUUCUCAUGGAGCAUUGAGUACCCAAAAUUUACAAGUUAUAUGAAGUGGUGGUGUCCUUUUGUUGCAUAUGCUGGAGUUUAGCGGUUAGUGUUCAUCUAUGUUUGUUGAACCGUUUGAUUUAUCACUUCAAUCGACAAAAUCUCAUAAACAGACAUGACAAUUGCGAGAGACGUCUUUGAACUGGCACUUUGGUGAUGAUGGUGCUCCUUCGUGUCGACUGUAUUUACUUGUUUGAGGAAGAAUCAUUUAUGAUAUUUUAUGAUAUUGGAGAAGUGAAUAUGUAUGGAAGGUUCCUUGGAUUCACAAGAAUAAAACCACUCGUGAUCCUGGAUCCACUCAUUGAAGAAAUGGAGAGAGAGAAUUUCCACAUGGACGAUGUGAAUGGGUCGUUGCUAAGCUUCUCGGCUGUUUGUUGAAUUUGAUUUGCAUAAUGGGUUGAAGCUAGCAUUUUAGUAGUGCUGGAAUUCCAAAACUGAGACGAACUGAAGAAUUUGAUGUUAAGUAUCUAAGCAAUGCCCACAAUUAGUAACAUGUUCUGAGCUAAUCAAGGUUUGUCAUCUGAGUAUAUCGCCAAGUAGUGCAUAACUUAGUCCUUUUUAGAGUAAUGCAUCAUUUAGUUAGAAAUUCGAGCAUGUUUAGAUUAGUACUUAGCUCAUGUGGGUUACUGUCUCGGGCUUAGCUCGAGAAUUCCAGCACAUUAUGACUGGAUGUAUAACCUUCCACAUCAUACAAAACCACAUAUCAGACGAACCCAAAGAUUUUCCGUUGUUCCACAAAUUAAGCAGGCUGGCACUUUAUCUUGCUGCUGGCAUAGUCGGCAAACCUGAUAAAGAACAGAACCAAAAUCUUAUUCACAAUCAGUUCAAAGAUGGGCACCCCUGAUGAUGUCGCAGUACGUAACCACAUUUCCGAUAAAGUUAAUCCUUGCAGUCAAUCAAGUAUGUGCCAUACUUGAAAUCUUUAGCAAUGUAAUUGAACCUUCCAAGAAAAUCAAAGGAAGACCCUUGGCACGGCACCAGCCUGGGGUAAUGUUGUAUUGACUUAUUUUAAACAUAAAGAUUGAAGAAUCAAGCGAAUGUGCACAUGUCCAUCAACGUAUGUCUUACAGGGCAUUUUUUUCAUCUUCAUAUAUAUAUUCGAGUUCAAAGGUACAUUUUUGCUACAAAUUCAUGUGGAUAGAGCGCAAUCACAAUUAAGUAGAAUAUCACUUGAAAUGUAAAAUAUAACCAUGCACCAUCUUAAUUAAGAGCCUGGAGAAGUUUAAGGUGAGGUGAGUAUAUAAGUUUAACACAUAAACUCAAUAUUUUAUGUUUGGACAGUGCUAUUACUUUCGUCACCAUUUGACUCACAAGAAAUAUGACGUAGAAGUGACAGGACCAUCAAAUCUAAUAACCAUGAUGAGACACUGCAAAUAUUCUCAUGUGAGAGUAUGAGAAACAACAGAAAAACAAGUCCAAGAAGCCACACAUUGACAUAUUCCAAAUCACCAAAGAAAUGUCAUAAUAAUUUAAAAAGAAAUCCAAAACUUUGUAAGCAAGAUAGAGUAAAGAUCUAACAUAAGCCUGAAUGAAAAAAAAAAGAUUUUUUUUUUUAUAUACUUUUCAUCCCUGUACUGCCACCUUUUUAUGUAAUUAUGUCCAUAUACCUUAAACUUGUCGAAUCAAGUCUUUCUAUAUUUACAAAUUUACUAAUCAAGACCCAACCAAAUUUAAUUGACGUAACCCUCGAAUGAUGCCCCAAUAUGAUGCAAAUGCUCACGUAGACAUAUGUGGAAAAAUUUAGCCAAUGUAGACAAUGUUAGAAUGUGACAUGGAUAAAAUUUAGCUAAGGUGUUAGUCAAAGUAACGUCCAUAUUGGAGAUUUUUUUAUCUAUGUCACACACUGACAUCAUUUGAUGAUUACGCCAACUGGAUCUGGCAGGAUUUUGUGUUUAUUGGGAUUUGAUUAGAAAAAUUUGUUAAAUUUGAAUGACUUGACUCGACAAAAUAAAAGUACGAUGGAGAGAACAGUAAAGUAGGGAAUAUUUCAAAAAACCAACCGCAAAUCCAGUCAGCAAAUAUCAGCAAAAGAUAGUGGCAGUUGCUGAGAAAUUAUGGUCUAAACUACUCUUAUCUGCACCAGCAAAAGAAAGCCUCACCUGACAAGACAACUAAGUCUAUUUUGUACCACAUGAGCAAUGAAUGGAAUGGUCACUCUUGAGUACUCAAAAUUCCGCUGGUGUGUGGGUCCGAUCUCAACGACAUCAAAAGCCAAGAAAAGGUCGCGACUGUGAACAUGUCUAUAAACUUAGUCUCAUUUUAUCAUAUGCUUUGACAGGGAACAAAAUUUCUAAGCCAAACUAGCAGCUGUGAGGGAAAUAUAUUCAGCAAGGGAUGUUGACACCUAAAAUUUGAUGAUCUAGUUAAUUAUUCAUUGCAAAAAUUAAGUAAAAUUGAGGAUUGAUCCCGGUCCCUAAAAAGAUAUUAGCUAAGUUGCAUAUACAUAUUAGAAGCAUUUUUCAUUCAUUAAAUAGUAAGCCCACAUAUGAUUACACUUCGAUUGGACUGGUGUAAGGAGAUUAUGAGCUUAAUUGAGUUUAUUAGACUAAGCCCAUGAGAAUGAGAAAUUCGGCCUAACCCGUCUAUUUCCUUUGCUCGACCAGACAUCAAAUAUGCAGUAUAAGGAAUUUAGCACGAAUGAAGGAGCAAAUAUUCGUUAUUAAGGAAUAUAUUCUGAAUAAUUUUUUGGGAGAAUUAACUGGCCAAUUCUUUCCAUUAUUAAAGAUGCGCAUCAUGCUUAAAGUAGGCAAGUUAAUUUUUCUUAGUCAAAUCUGGAAGUAAUUGAACACUAUUUGAAAGGAUAAAAACAAAAAUAGAAAAAUAAAAAGGAAUAAAACAGGGAAAAAGUACAAAAAAAGUCAUAAACUAUUGCAUCGAUAUCAAUUCAAUUCUAAAAUUUUCAAUUAAAUCAAUUAAAUCAUAAAUUUUUUCACAUUGGUACUAAUUUAGUCAAUUUGACCAAUUUUGGUCGGCUAGUGGCCAGAUGUUGACGUAGCAAUUUUUAAAUAAUUUUUUUGAAUUUUUUUAUUAAUUUUUCCUUCUUCUUUUUUUCCCUUUUCCUUUUCUCUCUUCUUCCACCUUAAACUAUACUCACGGUGGCCAGCAAACCUUUGGUGAGGCUCGCCAACCAUUGGGCGAGGGCCGUGAAGCCCUUGUCGGCCGCUAGUGAGGGUCGUGGCCUUCGCUUAGCCUUGCCCAAGGCCGCGAGCGAGGCUACUUUGCCUAGGUCCAGGUGAGACCAGCCUCGCCCUAGCCUUGCCUUAGGCGAAGGCGGCCUCGCCCGUGGUUGGCAAGGCCAUGGCGGCCAUCGCCAAGGCCUAAGCAAAGGUCACCAUGUCCUCACCUGCAGCCCCGGGCGAGGGUGUGACCCUCCCUGGCAACUGGCCAGUGCUUCGCGGCCCUUGCCUAGUGGUUGGCGAGCCUUGUGGGAGGCUUGCUGACCACCGCGAGUAUAGUUCAAGGAGGAAGAAGAGAGAAAAGAAAAGGAAAAAGGAAAAGGGAAAAAAGGAAAAAGAAAAGGAAAGGAAAAGGAAUUAUUAUAAAAGAUUAAAAAAAUUAUUAAAAAUUGUCACAUCAUUGUCUGGUUAGCGUCCACAUCAGUGUCGGCUUGCCAAAAUUAGCCAGAUGGAAUGAAUUGGUACCAAUAUGAAAAUGUUUAAGACUAAAUUGAUUCAAAUGAAAAAGUUUAGGACUAAAUUGGUACAAAUGCAAUAAGUUUAUGAUUUUUUUGGUACUUUUCCCAAGAAAAUGGUGAAGAAAGAAAGAGAAUGAAGGAGCAGAGGACGCCGACAAAGAGGAAGAGGAGGGAGCGAAGCCAAUGGUAGCGUGGGAGGAGCUAGGGUUGGAGGCGGCGGCGGUGACGAAAGGGAGGGGGUGAAGGAGAAGGAGAGAGGGGAGGAGGAGUUAGGGUUUACGGUCACAAGCAAAGAAAGAAAAGAGAAAACAAGAAAAAAGAAAGGAAAAGAGAAAACAAGAAAAAGAAAAAAAGAGAGAAAGAAAUAAGAAAAAAAAUAUAAUAUUAACAAAUUCAAAAUUUUUAGUUAGUAAAAUUUUUAGGAAUAAAUUUUUCAUUAUCUAAGGACUUUAAAACAUUUUGGAAAAUGUUUUCCAAUUCUUUCAAAUAGAAAUCGUUUUUAUGAAUUUAAGCUUUGGAGGGAAAACCUAUUCUAUUGAUUAGGAAAAUAGUUUAUGUUAACUUAUUUUCCUAAGUGAAUCAAACACUGGUAAAUGAGGAAAACGCUUAUUUAGGAAAUUGUUUUUCGCAAAACAAACACACCCUUCACUGUGUUCCCAAACACCUAGGGAGCUAUAGGACAUUAGUGUUCGCCGACACAUUUUCUAGGAUUGCCUUUUCCACAUUUUAUUUUUCAAAUUUCCAUGUUCUUUAACAAUAUUUCGGAAAAUGAAUGAUACAUGGGGGGAAAUUAGGAAUUCAACAUGAAACGUUGCAAACUAUUAAUUUGGAGGAGAGAGAUAAAAAUGAUUAGAUGGAGUGUAAAGACUGGAUAAUCUUUAAAUAUGAUGCAGCAUGGAGAAAUCUAAUUUGAGAAAAUUAUUUCGAAAGAGAUUUAUUUUGAGAGCUACUUUCUCGGUCAAAUCUCUUUUGAAAAAAGUAAUGCGUCCCGCACACUUUUAAUAACAAUAUCCUAUAUAAUCCCACGAUUGAUAUGCUUUUGUUAUCGACUCAUGUUCAUUAGCAGCUUCGACCAAAAAAAUGAAGAAGAAGAAAAAAAAAUGUACAUUAGCAACAGGAGAAGGUGAUUGUCGGUAACCACUGGGAGUUCGCCCCAAUGACCACUCUUCCAACUUGGAAGGGGGAUGUUGGGAGUUCAAAUUCCUAACUUCGCGGGGGGAUUGGGGUGGGGAUGAUUUCAUUUCAAGAAUGGAUUUCGACUCCCACGUCCUGCAAUGAGGCAGGGCAAAAGUCUGAAAGUGAGUGUUAGAGUAAGAUUAUAGUAGGAUCGAAAAAAAGAAAAAAGAUGACUGUUGGUCGUUAGUUGUCUUUUUCUAUUCUGUCUAGUAAUACAAAAGGCUAGCCAAGUCAGACAAUGCUGGAGGAUCUCAAAUCUCAAUGAAAGCACAUGCAUGCACCAUCCUCGUAUAAUGCUGAGGAUCGGCGGAGAUCACAGCUGGCGCACGUGAGUAUUGCUCGUUGGUUCUCUUUUCUAUUUUCUUUCGUUAAUAUCGAAAGGCAAGUCAAGUCAAUCCGUACUGGAUCUCAAAUUUUGAUCAAAGCACCAGGCACGUGAUUGCAUGUGAGUAAUUGCUCGUUGGGUUCCGCACACAUUCCGCAAGAUGCUGCGGAAACUUCGCGUGCAAUGACUGUUCUUUCCGCGGCAUGUUUCGCUGCGGUUCGAUUAGCAUGAAGAGACUUCGACCGUUGGAUAGCUAGGCCCCAACAUUAUAUGCUUUGCACAAAUAGCCCCGGUCGAUCUUUUCAUGCGUCAACAAUUUUUAUCUAAUUAAUUUGACUAACCCAUAUAUAUAUAUAUAUAUAUCCGGAUGGAGAGGAAAUCCUAUUCAGGUAGAUAAAUUUCCACCGUAUAAUUCUAAUAAUGGAAAUUUGGUUCAUUCACUCUAAAUAUUUUGCCUUCCAUACCCAAAAUUUAGGACCUCACUAAUUUCAUCCUUUGCACUUCUAUAUCCUCAAGAAACUUUGAGCCUGCAUACAUCUUUUCUCUUGACAAUGUAAAUGGUUUAUAAAAUUUUUUUAGCCCUGAUUACAUCCUAGAUUGCAGUUUGUUUUAGGGAGGGUUUUAUCCGUUGAGCACACGCACUGAUUAGUAAAAGCAUCGCCAGGAGAAAAAAAUGAACUUUAUGGUUCUUCCCUAAACUUUAAUUUGCUUUCUCUUCGCUAGUUAAUCUUUCCUAUGUGCAUAUACUUGCUUCGUUCUUCCAUAACGAAACAUGUAAUUGGUAAAUUGUCGAACUUGUGAACUACAAUAUCCACUAUUUUAUCAAGUCUCAUUUUUUUUUUCCAUUUUUAAUUUGAGGUAGUACAUUAAACAUGCUAACAAAAUAGAAUCUAAAUAGGAAACAAAAAUAAAAAUAAAACAAUUGGCUAUGGUGCAAUAUUAUAUAGCAAUAUAAUUGGUCUAGGUCGUGAUAUUGUAGUGUAGUUGGUUUAUAAUAUCCAAUCACUAAUGACAAACGACUAUAACAAGUACAUAGAUCUUUUUCUUUUCCAUUUUUUUAAUUGAUAUGAGAAGGAAAAUAUAUUUAUAGGAUUAUAAAUAUUAAGAGAGAGAAUAGAUCUUGCAUUGCCAACAAAGCAACAUGGCAAAAAAGUUGUAUAAUACCUUAAGAUUGCUUCAUUUGCAGUACCUUUAUUAAAGAUAUAUAAAGUUGUAUAAUACCAAUGGCUAAGAUAUUAAGUGUAAUACUCAAAUAUAACCUUGUUUAAGAGAUAAUGACGACAAAGACAGCGAUAAAUAUGCCCUAUCCAAUAAGUAACUCACCGAUAAAAUACGAUAAAACCCAACUCGCCCUCGAGUGCUGUCGGAAUAUUAUUGCAAAUACAUCCAUGAAGCCAUCGAUAGAAGACACGUACUUGCAAAUACAUCCAUGGUCCAUAUUUGAAAUUCAGCACUCAAAAUUUUUAGUGAUUAUUUUUCAGUUUUAUCUUAACGGCACGUACUCGCAGCUUAUUUUUCACAAACGAAUUUAAGUUCAGCAUUGGCAAAAAAAAAAAAAAAAAAAAACAAGUUGAGUCGAGUUGAAAGUCGAGUUAUAGUACAUAAGCUUUGACUCAAAAUUACCAGUGCAAUCGUUUACUUUAAGUAGUUAGAGUACAAUGUUGAAUAUAUUUUGUCUUAACAGUUCAUUUGGUUUAACUUCUAGCUUUUUCUUGACGAUAAAGCAAGAAUUAGGUACAUAAAUUCACAAAUCAAUAAAUAAUCCACUAAUGCAAAGGAUCACACAAGACACAGGUCCCUAGUUAUGAAACCAUUUUAUGCUUACAAACGCGAGGAACCAAACACACGUCAUGUAUCUAGUUUCCAUACACUAAUUUUUGCUUUCCUUUCUCUUGCAACUCACACAGUUGAACUUUUGUUUAACAUAAAUAACUUAAAAGAUUCAAAAUGUGUAAAUACAGUCACGUAGAUAAUUAUACAAAUCUUUUUGUAAUUAACUUAAAUUAUAUAUUAAUUUUUUAAAUGUUAAACAUUUAUUAUGUUAUACCAAAAUUAUCUUGAAAGAGGUAAUACACCAGGCCAAAGUAAGGAGCCACCUCAGUUACCGUCGAGUCCACGUCCGUGUGGCCAUGCAGCGUUGUCGUCGAGGUCCGAGGGGCGAUGGAUAUUCCUGUCUCCUUUUUCAAAAGCCGAAGUAAUCACUCCGAAAGUCCAACCCCCAUGUCGCCUCGGUUGGGAAGUACACAGGAACUCGCUCGGUCCGCGCGCCACGUGAGGUCGAGGGGCAAGUCGGAGUGGCAGAAGAUAUCCUCGAGGUCCGAGGCGGGGACCCCGCUUAGGCUUCGGUUUCAGAGCAGCUGACCGUCGUAGCGGUCAAACAAGUACGUGCCGCACUUGAAAUCUCUAGCAACGUAAUUGAACCUUGCAAUAAAAUCAAAGGAAGAACCUCGGCGCAUCACCAGCAUAGGAGACCACCAUAUUGACUUCAUUUAAAAAGAAAGAACGACGAAUCAAGCAAAAGUUAGUAUGUACAUAUCCAUCUAUGCAUCUCUUACGGGGCGCUUUUUCAUCUUUUAAUAUAGACUCGAGUUCAAAGGUAAUUUUUUGCUACAAAUUCACAUGAAAAUAGCAUAAUUACAAUCAGUAGAAUAUCACUUGAAAUGUAAAAUAUGACCAUGCACCAUCUUAUCUAAGAGCCAAGUUUGAGAAAAGACUACCAAAAACCCUAAACUUUACCAAAAGUGACAAAUUUAUCUCAAACUUUUUUUGUGACGUGAAAAACCUAAAACUUUUCAAAUUGUAACACAUUUACCCAAUCAAGGGCAUUUUUGUCUUAUUUUUUCUCUUUUUUUUUUCUUCUUCUUCCCUCUACUGGCUAUGGUGGAGGGAAGCUGGCAUCCCGGCGAGGGCUGCCCUUAUCGACGUUGGGCUAGCUCAUGCGAGGGUCGUCUCGCCCUGGGGCUUGGCUANNNNNNNNNNNNNNNNNNNNNNNNNNNNNNNNNNNNNNNNNNNNNNNNNNNNNNNNNNNNNNNNNNNNNNNNNNNNNNNNNNNNNNNNNNNNNNNNNNNNNNNNNNNNNNNNNNNNNNNNNNNNNNNNNNNNNNNNNNNNNNNNNNNNNNNNNNNNNNNNNNNNNNNNNNNNNNNNNNNNNNNNNNNNNNNNNNNNNNNNNNNNNNNNNNNNNNNNNNNNNNNNNNNNNNNNNNNNNNNNNNNNNNNNNNNNNNNNNNNNNNNNNNNNNNNNNNNNNNNNNNNNNNNNNNNNNNNNNNNNNNNNNNNNNNNNNNNNNNNNNNNNNNNNNNNNNNNNNNNNNNNNNNNNNNNNNNNNNNNNNNNNNNNNNNNNNNNNNNNNNNNNNNNNNNNNNNNNNNNNNNNNNNNNNNNNNNNNNNNNNNNNNNNNNNNNNNNNNNNNNNNNNNNNNNNNNNNNNNNNNNNNNNNNNNNNNNNNNNNNNNNNNNNNNNNNNNNNNNNNNNNNNNNNNNNNNNNNNNNNNNNNNNNNNNNNNNNNNNNNNNNNNNNNNNNNNNNNNNNNNNNNNNNNNNNNNNNNNNNNNNNNNNNNNNNNNNNNNNNNNNNNNNNNNNNNNNNNNNNNNNNNNNNNNNNNNNNNNNNNNNNNNNNNNNNNNNNNNNNNNNNNNNNNNNNNNNNNNNNNNNNNNNNNNNNNNNNNNNNNNNNNNNNNNNNNNNNNNNNNNNNNNNNNNNNNNNNNNNNNNNNNNNNNNNNNNNNNNNNNNNNNNNNNNNNNNNNNNNNNNNNNNNNNNNNNNNNNNNNNNNNNNNNNNNNNNNNNNNNNNNNNNUGGCUUCCUUUCACGGAUUCCGCCAUGGCCGGCAGGGGGAAGAGAGAAGAAAAAAAAAAAGAAAAAGAAAAGUAAAAAGACCAAAAUGCCCUUUAGUUUAUGAUAAAUGUGUCACACGACAGAAGUUUAGGAUUUUUUAUAUCACAAAAGAAAGUUUGGGAUAAAUGUGUCACGGUUGGCAAAAUUCAUGAUUUUUAAAAUCACAAAAAAAAGUUUGGGGGUAAAUCUGUCACUUUGGACAAAGUUUAGGGUUUUUCGUGAUUUUUUCCAGCCAAGUUUAAGGUCUAAGAUCAGCAUUUUGAUAUCAUUACGAUCAUCUUAUAAGCAGUAAGCAUUCAAGUAGCAUUCAAGUAGCAUUCAAGUUUAAUACAUAAACUUGAUAUUUUAUGUUUGGACAUUGCUAUUACUUUUUUUUUUUUGGUAAGGUAACAUUGCUAUUACUUUUGUCACUAUUUGACUCACAAGAAAUUUAACAUAGGGAAAUUUAACAUAGGAGUGAUAGGACCAUUAGCCCUAAUAACCAUGAUGAGACACUGCAAAUAUUCUUGUGUCAGAGUAUGAGAAACAACAUAAAAAUAAGUCCAAGAAGCCACACUUUUGACCUAUUCCAAAUCACCAGAGAAAUAUCAUAAUUAAUUAAAAGAAAUCCAGAGCUUUGUAAGCACGGUGAAGUAAAGAUCCAGCAUAAGCCUGAAAGACAAAAUUAAGUUUUUUUUGGGUACUUUCAUCCCUAUACUUUCACUUUUUUCUCUCAUUAUGUCCCCAUACCUUAAACUUUUCUAAUCAAUUUAUUUUGCUUUCACAAAUUUCCUAAUCAAGACCCAACCAACCUUAGCUUAUGUAACCGUCAAAUAAUGCCCCAGUACGAUGCGGAUAACUUAUGUGGAUGCCCACGUAGUCAUGUAUGGAAAAAUUUAUCCAAUAUAGACAAUGUCAGAACGUGACAUGGAUAAAAUUUAGUUAAGGUGUAUGCCAAAGUAUAUGUCUAUAUUGGAAAAUUUUUGUUUACGUCACACAACAAUAUCAGUUGACAGUAAUGCCAGCUGGAUUUGGUCGAGUUUUGUGUUAGAGGGAUUUGAUUGGAAAAUUUAUGAAAUUUCAAAGAACUUGUUAGUAAAAUUACGGUAGAGAAAACGUGAAAGUAGAGGAUAAGAAGAAGACUGAUUUCGAAAAACCAACAGCUAAUCCACAGUCAGCAGAAGAAUGCCUUACCUGACAAGAUAAGUAGGUCUACUUUGUACCACGUGAGCAAUGAAUGGAAUGGUUACACUACAUCCUCACAAUUCCACUGGUAUCUGGGUCCAAUCUCAAGGACAUCAAAAGCCAUGAAAAGAUCACAACUGUGAACAUCUCUCUAUGAACUUGUCUCAUCAUAUGCGUCAAGAGGGAAUAAAAUCUUUAAGCCAAACUAGUAGUUGUGAGGAAAAUAUAAUCAGCAAUUAAUGUUGACACAUAAAUUUUGACUACCCAAUUAGUUAUUUAUCGCAUAGAAAAAUUAAAAAAUCGACCUCGUCCCCUAAAAAAAAUAUUAGUUAAAUUACAUAUAGAUAUUAGGAGCAUUUUUCAUUCAUUAAUAGUAAGUCCACAUAUAAUUACAUUUUGAUUGGACUGGUGCAAGGAGAUUUUGAGCGUAAUCGAGUUAAUUGGACUAAGCCCGUGGGAAUGAGAAAUUCAGCCUAAUCCAUUUAUUUCCUUUGCUCGACCAGACAUCAAAUAUGCAGCACAAGGACUUCAGCACGAAUGAAGCAGCAAAUAUUCGUUAUUGAGAAAUAUAUUCUGAACCUUUUUUUGGGAAAAUUAACUGACUAAUUCUUUUCAUUAUUAAAGAUGCACGUCAUGCUUAAAGUAGGCAAGUUAAUUUUUCUUAGUCAAAACUGGAAGUAAUUGAACACUAUUUGAAAGGAAAGAAACAAAAAUAGAAAAAGAAAAAGGAAGAAAACGGGGAAGAAAGAAAGAAAUUCACGGCCCGAGCAUGAUAGACCAGAGAAUAAUGUAUGCACUCACAAGAGGAAAGUGGAAUUCGGCCAGCCCAAAAGGAGUUCUCGCCAAGUAUAAAGAGAUAACACUGCAACACGUAAAAGAGGAGACAAAGGAGGGAGACAAAAUGUUCGAUAAAUUCACGUUCGCAAUUAACGAGAAGUGUGAGCAAUACAUAAAAGAGAACUCAAGUUUUUUCUGUGCCUCGAAAAGCUAGCCCCUACGCAGUAAGUGUGUCUAUGUUUUGACGUUACGAUUGGGAGAAAACAUGUGCGUUCAAUGACAUUGGAGAUUGAUUUACAUGUCUCAAAGUCAUUAGUUGGAAUUAAAAGUGGACUGUAAAUGCAUGUGAAGAUAUUCGAAAAGUACACUUGUAAUAGGUGGAGACGAUAUUUGGGGCACUCAUGAAAAAAAAUGGAUUGAACGGGCCAAAAUAUUUUAGAUAUUUAUAGCAUAAGUUUUGUCAUAUUGAUGCAUUUCGUUAAACAAUUUUUUUAAUCUUGAGGAGAAGCUUCUAUUGCAUUCAUUUAUAGUUUAAGAACUAUAGAUGGACGUAAAUGAUCAACGGCACAUUUUCUAGGGUCGCAUCUUCCACAUAUUUUCAAAUUUCCACACCUUUAAAAAUAUUUUGGAAAAUGAAUGAAAAAUAGGAGGGAAGUUAGGAAUUCAACAUGAAGCGUUAAAAACUAUUAACUUAAGGAGAGAGAUAAAAGUGACUUAAGCAGAGGGUAAAGACCGGAUAAAACAUGAUAUAGCGUAGAGAAAUCUGGUUUGAGAAAAUUAUGUCGGAAGAGAUUAAUUUUCAGAGUUACUUUCCCAGACGAAUCUCUUUUGAUAAAAGUAAUUCGUCCUGCAGGCAUUUGAAUAACGAAAUCCUAUAUACCACGCUUGAUAUGAUUUUGUCAUUGACUCAUGUACAUUGGCAGCGGGAGCAUGCGACUGUCGGUCGUUAGUUUUCUUUUUCUGUUCUGUUUACUAAUAGAAAAGGCAAGCCAAAUCAAGACAAUGCUGCAGGAUCUCAAAUCUGAAUGAACGCACCUGCAUGCACCUCCCUUGUAUGAAGCUGAGAAUCGGUGGAAAUCACAGCUGGAGCACGUGAGUAUUGCUCCUUAGCUUUCUUUUCCAUUUUCUUUCGUUAAUAUAAAAGUCUAUUUACUUUCAUUAAUAUGAACGGCAAGCCGUGCGGGAUCUCGACUUUUGACCAAAGCACCGGGAGCAAGUGAGUGUUGCACGUGAUUGCAUGUGCGCACGUGAGUAUUUAUUUUGGCUCUUUCGGUUCCGCGCUCCUUCCACUAAAUGCUGCGGAAACUAUGCAUGCAAAGAUUGUUCUUUCAGCGGCAUGCCUCGCAGUGGUUCGAUUAGCACGAAGAGUCUUGGACCGUUGGAUGGCAAGAACUCAGCAUUAUGUGAUUUGCACAAAUAGCCCCGGUCAAUCUUUCUAUGCUUCAACAAUUUUUUUCUAAAUAAUUUGACAACCCAUUCAUAUAUAUAUAUAUUUCCAGAUGCAGAGAAACCCUACCUACUUAGACAAAUUUCCAUUGUAUCAUUCUAAUAAUGGAAGUUUGGUUCAUUCACUCUGAAUAUUUUUCCUUCCAUGCAAGUAAAAGUCUAAGACCUUACUAAUUUCAUCAUUGCUACUUUGAACAAACGUUUCUCUUUUCUCUGGAUAAAUUUCUUUUGCCUCGAUUAUAUCCUGGAUUCCAACUAUUUUUUUUUUUUUUAAAGGAGGGAAUUAUCCAUGGAGGACGCACACUAAUUUGUAGAGGCACCAUUAGGAGAAAAGAAUAAACUUUAUGAUGUGAAAAAAAUUACAUUUUAUAUUCUUCCCUAAAUUUUAAUUUGUUUUCUCUUUGCUAUUUAAUCUUUAUUAUAUGUAUACUUGUUUAUUUCUUCCAUAACGAAACAUAUAGCUGCUAAUCUAUCAUCCUUGUGAGACACAAUGCCCACUAUUUUAUCACGUCUCAUUUUUUUUCAUCUGUAAUUUGAGGUAGUACAUUGUUAAGAGACGAAGGAAAACGAAAGGCCCAUGUGUACUCUACUAUCGGUAGAAUAUAUUUUCCACGCCCCGAUUUUACAAUCAAGACGUGCUGCACCCCAAUUUUCAAUCAAAGCACGUUGCAUAAGUAGGAUCCACACACCUUCCGCAUAAUGCUGCAGAAAUUAAUUAUUAUCGAACAACCUUUUCUUUCAUUUUAAGUCCUUAAAAUGGUCCAUAUUUGAAAUACAGUACUCGAAAUUUCGGUAAUUAUUUUUCAGUUUUUUCUAAACGGGCUCAUACUCGCAGCUGAUUUUUCACAAAUGAAUUUAAGUUCAGCAUCAGCAAAAAGACAAGUUGAGUCAAGUGGAAAGUUGAGUUAUAGCACCCAAGGUUUGACUUGAAAUUACCUAUGUAAUCAUUUACUUUAAGCCGUUAGAGUACAGUGUUGAAUAUAAUUUACAUCAUAGCAAUUUAUUUGGUUCGACUUCUAGCUUUUUGUUAACGACGAACACAAAUCAGAUACGUAAUUCACAGGUCAACAAAUUCUCCACUAAUGCAAAGUAUCAAGCUAGACACAAGUCUCAUAUACGAAACAGUUUAUGCUUGCAAAUAUGGCGGACCAAACACACGUUGUGUACCUAGUCUCCAUCUACUAAUUUUUACUUUCUAUUCCCUUGCGACUCUCAUAGUCAAACUUUUUUUUUUUUAUAACAAAGAUCACUUAAAAGAUUCAAAAUAUGCAAAUACUAUCACGUAGAUAAUUAUAUAAUUAUAUUUUUAAUUUAACUUAAAGAAUAUACAUAUUUUAAAUCUUUCAAAUGUAAAAAAUCAAUUAUACUUUUAAGUGCAGUCUAAAUUUUUAUCGAAGGGUUGCAUACCAAAAUUAUCUUUUAUUUUGAAAGAAGUAAAGCACCUCAUUAGUCAUUAGAGAAAAAGGCCAAAGCAUGGAGCCACCUCAGCUAGCGCUGUCGGGGACCCGUCUCCUUUUUCAAAAGCCAAAAGAAAUUGCCCCGAACGUCAAACCCGCCCACUCGCCUCGGUCAGGGAGAGCACGGAAACUCGCUCGGACCGCGCGCCACGUGAGCUCGAGGGGGGCAAUUCGGUACAUUCCGAGUGGCCGAAGAUAUCCUCGAGAUGCGAGGUGGGGACCACACAUUGGCUUUGGUUUCUGAGCAGCUGACCGGCGUAGCGGUCGAGCAACGCGAACACGGAGAGGAGGAGCGGCGUGGGUCCGCGUGAAGAGACAACCUAAGCAGAAUCUUUUUUUUUGGUCGAAGCCUAAGCAGAAUCCACACGGCAAAUUUCUACUCUGUUUUCGUGGAUAAAAGGGUCUCGAACAGUUGGACGGCAAUAACUCAGCAUCGUUCGAGCAAGCGCGGGAGAGAGUGUUAAGCGUAGUUAAUCCGAGGUUGAAGGCUGAGAACCGGCAGAGUUCACAGCAGUAGGUGAAUUGUGUUGUUUGAGCACUCUUCAGGUAAUCGAUUGCUCCAUUUUCUUUUGAUGAGUUUCGAUUUGAGUUCUUGGAGACAUUUUUGCAUUCCGAGAUUUGGACUGUGAAAUCUAGACUUUUUUUCUUCAAGGCUCUGCUCGAUCGAUGUCCUAUUUGGUCAAUUAGACUUCAUUUCUGUUUGAAUUUAGCUACGAAAUGAGCUCUGACAGACAUUUCGGCAAUUCCCGAAUCCGGGAUUCCGUAUUUCUCUUUGUUUUCUGCUUUUCUUCGAGGCUCUGCUCCAUCGAUCUCUUCCAUUCCCUUUAUAGGUGAUUACAAAGGCGGAGCCUAAAAGAUUCGAUAUGUGGGGACAUUCAGAAGAUCCGAAUUGUGGGGCUUCUUCCUCAUCGACUUCACCGCAUGUAGGUGAUUAUGAAGGCAGAACCAAAAAGAUGAAAAGAAAUGACUACGAAGUGUUCUUGAGCUUUAGAGGGAAGGAUACUCGUAAUGGCUUCACCGAUUAUCUAUAUACUAGUCUUGUUGAUGCAGGAAUUCAUGUGUUCAGAGAUGACAAUGAGCUUUGUGUUGGUGAGGAGAUUGGACCGGAACUUUUCCGCAGUAUUACACAAUCUAAGAUCUCCAUCCCGAUUAUCUCAGAGGACUAUGCAUCCAGCAAAUGGUGCCUUCGCGAGUUGGCUCUUAUGUUGAAUUGCAAGAGAAACAAAGGGCAAAUGGUGUUACCCAUAUUUUACAAAGUGGAACCUUGGCAAGUGAAGCAUCUCACAGGGAGAUUUGGAGAUGCUAUCAAUACACAUAAAAAGAAUUUGGAAGAAAAGAUUGUGAAGGAAUGGGAAGAAGCACUCAAAGAAGUCACUUCCUUGAAAGGAUUGGAAUCGGAGAAAAUUGAUAAUGGGUACAUUAUUCUCCACCACAACAUUGUUUACUUUCUCAUAACUAGAUCUUACUUGAAAAAUAAUACAAAUAUUUCCAUCAUAUAUUGAAAUUUUUAUUGUUGUUCGACAGGCGUGAAGGAACAUUGGUUAAAAUAGUUGUCAGAAAAGUUAUGAGUAACUUAAAGGAAUUGUUUUUGCUAAAUGUUCCCAAACAGUUGGUGGGAAUUGAUGAUCGUGUGGAGCGUAUUAUGCACUUCAUAAAUGCUAAAUUUAGUGAUACAAGUAUUAUCGGAAUCUAUGGAAUGGGCGGCAUCGGUAAGACAACCCUUGCGAAGGUGUUGUACAACAAGCUUUUGAGUCAUUAUGAGUCUCAUAGCUUUGUGGCAGAUAUUCGAGAAAAAUUUAAGCUCAAGGGUCUUGAAUGCAUACAAAAGCAGCUCAUUUAUGACAUUAGUGGAGGCUUAUGUGAUGUGUCUAAUGUCGAUCACGGAAUCAAUAUCCUUAAAUCUCGAUGUAUAAAUAAGAAAGUUCUCAUUCUUCUUGAUGACAUGGAUGAUAAUACUCCCUUGAAUGCUUUGGUUGAAGACGGUAGUUGGUUUAAAGCUGGAAGUACGGUCAUCAUCACCACUAGAGACAAGAGUAUUCUUGACAAGGUUGGGGUAAGAUACAAGUAUCAACUCAAUGAGUUGCUUUCAUAUCAAUCAUUGGUUUUAUUUAGCAGACAUGCAUUUCGAACGGAUUCUCCUCCGAGUGAUUAUUGGGUUAUCUCUCGUGAUAUCGUAUCUACUACUGGGGGGCUUCCUUUAGCUCUUGAAGUUAUUGGUUCAUUCUUAUGUGGAAAGACAAAAGAAGCAUGGAAAGCUACAUCAAAAAAAUUAGAGAAAGUGCCUAAUAAGAAAGUGCAAGAGAAGUUGAGAAUAAGUUACGACGCAUUAGAUUUUGAGGACCAGCAGAUUUUUUUGGAUAUUGCAUGUUUUUUUGUCGGAUCAUCUAUACAAAAUCCGACUUACAUGUGGGAUGCCUGUGGUUUUUUCCCGGGAAAGGGGAUUGAAGUAUUGAAUCUUAUGUCCCUAAUUAAAAUUACUGAUGAUGGCGAGCUAAUGAUGCAUGAUCAGCUGAGAGAUCUUGGAAGGGAAAUUGUUCGUCAAGAAAAUCUAAAGAAGCCUCAAAAGCGUAGCAGAUUGUGGGAAUAUGAGGAUGGCGUAGAUGUGCUUCUCAGCAACAAGGUAAGAGUUUUUCUCCGCUUGUCUUAAUCAUCGAAUGUGAGCACAUCUUCUCUUUCUUGUUUAAGAUAAUAAUUAUAGUCAAUCACGAGUCCCCAAAACUGGCUGCGUCUACUGGCAAGAGGGCACUUUUAAUUAAUUGCUCUUCUUGUCGGACUUUAGGACAAAAUUGAAGAGCAAUUUCUUGGUUAUUAAUAACUAAUAUUUUUAACUAGUAAGAUUGUGAUGAGGAUACUCUCCUUUUGCUAGCUUCAAUAAAAAAACAAAGCUACAAAUUAAUGUUCGAUAGAGCACUUUUAAAGAAAAUCGAAUAUCUAUAAAUUGUUGGGGCCAUGCUUUCCCACAUUUUUGUUUGGUGCACAGGUUGAUGUUUGAAUUCUUAUAUUGAUUUCUUUUGAGGUAUUUUCUUUCUUUUUUCUUUUAACGAGUACCGACUUCUUAAGAGUUUGCUACGAUGAAUGAGACCAUUCAUUAGUGAUGAUUAGCUAUCCCGAUUCUUGAAUUUUUCAAGUUGGGUAAAGUAUAGAUUUAGUCCCUCAAGUAAUACUAUUUGUAAGAUUUAAUCCCCUUUCUAUUUUUUGCUCAAUACCAUUCUCCAUCUUUCACAGUUUGUGCGAUCAAGUCCUUUGUAGUCAACCGUUAAUGAACAUGGUCAAUUUGUUGAUGUGACUUUCAUAUACUAUAAAUAAUAUGGUUAUAAUUAAUAUAAAUCCUAGUUAUAAUUAGAAAUCUAACAUUAAUAGAGUGACUUGGAAAAAAAGACAUGAAUUUUGGGAAUAACUAUUACUACAAGUAAAUAUUGUAAUAGACUAUAAUAGCCAUUACGGUAAUGAAACGUGCUCUAAUAAUCUAAAUGCAUGUAAUAAUACAUUGCUACAUAAUGUGUAUGUAACUAAGGGUUAGUAAAUGUGUACAACUAAACGGUAUAUAUUAUGCGGUAAGAUAUUUAGUUCAAAGUAAGACGUUAGGAAAAAAAAAGUAGAAAUUUUCCAAUAAACGGUAUAUAUUAUGUAUUCCCAAAAAAAUAUAUAUUAAUAAAGAUAUGUUCUCAAUACCAUAAUUAUAAAAAUUUUAAUGUUGAAGUAUUAUCUAAACUAAAUUUUUUGACAUGAUACUUGUUAAACUUGGAAGUUAAAUAUUUCAACCAUACAUACAUGACCUUUUUCUUUAUAUAGAGGAUGAGUGAUGAAGUGACUUUUCAGUUACAACAUUUUUAAAUAUUUAUAGAAGAAUGAUAAUUAAUAAUAAAACUAAACAAUUUCACAACUGUAUGUUGGCACAGAAGUGAUAUUAACAUAAUAUAAUUAUUCUUCAUGUCCAAUCUAUCUCUUAGCAAGAUCUUAUUAAUUUAUGGGCAAAAUUGAUCAUAAAAUUAGAUGACUGUUAUUUCUUUGUAACAAAAUCAACAUGAAAUGAAAAGUUAGCAUCAAACAUAUAUAGUAAUAAAAAGAGAAGUGAAAAUCAUGCAUAUAACUUGUUGAGGAAACACAUGAUAAGAAAGGAAUGCAAAACAUCUGUGUACUUCUUGGGAUGGAAUUCUCAUUUUCAUUUUGCUAUCGAGAAUUGUAAACAAGGUACGAAAGAAAAAGAGGGGAAUUCUACAAUUGAGAUUCUUUAGUAUUGAUACAUGCUUUGACGGUAAAUUUGAUAUAUGCAUUUGAAGUUUUGAACUGUAAGAGACAUGUUGUUUCACAUAUAAAGGAUAUGAGUUAGUUUGUUAUUUCCCAUAUAAAGGGCAUGGAAUUUUGAAGUGAUGUUUGCAUGAAAAGAGGCCUUCUAUAUUAAUUUUGAAAGGAUGGGACUUUGGGGAAUUUAAAAGCUGCAAAUUGUGAAGGGAAUAAUUGGAAGAGGAAAAGUUUGGGAAGACCCUCUUGAGGUUCACAUUUUUACAUUGAUUACCACAACCUGUCAUGUCAUGAAGUCGAAAGUGAGAAGCUUAAAUCAUGAUAGUACGACAACAAAUUUGAAAUCAAUACAUUUUUUCUCAUAUAUAGUUGCUUUCAACCCAUUAUUCAAAACAACAAUUUACAAUGUUGCCUAAUUGCAGGGCACUAGUAAAAUUGAGGCCCUUCGUCUUGACUUAGAUAAUGGGAAAGGAAGUUACAUGGCUGAAACAUUUAAAGAAUUGACCAAAUUGAGGAUACUUCAACUGGAAGGUGUGAAUCUCACUGGACAUUUUCAGAACUUGUUUCCUCAACUAAGAUUGCUUGAGUGGAUGGAUCAUCAACCGGAUUUUGAAUUGACCAACUUUCACCUGAAGAAAUUAGUCGUGCUCGAUUUGUCGUGGAGCAAGAUUUCAGAGAACUGGGGAGGAUGGAGUCAACUAAAGGUAAAAUGUAAAGAAGGCAUAUGUCUUAUAAAUAAUCACGUGUUGUCGAUGGACCCAAUUGCACCAAGUUAUACUUAAUUUCUUCUGAAAAUAUAUAUUAUGGAUUUUCUUCUAAGCAUAAGAGGAAUUCAUAGGCACCUAAAUAUGUCAAAAGCUUCUACCCCUUAAUAUUUUAGCAAACUAGUCAUGCUUAACAUCAGACCUACUAAUAAAAACUUUUUAAAUCGUAUUAAUUAACAUCUAUCAAAAAUAUAAUUACAAUAAUGUGCCCAUGUUAAUUUUAAUCUAAAUGGUUUAUGGCUUCUAGUUAAUUUCUCCCCAUGCAAAAGUAUGUAUUUUUAGCAAUUCUUGUUAUAUGUAUGUAUGUAUCUUCUUUCAUAAAAAUGCAAAGACCCUCACAGUGACUUGUGUUUUACAUACAUACUAAAAUUCUAAAUUCAUUGUUACUUUUAAAGUAAUGGAAAUAAUUUGUGAACUACUUUGACUUGUUGCGCACAAUAAUUAUUCAUUAUUAUUGUUGAUUGUUGAAGUCACCGUAUAACACAUUUAUAAAGUACUAAUGUCAUAUGAGUAAUACAACACUUUUUUAUGUCUCGUACAUAUAGCAUUUAAAAAUUGUUUUUCAUAAUUAAAGUAGCCAUUUCUCUUUAAUUUCAUACUAAUUGAAGGAAAACAUGGCACCAAAUGAAUGCAUCUCAUUUCUUCCAUUUGACUUUGUCAUAUGUAAUUUGAUAAUAAAAUUUGUGUAUCUCUAUUCAAUAAAUAACAACAUAGUCAUAACUUUGAAAAACUAAACAUGACAUUUUCUAAGAAAUUUUAUUUGCGAAAAAUUGUAGAUAGCACUCAUACAUCCCUAACAUUCUCUUUGCAAUGAUAUGCUUAAAAACAUUUAUAUGCUAGCUUGGCGAAUACACUAUUGAAAAGAAACAUUUAAAAUUAAAUUAAAUAGCUGUGUAAAAAUAGGGAGAAUGGGAUUAUUUUUUUUGUCCAAUCUCAAAGUGGUAACCUCUUUCUUUCAGAUAGCAACCGAGCUCAAGGUUCUCAACCUUACGAAUUGUGCUUUAAGAACAACUCCCGACUUGUCCGCUUUCAAGAGUUUGGAGAUUUUGAUACUUGAAGCUUGUGAGGAUCUAGAAGAGAUUCAUCCUUCUAUCGAGGACAUCGAGACCCUUGUCUCCUUGAAUGUCAGUAAUUGUUGGGAGCUGAAGAAGCUACCACUAGGAGUAGGUAGAAUGGAAAAUUUGAGCAAGCUUCUCAUAGAUAACACUAAUAUACGAGAGAUUCCUAUUUCAAGAGGUUGUUUGACAAAGCUGGAGACUCUACAUGCCUCAGAUUGUAGACGGCUUGCUCAACUUCCAGAAUCCUGGGGCUCCCUUAUGUCAUUAACUCAACUAGACCUAAAAAGAACAGAAAUUGAGGAAUUACCCGAAUCCAUUGGAUCAUUAAAGAAGCUCAAGACUCUAAAUACCUCUUAUUGUGCAUUGUUAACUUGCCUACCCAACUCAAUAGGCGAUUUAGCAUCUCUAUGUUGCCUUGACCUAAGAAAUUGCCAAAAGCUUGCUCAACUUCCAAACUCCAUAGGCUCCCUCGUGUCUCUAUUGCAAUUGUUGUUGUCGAGAUGCUACUCGUUGAGACAAAUCCCAGGCUCGAUUGGAAAGUUGACAUCAUUGACUGAGCUGCAUUUGCAAUCUACGGCCAUUGAAGAAUUACCUAAAUCUAUUGGUUCAUUGAAGGAGCUCAAGACUCUAGAUGCCUCUUAUUGCACAUCGUUAGCCCGCAUACCCAACUCAAUAGGCAAGUCACUAUCUUUGUCUCGCCUUGACCUAACAGGAUGCCAUAAACUUGCUCAACUUCCAGACUUUAUAGGCUCCCUUGUAUCUCUACAACAGUUGUUAUUGUCGGGAUGCCACUUGUUGAGACAAAUCCCAAACUCGAUUGGAAAGUUGACAUCAUUGACAGAGCCGCAUUUGAAAUCUACGGCCAUUGAAGAAUUACCUGAAUCCAUUGGUUCUUUGAAGGAGCUCAAGACUCUAGAUGCCUCUUAUUGUGCAUCGUUAGCCCGCAUACCCAACUCAAUAGGCAAUUCAAUAUCUCUGUCUCACAUUGACCUAACAGGAUGUCAUAAACUUGCUCAACUUCCAGACUCUAUAGGCUCCCUCAUGUCUCUACAGUGGUUGUCAUUGUCAGGAUGCCACUCAUUGAGACAAAUCCCAUACUCGAUUGAAAAGUUGACAUCACUGACUGAGCUACAUUUGAAAUUUAAAGUUAUUGAAAGAUUACCUAAAUCCAUUAGUCUUUUUAAGGAGCUCAAGACUCUAGAUGGCUCUUAUCAUGCAUCGUUAGCCUAUAGACCCACUUCAAUAGGCAAUUCAACGUCUCCGUCUUGUCUUGUCCUAACAGAAUGUCAUAAGAUUGCUCAACUUCCAGACUUUAUAGGCUCCCUUGUAUCUCUACAACGGUUGUUAUUGUCAGGAUGCCACUCGUUGAGACAAAUCCCAGACUCGAUCGGAAAGUUGACAUCAUUAACUAAGCUGCAUUUGAAAUCUACGGCCAUUGAAGAAUUACCUGAAUCCAUUGGUUCUUUGAAGGAGCUCAAGACUCUAGAUGUCUCUUAUUGCAAAUUGUUAGCCUGCAUACCCAACUCAAUAGGCAAUUCAACAUCUCUGUCUCGCCUUGACCUAACGGAAUGCCAUAAACUUGCUCAACUUCCAGACUCUAUAGGCUCCCUCGUGUCUCUACAACAUUUGUUAUUGUCGGGAUGCCACUCGUUGAGACAAAUCCCAGACUCGAUCGGAAAGUUGACAUCAUUGACUGAGCUACAUUUGAAAUCUACGGCAAUUGAAGAAUUACCUGAAUCCAUUUGUUCUUUGAAGGAGCUCAGGACUCUAAAUGCUCAUUGCAAAUCGUUAGCCUGCAUACCCAAUUCAAUAGGCAAUUCAACAUCUCUGUCUCGCCUUGACCUAACAGGAUGCCAUAAACUUGCUCAACUUCCAGACUCUAUAGGCUCCCUCGUGUCUCUAAAAAUUUUGUUAUUGUUGGGAUGCCACUCAUUGAGACAAAUCCCAGACUCGAUCGGAAAGUUGACAUCAUUGAUUGUGCUAUAUUUGAAAUCUACGGCCAUUGAAGAAUUACCCGAAUCCAUUGGUUCUUUGAAGGAGCUCCAGAUUCUAGGUGCCUCUCAUUGCAAAUCAUUAGCCCGCAUACCCGAUUCAAUAGGCAAUUCAACAUCUCUUCUCGCCUUGACCUAACAGGAUGCCAUAAACUUGCUCAACUUCCAGACUCUAUAAGCUCCCUCAUGUCUCUAAAACAUUUGUUAUUGUUGGGAUGCCACUCGUUGAGACAAAUCCCAAACUCGAUCGGAAAGUUGACAUCAUUGAUUGAGCUGCAUUUGAAAUCUACGGCCAUUGAAGAAUUACCUGAAUCCAUUGGUUCUUUGAAGGAGCUCAGGACUCUAGAUGCCUCUCAUUGCAAAUCAUUAGCCCGCAUACCCAAUUCAAUAGGCAAUUUAACAUCUCUGUCUCGCCUUGACCUAACAGGAUGCCAUAAACUUGCUCAACUUUCAGACUCUAUAGGCUCCCUCGUGUCUCUACAACAUUUGUUAUUGUCAGGAUGCCACUCGUUGAGACAAAUCCCAGACUCGAUCAGAAAGUUAACAUCAUUGACUGAGCUGCAUUUGAAAUCUACGGCCAUUGAAGAAUUAUCUGAAAGCAUUGGGAAUAUGCAAAACUUAAGGAUAUUGGACAUUAGUGGAACUCCCAUAAUAGAAUUGUUUGAUGACCCAGGAAUAUUGGUAGAACUCCAAGAGUUCAGAGCUUCGGGAUGGAAAAAUCUGGAAGGGUCACUUAGUAAUAACGGCCAAUUGGUUUCACCAAACAAUCUUGGUUUAGACAAGCUUCAAAAACUAUCAGAAUUGCGCUCUCGCAUACUAGCACUCGGUAUUACCUACCAAAUCUCGCAAUCACUAAAUCUAUCCUAGCUAAACUUUCUUAAGAAACUCACUAUUUCUAAUUGAAUUGAAUGUCUUCAAACCUUUCUAUAAAACGUUGUAGAAAAGCUGUGAAUCUUGAUUUUUUAUUUUCAAAAGUUCAACCUAUUAGUUGGGCAUUCUAUUUACUUUUUUUCUUGUGAUACAGUUCUCUUAAAGCGUCCCAAGACUCCAACAAUCAACAACUCAACCAUGGAUUUUCAAAUAGCAGAUUCUAAACACGUUUCGAAGAGAUCAAGACCUUUUGAAAUCUUGGAUGAAGUACUUAUUUCAUCUUGCUUUUUCUUUAUCGUUCUUUAUUAAUUAUAGGAUGGUUUUAUCUAUAAAGAGAAGUAUCUUAUUGGGGGAUCGAUUAUCUGUUAUGUAUGGAAUGCUUUUCUCAACAUUCGUAACUAAAUCUGUCAGGCUUCUUAUGUUCAUGAAAGUAGGAAUUUUCAAUUUUCCUAAAUUAUAAACUUAAGUUCGAAUAUAUUGCCCAUUCUUAUGCGAUUCUCUUUCCUAAUUAUCUUUCUUUGCAUGCCAUUGAAUGAAACCUUUUGAAAGCACUCUCACUUUGGUGCUAUUGCGGCAUAUGAUCAUGCAUUGGGAAUCUUUAGGAGUGUAGGGGUUAUUUCACAUCGGUUGUGGAAGGAGAAGGUAGUGAGUUUAUAAGUGUAAAGGAAAGCCUCACCCUUUAAGCUAGCUUUUGGGGUGAGAUAAGCCCAAGACCACCCAAAAAUGAUAAACUUUUAGUUUUAAGGUUUCUCGAUACCCUUAACUUUCAUGAUGUGAACUUAAAGAAAUAAUUGAGGAUUGGAAGGAUUACAAGAAAGUCUGAUGGAGAGAAAAAUGAGCAAAAGGGCUAAGGUUGUCAAUUUAUAUGUUUGAUUGUCUUAAUUGUGUUUGUUAAUGUGUCAAUUCAUCAUGACUUCUAUUGGACAUGUCAAACCAUUGAAUUAGACGAGAGCAUGUAAAUAUAUCUCAACCAACUAGUUAGAUGUAUGGUGAUGUGUCAUAUUUUGGUUGUGUCUGUGUUUUUCGUGUUUGGUACUGUCAUGUAAACAGUUAGUGUUAAUAUUGGUAGCAUUAAUGAGGAGUGUGGAUUGGGAAGGUGUUGAUUGCAUCUUCUCCCAUCACACAGGCAUUGUGCUCGCGUAUGCUAGUAAAAUAGGGGCUCUCAUACAAGUUUUGCAUCUUUUGAGUGCCAUGGCUUUUAUCAAUUUUCUAAAGGACUAACUAGUUUUGUAAUCUUUAUGACGUCCUAUUAGGUGAAUAAUUUGCCGGCAAACAUUCUGCCUAUCUCAUACAACUGCCCAAGCCUCAGUCAGAGUUCUUAUUCUUCAAAUGACUUGCCCGGAAACGUAGUCAUUACCCUAAGUCAAGGUUCGCUUGUUAAGAGUAUGGAUUUCCAUCCAGUGCAACAAAUUCUACUGCUCGGUUAGCACUUCUUUCAUACUCUAUGAAUAACAUGUUCCGUGCUUUUCUUCAGUUGGAUAUACUUAUUCUCAUUGGAGGCCAUAAGUUUGUUCUUUGGUGCUUGGAAGAUUGCUUUUUGAUGUUCUUUUGACACUAGCUUCAGCUAUAUUAAACCACGGGCUAUGAUUCUUCAAAUUUUUUACUUCAAUAAUUUUCAGUGGGAACAAAUACGGGCAAUGUUAUGGUAUGGGAAGUAGGCAGCGGUGCGAGGAUUGCUUUGAAGAAAUUCAAGGUUUGGGAUUUGAGAACAUGUUCAAUGGCGUUGCAAGUAUGGAAGUUCAAUUCUAAAUAAAAUCAUGGCAUCUUGUUUUUGGACAUGUGAUUAUGGAUUUUAAUUCUUUGUAGGCUUCUCUGGCCAAUGACUAUACAACAUCCAUUAACCGUGUAAUGUGGAGUCCUGAUGGAAUCCUUUUUGGUAUGUACAUAUGUCACUUCUACUUGUAUAUCAACUUAAGAAAUUGGGCAAUACAUACUUGCAAAUUGAUGAAAAAACUAAAGCGCCAAGAACCAAACUUCAUUGCAAUAUUUUUCCAGAAGAAGUGUCCAUAUGCUGCUUUUACUGAUGAUUUGUGGUUUUCACUUUAGGUGUUGCUUAUUCCAAGCACAUGGUGCACAUAUACUCAUAUCAUGGUGGUGAUGACAUAAGGAACCACCUAGAGGUUUGUUGCUAAACAAGGAGAAAAAAAUUAAGCUUCUCUGUUCUGCUGACAAUUGCCACCUAAAUGUGAGUUCAACUUGAUUUUGACUCUAAGCUAAUGUCUGAUACAGCUCGAGGCUCAUGUUGGAAGUGUUAAUGAUCUUGCCUUUUCAUAUCCAAACGGACAAUUAUGUGUUGUGACCUGUGGAGAGGACAGGUUGAUCAAGGUAUAUUUUGAUUGUUUUCCUCAGCAUUACAUUGUUAUGUUGUUUGAUCCCUUUUAACCAAGCUAGUAGUUACAUAGGUAUGGGAUGCAGUGACUGGGGCUAAACAACAGACUUUUGAGGGUCACGAAGCACCUAUAUAUUCCAUUUGUCCAUACAACAGAGAAAAUAUUCAGGUACCUGGUUAUUUCAUGUACUAACAAGGACACGCUGCAAGCAUGGCCAAUCGACUGUAUGCUUGACCAUUCAAUGGACUUUCUUUGCUAAAACUUGGUUAGGUCAAAAAAUUUGUUUCAAUUUGUAUGAGAAGUGUGAAUAUGCAUUCUAAUGGACCUUGUUCAUUUCAAGGAUUUUGCAAGUCUUCCGACUUUUGACUUGUCUUGAUUAUAAUGUGCUUGUUACACAUGCUGACAUGGUCCAAAGAUUAAAUUGCAAAUUUGAUUAUUUCAGGCGAUGCUAUUGAGCAUGGACAACUGGGUAAAGGUUUUCGUAAUAAUGACUUCCUUCUUAAUAUAAGUUCAAAUGGAAAAUUGCUUUGCUUCCAUUAUUUGUUCUCCCUUAGUUUCUCCUCCAGUUUUGAUUGGUUAAAUUAAUAAUAGAUUGAUGUUUAUUGUGCCUGGGUGGAGCAGCAAUUGGCGAUGAUUGUGUACACUUUAUUAUGAGGAUAUUUUAUGAUAUCUAUUUGGGUUUUAGGUGGAUGUGCUCUUGGACAUGUUAUUGAAUUGAUCGUAGGAUUGUUUUAUUGUGUAGUUCAUCUUCUCAACAGCAACGGAUGGGAAAAUUAAGGCUUGGUUUUAUGACAACGUGGGCUCAAGAGUUGAUUGGGAUGCACCAGGUCACUCUUUUACCAAGAUGGCAUGCAGUGCUGAUGGAAUAAGGUUCAAACCACCAGCAUUGCAUUUCAAGCUUGAUUUUAUCCCGUGUCAUUCUUUCUGAUUGAAAUAACCUAUUUUAGCAAUUUUAUUUGGCUAUAGGUUGUUCUCAUGUGGAACCAAUAAAGAAGGAGAAGCAUACUUGUUUGAAUGGAAUGAAAGUGAAGGGGCUGUCAAGCGUACCUACCAUGGACUUGGAAAGAGAUCCGGUGGGUUUGUGCAGUUUGAUACCACCAAAAACAGAUUUCUGGCUGCUGGAGAUGAGUCCAUGGUCAAAUUUUGGGAUAUGGACAAUAACAAUAUUUUGACAAGUACUGAUGCUGACGGUGGAUUGCCGGUAAUUCAUUAUUGUUUAUUUAAUCUGACUGAAUUAGCUGAACCUUUCCAUUAAACUCGUUCUUUAAAUUUGCAGGCUUCACCUUGUAUUAGAUUUAACAAGGAAGGAGUUCUAUUAGCAGUCUCAACAAGUGACAAUAGCAUCAAAAUUUUAGCGAAUGCUGAUGGGAUUAAGUUGCUAAGGACAAUGGACAAUUGGCCUUUUGAUGCUUCUAGAAUCACUCUUGGACCUCUUAUGAAGGUAAGUUUUUUCAAGAGCACACUGACUUCAUAGAGAGGAGCUAGCUAAAUGUCUUCAAUUUUGUAUUGCCACCAACAAUUGUGAUAUUUAGUUCUGCGAUAUUUAGUUUUGGUAAUGCUACUGUUGGAGCAAACCCUGGUAAUAGAGGGGUUCAAGUGGUAGAAUUAAAAUGUUUGAUCCAAUUUCUAGAUGUGCAUUUGGUAGAGGAGUCUAGAAAAAUCCAAAAAAAAAAAAAAAUCUAGCAGGAUUAUCUAAAGUUUCGUGUAGAAAAAUCUGUAAAAAUUAUCUUUGUAGCAAGGCAGAUACUUGUCUAAAAAAUAUCUGACUCAAGCAAAGAUUUUUGCAUGUCUUAGCCGCUGAUGCAAGCCUAUAAAAAGGCUUAGGGUCGUCCAAAAGCGAACACUUUCGGGUCUCUAUUUUUUUAUUCUUAAAAACAGAUUUAAGAUGAAAAUUCGUUUAAUGAUAUAAUUUUAUUUUUAAUUUUCCGAACAAAUUUUCACUUAAUAAAUAGAUUUAGAAUAUAAAUUAUAUAUAUAUAUAUAUAUAUAUAUUUACAUUUCUAGAACAAAAACAAAAAUAAAAUCUUUUCUCUUUAUUUGCUCUCGCUACACACGACCGUCACCUGCUAACCACCUACCUCCCGUUGCUCUCCACAAAUUGAUAGUCGCCGCCUAUAAAUUAUCUUUGCUUGGUUUCUCAUUCAUGGAUUAAAAAAAAAAAAAUCUAUUUAUGAUUAGAAAUUAGUUACAGAAACAAAAUAGUCAUCGUUCGCGCCCAUAAUACACCAACUAAAAUAAACCUCUCUACCUUCGUUUGUAUGAUGCAUUGGAUAAUAAAAGCCUUCUUCUUUUUCUUUUUCUUUUUAAAUAUCCUUGUGCUCCUUGCUGCCACUUUCAGAAAUCCUUGUCCUCUUCUAUUACAUCAGCAGCAGCUGACUUGCGGAGCAUUUUUUUCCUCACAUCCAUCCAGUCAUAUUUUAACACAUCUCUGUGGAUUUUGAAUUAAAAAUAAAACUCCUUUGAUGAUCCACCGGCCAUUGACCUCGGACUAGCCGGCUGCCACCCUUGAACACCGCCGCUCCGUAGGCCGAGCUUCAAAUCUAGCUGAGUCGUCACCUCGGCGCCGCACCAGUCUAGUCCACCUUCACUUGCUUCAAGCUGAUCCAUGGCCGCCUCCGAAUCUGGUCGACCUCGACUCUACGCCAGAUAUCGUCUGCCUUAAAAACGGUUCGAGCUCGGCGACUCCUCCAUGACUGCCGAGAAGCCGCCGAGAUUUCGGUCACAACGUCGAGCUUGGCAGCCAUAGAAGGCCGCCACUCCAAAUGUAGAGGCUCAAUGGCAAUGGAGGCCGAGCGUCCAGAUCUGGCCGUGGCGAAGGUCGUGACAUGACCUCGAGCUGCAGCGAUAACCCCGUUAGAGGUCGCCUUAAGAGACGGCGUUAAAAGUUGCAGACGGCCAUGGACAGAGCAUGUAACAAGAAAGGAGACCGAAAAAAAAAAGAAAAGAAGCAAAGAAUGGUGGGGAACAAUAAGAAAAAGAAACAUCUUUUCCAACUUUUCAACAGCAUCACCGGGAUGAGCCAUGCCGACGACCAUGGACGGCCAGAUCUCGAGAGCCAACAGUGUCGCCGGCCAUGGCGGAGCAAGGUUCGUGAGUGACGCCGACGGCCAUGGACGGCCAAAUUUGGAGAGCCAGUGGCGUCACUCGUCUAGGUGACGCCGACGGCCAUGGUGGGCCAGAUCUGAAGAGUCAGCAGUGUCACCGACGCAUCAUCGGCCAUGCCAGCUUGUCCGAGGUCAGGUGGCUGGCUUUGGACGAACGAGGAAGAUGAAGCUAGAGGAAACAAUUCCACCACACAAAGAGACUCCACAUCAAUAUUUUUUAAUUUAAUUCAAGACACGUAAAUUUUUUUAAGUGGAUAUCAAGGAAAAAAUGCUCGCCCUAUCAGCUGAUGCGGCGCUUUGAAACCACCUAAUAUCUUCCCCUUUCCGCACACAUCUACACAAACUAGCAGCAAUGGUAGGGAUGGCAAGUGGUAUCAUUACUGCAUUAGGUCGUUAAAUUUUUUUAAGGAGCUUUAUUUGUUGCUUAUUUUAUUACUUAAAUAUGCGAUAAUUGCAUUUGUAUGUGCAUGUUUAUUGGACGUCUUUCAAUGACAUCCUCUCUUUUGAGCUCUACAGGACAGCGAGAGCAUGGCAGAUGAGAAGCCCAGAAUUGCCGAUGACUCGACAGACAAAUCACGAAAUUGGAAACUGACAGAAAUCAACGAACCAUCGCAAUGCCGGUCCAUAAGGCUGCCUGAUAACUCUACGGCUACGAGGGUACAAAUGACUGCCAAAAUAGGAUUUUCUUAUGUAGCAUUUCUUUUCCGCAUUUCAUGUUUGUACUAGAUAAGCACAAAUUUCAAUAGGGGUUGCAUUUAAUGCACUUGCUUUAUUAGUUAUAUUCACAUGUGGUCCAAUUAAUCAUCUCUUAAACCUCAGCACUUGGAGGACUCUGUCAUCUCUUCAUUUGGCCUUUUAUUGUUAAUUGAUUGUUUCAACUACACAAAUGGGAAAGGAUCAGAUCAACAUUAAUAAAUCUGUGAUUAUGGUGUGGCAAUUGUGCUUAAGUCAAGAUUUUACUUUUGUUUUGGUAACUGCUUCAACUAAGUUUUGAUGUCAUGUGCAUCAUAUGCUCUGUCCAUAUAUACAUACAUGUAUGAGUUAAAAGGUCAUUGAGUGUCUCUUUACAUGAAUUUCUGCAUAUAUCAUUCAGUGUGCAGUUCUUUGGCCUCUUUAUUUAUUUAUUUUAUUUUUGCAUUUUUUUUUAACUUUGGGUAUGACAUUAUACUGUCACCACUGAAACUGAUAAAACGAAGCAGGUCUCGAGAUUAAUCUAUACAAACUCAGGUGGUGCUAUUCUGGCAUUAUCAUCUAAUGCUGUACACAAGCUCUGGAAAUGGGUAAUAAGUGGUUGGAACUCAACAGCCAGGGUAAGGAGUCUUUUUUUUUUCCCUUUGAAAGUGGCAGGUUGUUUUAUUGUUUAGCGCAUUAUUGACUACAUUGAUUCUUCUUUUCGAAGGCCACAACUAGGGUAGUACCACAGUUAUGGCAACCUCCUAGUAGGAAUUUGAUGACCAAUGACACGAGAGGUAUAAAUCCUGAAGAUACAGUUUCGUGCUUUGCACUGUCAAAGAAUGAUGAUUAUCUAUUUUCAGCAUCAGGGGGGGACAUCUCUUUGUUCAAUCUGAUGACUUUUAAGGUGAAUAUUUGGAGCACUAUCCACAAGGCACGAGAUGAUGAACUACUCCUUUGUGCUGGAUAUGCAUUAGCUAUUUCCUUUUCACAUUUUUGUGGGUCCUAAUAGUAACUGAUUCUAUUAUGUACAAAAGUACUGAUCUCUAUAGUUAGGAGGUCCAUGAAAGCAACUGCUCCGACUUUCAUGUGGAUUAUUGGUUCAGAAGUGCAGCAUAUGUCCUUUUUUACUUGCCGAGUGAGACAAGGGCUUUACUCUAUCUUCAAUGGAAUCUUUUUGCUCUCACUAAUUAAAGAAAAAAGACGAGCUUUUUUCAUCCAUCCAAAGAUCUAAUGAUCGAACUUGCUAUCUCCCUUUCUUGGGAAGGGGAGAUGCCAUUGAGACAAGUGCCUCUUGGCACAUAUGUCCCACUGUUACUUAUAAAAUUACUCAAUACUCUUACCUGCUGAUAUCCAGGUGAUGACAACGAUUAUGCCCCCACCAACAAACAGUGACAUUAUUGCAAUAGGAAUGGACGAUUCCUCUAUUCAAAUUUACAGUGGUCAAGUAGAUGAGGUGAGACCUGAUUUCAUCAUCAUUGAAAGUUAACCUUAUUAGUAUUUGCAACAGAGUUAUGGAUAUUGACCGUUUCACUUUCUCAGGUCAAGAAAAAACUAAAAGGACAUCGGAGAAUAAUCAAUGGCUUUUCCUUCCCAACUUCCUUAACUGUUCUCGUGUCUUCUGGCACCGACUCUCAGGUUUCGGACUACUACUUUUUUACUAGCUAAGUGAGAAAAGGGCUUUUCUCUAUCUCCAAUGGAAUCAUUUUGCUUGUAAUGAUAAAAUUAAAGAAAGCACGAGCUUUUCUCAUCCAUCCAGAGAUCUGAUGGUUGAACUUGCUCUCUCUCUCCCUUUCCAAAGAAGGGAGAUGCCAUUGAGGCAAGUGCCUCUUGGCACAUAGGUCCCAUUGUUACUUAUAAAGUUGUUAAUACAAUGCUGCCUGCCGAUAUCCAGACAAUCACAACACUUGGGCCUCCACCCGCAGCAACAUUUAUGGCGUUCCAUCCUCAAGAUAAUAACAUCAUUGCAAUAGGAAUGGAGGACUCCUCUAUUCAAAUCUACAAUGUGGUAUUUGAUGAGGUGAGACCUGUUUUCAUUGUUGUUGAAAGUUACCUUGUUAUCUGCAAGAAAGUUAUGGAUAUUGACUGUUUCACUUUCUCAGCUCAUGGCAACACUAAGAGGGCAUCAGAAAAGAAUUACGAGCCUUGCCUUCUCUAAUGUCUUGAAUGUUCUCACGUCUUCUGGUGCUGACUCUCUGGUACCACACUACUAUUGCAUCUUACUUUCCAAGUAAACAUGCCUAAGUUUUAGGUGGAGAGCAAUGUAGUUUAUAGUGCCCCCGGAAAAGGGUUGAUGUUCACUCUCUGGAUUUAUUGAUGCUUAUGUCCUCAGCAUAGGUCAUGAAAUGAAGGCAUCCUUUACUGGCAGAAUAAAUCCUUCCAAAAAACUUCAUCUUUUGUGUUGACAAAUUAAUCCCUCCCAUUAAGUACGAAAAAAGAAGUUAUGAUGAUGUCCUGUUGUUGCUUACAACAGACCAUCGAUGUGAUUCUGAUAUGAAAACACAAUGGACAAUUUUAUUCAUUCAUUUCUGCAUCAAUGCCAAUAUCCCUUUUGAUGAUUGACUAUUAUCACUGCAGUUGUGUGUUUGGAGCACUGAUGGAUGGGAGAAGCAGGCUAGUAAGUUUCUGCAGAUGCCAAAUGGACGAGGAGUGGCUCCUUUUGCUGAUACUCGUGUUCAAUUUCACCUGGAUCAAGUACAUUUGCUGGUGGUUCAUCAAACACAGAUCGCCACAUGUGAAGUUCCUAAACUAGAACUCCUCAAGCAGGUAUUGAAGAUUUUUUUUUGUUGUGCACGAACCAAUCUGUCAUCUCAUCAUGAUUGCAUAAAAAUUAGAGAAUCGUUAGGUAGUAUGAGUUGCUUUGUGCCGAAUGUACUUUUUUUUUAUUUGUUGCUCAUCUCAACUAGUGGGAUACUCGAGAAGCUAGCGCUCCAAUUACAGAUGCUACAUAUUCAUGCAAUGGUGAAUCAAUAUACGUGAGCUUUGAAGAUGGAAGCAUCGGUGUUUUUACUGCUUCUACACUCAGAUUGAGAUGUCGUAUAAAUCCUGCCACUUAUAUCCCUCCAAACCCCAGGUAAGUUGGUUAUUUGCAACUCAGUUAACCUCAUUCCUUUAUGAAAUUGGCAAGUCUCAUUCGCAAAGUUUCAAUAGUCUCGCAAGUAAUUCAUUCCUCAUAAUGCAUUUGGCAGCUUUAGAGUCUACCCACUAGUCAUUGCAGCACAUCCAUCUGAACCUAACCAGUUUGCACUAGGGCUUACUGACGGUAGCGUCUAUGUACUUGAGCCAUUGGAAUAUGAAGGAGAGUGGGGUACUUUUGGGCCUAGCACGACCUUUGGUGCAACCGGUUCAGAUCAACACCAAAGGUAAUACAGGCCAUGUCUCUCCCUGUGAAACUUUUGAGCAUUAAAAUGCUGAGCCGGCUUUCCUCCACCGCACUUGAUUCAAGUUUUGAGGGAGAUGCUGCAGAGGGUAGAUUAUACAGCCUCAGGGUACUUCUACGGGACAUGGUUCAAUACAAUGUCCUAAUCGACUUCUGCUCAAGUCUUGUGGUGAUAAUUUGUUUUGUUGUAUUCAUAUAGGCUGAAUGAAAGUGGAAAAAGAAAAACAUAAGAUUAGAGUGUUGCUUUGAAGGUGUUAUAUAUUCAAAGUAGAGGUAGAGAGCAUACCUCAUUUUCUACGCAAUCAGUAAGGAUUUGAUUAUACUAGUUAACCAAUUAAUACAAUUUCGAUAUCUAAACUUAAUUAAUUUGUUAACUAAGUGUCCACAUAGUUUUUGACUAUUUAAUUAACUUGUGCCAUUAAAUAAUGUCCAUGCAUGAGUACACGAUCAAUGAAAAGUAAACAAUCACAAUCACUAGAUAGAAGUAAAGUAUAAGAAAGUAGAUCCAUUGGAGUGUCAACCGUAGAAUACACAUGGCUUUGUAUUAAGCCUCGGGCAACAACCCACGCUAAAUUCAACUUGUGUCCGAUUCAUUUUCUCAUAAACUACUCUACCUAAAUCUAACUAAAUUAAAGUUCUUAUUAAAAUCCCCUUCAACCUAUAUGUAUACUAACUAAAAGAAACUAAGCUAAAUCUAGCAUUAAACCUUAACGACCUAAUCAAGGUCUCUGUUUCUAACCAUUUUCCAAUUUUUCAUUUUUUCGAUUUUUUUUUAAUAAAACUUAAUUCUUAUCAUUUUCUGAAAAUAGGGACUCGAGCCGGGUCAGGAUAUUCGGCCCCCUCCAAUUCUAAUUCUACUGAGCCCAACCCAUUGCCAUGAUAACUGCUCCAGCCCAUCUUUUCUUCUAACUUCAGCAAGUGCAUCUUUAAGCCCGAUUUCUAUUAUAGAUAGAUUAAAGCCCACUCUAACCCCAUAUUAUUAUUAUUUUUAAAUCAACUUUCCUCUUUUCUUACAUCUAUAUAACAAGAAUACAAGAAAAAUUUAUGUUAUAACAACGAAUUUUAGUAAGAAUUGAAUCUGAAUGUUAAUGGACUUAGUUGUAACAAGCAAUGUAUGCUACAAUUUCUUCAAAUUGACCUAGAUCAGGAAUUAUUUCACUAAUGUAUCUUAGAGACAUUUCAUGAAAUAGUCUACGUGCACCAAAGGAAUUGAAUCUGGUCAUAAAUCGAAGUUUUGUUUUCAUCUUAAAUAAAUGCCAGAACCACGAAGCCAUUACAAAUCAUCAAAUUAUAGCCUAGAUCAUCGGUGAUUUUCACACGAGUAACCUGAACGUGGUCCAGUCAUGCAUCUUUCCAAAACUGGGCAGGAAAGAGGGGAAAGAAAUCCAGGAGUUCUCGGUUGAGAACUAAGGACUAAUGAACAAACUACGGGCUAGACAUGGUCUGGCUUCUGGGCAUUUAUGCGUCCGACUAAUACAAGUUGGGCUUAAUAGAGGUGGAUGGGCCAUGGCCCAUGGGCUUGGCUUAGACGAAUUGGAUCGAGCCCAUCGCAUGAAUGAUAUCCUUUCCAAUUAGUUGAUGAAUUGAAUAAGUCCCUUCAGUCAUUAUUUUUUGCAUUCUUCAUUUCGGUUUUAUUUAUUCAUAUCUUAACCGCCUAGAUUGCCGAUUUUCCUUAAAUUGUUGAUUAAAAAUCAAGUAUCCACAGCAGGUCCAAAACCUCAAAAUUGGCUGAAGCAAUUUCCUAAAAGUUGUUGUAAUCUUGAAGGUGCUACAAUUGAGAAAUGUUGACAAACCCUCUACAAAAGCUGCAAUGCCCAUUCUUCUUAGUCCAAGUAACUCCUAACAUUAAUUAUUUAUACUCUUUUCAAAAUAAUUCAUAUAUUUUUAGAGAGUCUUAAUAUGAAUGAGUUAUUUAGCAAUUUCUAUAAGAGUAGAAUUGUUAAUUCAAAACAUUCAAGCAAAGAAUUAUAAAAGGAGAUUGCCAAUAGCAUUGGGAGGCAAUUUGGUAAAAGAAGCAUUUAUAAGAGUUAUAACAAGUCGGAAUUCAACAAAAUGUCAAUCGAAGUGCUUAAUCAUGAAAAAGAAGAAGCAAUACCAAUAUCAAAAACCAAAGAGCUGUUAGCAGAAUCAAAAUUUCCUUUUCAUCUCCUGUUGGUGUAUAAACUUGUUAUUUAGUUCCGAAAAGAAUUAAAUAUAAAUGUAUGUAUAUUUUGUCACAUAGUUUAAGUAUUACUUUCAAGAAUGCUUUGAUUUGAUAGGUGGAACCAUAACAACUAAACUGGGAAAGGUCUUUCUUUAAUUUUCAUCGUUUGGCCGUGUGAUAUUUACAAUGUUAAUAAGUUCCUGAUAUUGAGAAGUGCUGUUGACAGUAGUUUUCCCUCAUCCUUACAAUGAAUGUCGAUACAGUGAAUAAUUAACCACAUUCAAGCCAUUCUCGUCUACUUGUCAAGCAUCUGCAAACAAAGUGAAACCUGCUUAUUUCCGUCUUCGACUGGGCUUCUUACUCUUUCUGGCUGAGGUUGACUGCUCCAAAGGCACUGGUAAUAGGGUUCCUCCCUUGACGCCAUCUUCAUCAUUCAUCUUAUCGAGAGUUUUCUGGGCUCCGAUAUACACCUUAAGGUCUCUAAUCUGUGAAGGAUGACAAGGGACAUACUACUGUCAACCCACUAUGCACGUGCAGAGUUUUCACUCUAUCAUAUCAAAACCCUACAAAUUAUUACCAUUUUAAGGCUAAAAGAAUAUACCUGUUCUUCUAAGUCAAGUAUUUGUUCAUCCUUCGACUUCAGUGACAGAGUUUUCCUGCAGAUGCACAGAAGCUUAUGUGUCCUUCAUUCAUGUCAAAUUAGAAGGGAAGAAUAAAUUCCCGACAGCUUUAACUGACUGGACUCAUCUACUGAAAAAGUUUCCGUACAAUCGAUAAUAAUGCUUAUUGAGGAAACUAGCCCACAUAACUUCAAUGAGGAUGGACAAGACCAGUAUACUUCAUAAGGCUGUAUGAAUCUCUCUACAAAGAAAAUGUUGUAGGCAUAUUACGGCACUUAAAAAGCAUCUACACCUACAUUGCUUGACAUGCGAAGCUCAAAUAAGCUUUAAGCCUGCCCAGUGUAUCUUCUUUUCCUUUUAUUUCUAUUUUGUGGAAGUUGGAAAUGUCAACAUAAUGCAGUAUAACAACCAUUUGAAUUUCAAUUGGAAUUAGUAAAAUUUCAAUGUUGAACUGUAUCAAUUAAAAUUUGAGUCCCGAACCAUCACAGAAUAAUGUUCAAAUUUCUUUAGUGUGUGAAAAUGUACUUUGAAAUUGAACCACCACCAUGAAGAUUUUAACAUUGAUUUCUGUCAAUAAAGUUCAACCUCUAAAGCAGUAGCGCUAGAACUUCAGAGGAAAACAAAAUUAGAGAUGGAGCAUACAUAAACAAAGGAACAAAAUUAUGGAGAGCACUGACUAAUGGAACUUUCUCCAUACGUGGUGCAUACUCUCCUUUCCCCUUUUCCCCUUUUUUGUCUCUUUCUCUUAUUAGAGUUUGUUCGAUCUCGCCACUUUUUUAGAAGAACUUCAAUAAAAAAUACCAAAAGCUACUUCAUCUUCUAGCCACAUCCUCCAAUUAAUGAUUAACUUAAAACUUAAUUAUCCUUCCCAAGUAUGGUGAAAGGAAAAUAUAUUAACUAUUUGAUAAAUUCUUACUCAGCAUAAAAUGACUUUUGUUCUUUUGCCAUUAAUUAUGUGUUACAAGUCACUUAUAGUCACUAUCACAUAGUUGAAUUAAAAGCUGUAUUUCCUCUUCCUUCUUCCAACUUUCACCUUUUUUACCUCACCUCUAAAAGUCCAUUCAAUGCGAACACUUCCUCUUAAUGAUACCAUUCUCACUUUUUUCUCAUCUUGUUGAAUGUCCGUUUCCACUUUCUCUCUCAUGACCAACCUCCCUUACAUGAACCAUGACUACAAUGCUGUUUCAUUUUACUAAUUAGGUUUUAUGAGACUAUGGAUGCUAUGGGAUUAUUUAUCUAGAGAAAUCAGCAAGGAAAAAUACCUCUCUUCAAUUUCCUUAACCUUUCUCCGCAUCAUAUCUUGGUUCUUGAUGAGAGUUUGAUUAAGCUGCAACCACAAGAAGCGACAUCUGUUACUGUUAUGUCCAAGAUUGUAAUAUUUAAAAUGAGGCAUGUGAAAAAUGAGCAAAACAACAAUCAGCCAUGGCUUCAGGUAGCCCUCCUCUCAAGCUUUAAACAUCCAAAAUCGCACAAGGCAAAACAGAGAAGACUAAACCCUUACCUCUGNNNNNNNNNNNNNNNNNNNNNNNNNNNNNNNNNNNNNNNNNNNNNNNNNNNNNNNNNNNNNNNNNNNNNNNNNNNNNNNNNNNNNNNNNNNNNNNNNNNNNNNNNNNNNNNNNNNNNNNNNNNNNNNNNNNNNNNNNNNNNNNNNNNNNNNNNNNNNNNNNNNNNNNNNNNNNNNNNNNNNNNNNNNNNNNNNNNNNNNUCUUUAAAGUCAGUCUAAGGAUGAUGGCCAUCUAUGUAACAAAAAAUGACAAACAUGGGUUAGAAAUGAAACACUAUCACCAACUGUAGCAUGGGCAGUUGAUAUAAAAACUAAUGGCUUUUGUAAUUCUACUUCGGAUACAGUAACAAGUUUUCAAUUCUGAUACUGUUCCUCCUAAGGCUCUCCAUCACAACAAGUCAAUAAAAAAAGAGUCCUGGAACCUUAGGGAAACUCAAUUCAUUUUCUUCUACAGAUAUAUUAAUGAGAAAAAAGAAAAGAAAAGAAGAAUAGUAGAAGUUUUGCAAUUCUCUGAAGCUGAUGCAAGCCCACUAAUUCUUUUAUACUUCCUAUAUAAGCUCAUCAGACACAUGCAGUAUGCAAAUUGACAGGUAUAAAAUGUUGUAUACCAUAUAAAAGCAAAUGAAGCUGAGAUUAUACAACACGAGCAUAAUUACUUUCCUUCUCUUCACAACAAUUCUGACAAUCCCAUAAAGUUCCAAGAGUUAAAUGAAUUCACUUAAAAAAAAACAAAAAAGAAAAACAAAAUGGAGAAACAUUUUUUAAUCUGAAAUAACUAAACAAAUGAUCUAUUAUGGUUUUCUCCUAAAAUGUGUACUUAAAAACCAUUACCUAAAGCAAAAACAUAAUUGAGGGAAGCCUUCACAAGUAAUGCUUAUAACCAUGGCUGAUCAGUCAAAAAAAUAAAAUGUAAAAGACUAUGUUAAGCAGGGAGAAUUGAAAUGGUCUACGUAUAUGCAUGCUUACUUUUCUUUGCGCUUCCAGCUGAGUUGAAGCUAGAUGAAUAUAGUCGGCGUGAAUCUACAAAAAAGUAAAGCUACAGUGUCAGAGUAAACAGAGAAAAUCUGAUAGUUACAAUGGAGGUAAUAUACAUUUUGCAGGCCCAAUAAUGAACAUGUGACAUUUGGCCAACAAAAUGAAUAUGUGAAGCACAAAACCAGAAACAGAAUCUUUCAUUAUCAUCUGUCAGUGCCUAUAACAGUAAAAGCAUCAUGCACUCAAAACUUCAAACAUCUCACUUAACUGAGUCCAAACUCCAAAUCUUUGCAGGGAAAAGAGAACCAGAAAACAAAGAUACUCACAGCACACAAAUAAGAGGACACAUGAACUUACUGCUUCAAUUUUGCUGCUGAAGAGCGCCCCACUAAUUUCAGAAUCCUCGCUACAGCCACAGCUACCACAAUCUCCUUCAAGUGAUUCACAGUAUGAAUUCAUCUCCAAAAGCUUGCCGUCAGCUUUUGAUUGAUUAAGCCGGUGAACGUAAGUGUCCCCAACAUAAUCCCAAAUUUGCUGUGUUCUUAAAUCUAGAGAAUAGCAAUGUUGCGUAUUUUUCCAAUGGCUGAUUGCGUGCUUAUCUUUGUAUCUACAAAGCCAGAAAAGAAAAGCUAUAAUGAAGACAGCCUAUCCAAUCACUAAACAUAUAGAGUGAGCGAAAAUUCCAGCACAUCAUGACUGGAUCUAUCACCUUCCACAUCCAACAAAACCACAUAUCAGACAAACCCAAAGAUUUUCCAUUGUUCCACAAAUAAAGCAGGAUGGCACCUCAUCUUGCUGUUGGCAUAGUCGGCAAACCUGAUAAAGGACAGAAACAGAUCUUCUUCACAAUCAGUUAACAGAGGGGCAUCCCUGAUGAUGUUGCAAAAUGAAACUACAUUUCCGAUAAAGGUAAUUUCUUGCAAUCAAAACAAGAUAUAUGCCCUAAUUGACAUCUUUAGCAAUGUAAUUGGACCUUGCAAUAAAAUCAAAGUAAGACCCUUGGGACAUCACCAGCAUGGGGGAACAUCAUGUUGACUUAUUUUAACCAUAAAGAUUGACGAAUCAAGCAAAAGUCGGUAUGCACAUGUCCAUUGAUAUAUCUCCUAUAUGGCACUUUUUCACCUUUUGAUAUUACAUGAGUUCAAAGGUACUUUUUUGCUACAAAUUCACAUGGACAGAGCAUACUAGAACAUCACUUGAAAUGUAAAAUAUGACAAUGUAACAUCUUAGUUUCAAGACAGGAUAUGUUUGAGGUCAAAGAUCAGAAUUUUGACAUCAGUAUGAUCACCCUGUACUUGUGAGUACACACAUAACUUAUUGUGUAUGCUUGGCCACUGCUAUUACUUCUGUCACUCUUUGACUCACAAGAAAUUUGAUACAGGAGUGACAGACCAUCAGAUCAAAUACACGUGAUGAGACAUUGAAAAGAUUCUUGUGUCAGAAUAUGAUAAUCAACAAAAAAUAACUCCAAGAAGCCACAGCAUUCACCUAUUCCAAAUCUCCAAAUAAAUGUCAUGAUAAUUUAAAAGAAAUCCUGAACUUAGGAAGCACAAUAAAGUAAAGGAAAAUUCUACUGUUCAUUCAUAUACUCUUCAUGCUAUUUCUAAUGAUGUCUCCAUACUUUUAAUUUGCCUAAUCAAGUCCUUCUAUUUUAACAAACUUUCCAAUCAAGUCUUUCCGACACUAAAUAUGACCAAAUUUAACUGAAGUGGCUGUUCGACGAUGACGACAUAUGAUGCCGAUAAAAUAUGCAGAUGCCCACAUGGACAUGUCUGGAAAAAUUUAGCCAAUGUAGACGACCUCAAAGUGCAACAUGGAUAAAACAAUGGACAUCCACGUCCCACAACAGAGACAUCUGAUGGUCACACCAGCUGAAUUUGGCCUGAUUUGGUUUGAUUAGAAAAUUUGUAAAAGUAGAAAGACUUUAUUUAACAAAUUAAAAGUACAAGGGACUUGAUUAGAAAAAACGUGAAAGUUCAGGAUAAAAACAAUACUGCCGCAAUUGCUAUAGCUAAUAUUAAUUAUCAAAAAGCAACAACUAAUCCACAGUCAGCAGAUCAACAGAAAGAUAGUGGCAGUAGCUGCGAAAUUACAGUCUAAAUUCAUCUAAUCUGUAUCAGCAGAAGAAUGCCUAACCUGACAAGACUAGUAAGUCCAUUUUGUACCACACGAGCAAUGAAAGGAAUGGUCACAAUUUGUACUCAAAAUUCCGCUGGUAUCUGGGUCCAAUCUCUCUGACAUUAGAAAAAAAAAAAGAAUUAGCAACUGUGAACAACUUUCUAGAAAUUCAUCUCACUGCAAGGGAAAUAUAAUCAGCAAGGGGGCACUAGCAUGGCUUACCACCCACAAACUGGACAAGAGGAUAGCUCUGUAAAGCCCGACGGGGGCGUGCUAGCUACAUCAGCUGAUUCCGUAUAGUCCACUUCGUGCAGAAAUAGAAUAUGGCAUACCUCAGCCUGAAUGUCCAGAAGACGAGUAUUAAAAGUGAAACAGAAAUUGACUAUGACAGGUGCAAAAAUUGCAAAUACCUCAGCAGGCGAGAAAUUCUUGCCAUUGAAGGUGCAAUAGAAACCAUCAGCAGCCUUUUGAUCGGUAAGCUCGAUCAGCACACUGUACCUAUCUUCCAUCCCAUCAUUCCUACAUCAAACGCACAAUUCGCAAUACAACGAUCACUAAAACCAUUAAAAAGCAUUUAAAAAAGAACCCAGAUCGGAAAACCCAGUUCCACCGUCGGAAUGCUUCCAAAAAAUUGAACUUUCAUCAUCGGACACCCCCUAAGGCAUGAUCAUGAGCAAAUUUUUGAGUUUCGAGUCCAUCUUUUAGAUUUUUCGUCAGCGAAUUCUAAUUCCUCGAAGUCUCUCUUUCGCUUGCCCAAUUCAUCUCACCAACUGAAAAAACCGGUCCGAAGUCCCGAAGAAGAGGAGGGCAGAAAACAGAAAUGAUCGAAGCAUUACCUGAUGAACGGGAGCUCGGAGAAGUCGUCGAUCCGGGGGCCGCAGAACCGGAUGAAGUCGUCGGGGGAGAAGUAAUUGGGGACGGCGACGACGAAGAGGGUGGUGGAGCGGGCGCCGGGGCUCGAGAGGGGCGCGCGCAACAGCGUCCGGAACAGGUGCACCAUGCCCCUCCGCUCGGUGAACCUGGGAUCCCCGGCGGCGGCGGCGGCGGCAGCGGCGAGGAGGAGGAGAAGCCGCCGUAGUCGGUGGCGAGGGGGUGGUCGGUGUCCACCGAGUGGCGCCCGGAAGAAGAACAUUUUUAUUCAUUUCGGGUGUUCGAAAUAUUAAAAUAAAAUAAAAACUAAAUUUGAAAUUGAUAAUACGUAAAUUGUCAUCCGAUUUCAUUGAUAUCAAAUUACUUUUUGAUUGAGCAAGUCGAGAAUCAUGUGAAUUAUGGUAAGAAGUAUGUUAUGUGAUUGCUUAUGAACCACAUAAUUUUGUAAUCAUCUCAUUCUCAUUUAUUAUUAAAAUGAUCAUGCAUCCGGAUUAAUAUUUGUAAUGAAUUUUAUAAACAUUGAAAAAGUAAAAAAUGAAAAAGGCCUAAAUUGGCCUAGUCGUGUAUUCUAUUUCUUUUGCUUCAUCUGACAAACAAAACAUGACUAAACAAGCUAGAUUACUCCUAGAUAUUCUAAAAUUGAAAUGCAAGAGCAGCCGAGUGUCUAUUCGACAUAAAAAUUGCUAUUAUAGGUUAUUAUUAUGCAAAACUAGUUUGGACCAACAUCAGGACUAAUGUAUUGCUCAAGUUCACUCAUAAAAUGAAUCAUAUAUAGAAAUGUUGGGACACGGCUCAGGUGAAGGUCGGGCAAGCUAGGAUUUUUUACUGUAAGGAUAUAUUAUAGUCCCGGGGUCAUGUCUCUCAUUGUGAUGUUGCAGAGGGUAGAUUUUAUAGUCGCGGGGUCUUUCUCCUGACAUACUUUAGCACGAUUUGUCUUAAAGUGGUACAAUUAACAUCCUCAUCGACUUGUAGAUUUUAUAGCCUCGGGGUCUUCCUCUGGACAUAGUUUGGCACAGUCUGUUUUAAGUGGUACAAUUAGCAUCCUAAUCGACUUCUGCUCAAGUCUAGUGGUGAUAAUUUGUUUUAUUAUAUUCAUUUAGGCCGACUGAGAGUGAAAAAGAAGACUAACCAAAAAAAAAAAGUGAAAAGGAAGAACAUGAAUUGGAUACAGAUUUAUCUGAUUUUAGUUAGCAAGCUAAAGGAUCAUAGGAACAGGGUUUAGUUUUCGCAGGUGGCUUCUUCUCUUGUUCCUUUUGCGUCGUGCUGAAAGUACUUUUCUUAUGUAUUUUAUUUAUUCUUUUUAAUUUGCUGAAGUAGCAUUUGUAAGCACUUAGCAGGUUCUCUUUUCUUAUUCUUUCGCCACCAAAAAACAAAAUCAUCUUCUUCCUCUGUUCCUAUUAUGAACGUGAUUUGAGUGCAACAGCACUCAGACCUUGGAUGAAUGUAAAUACUUCGCCAUGGUCUAUCUCGACAUUUUGCUUACUGGACCGCAAUCUUUGGGAAUCAAGUUCCAUCUUUUUGAGGAUGAUAAUCUUUAACUGCAGUCGGUUAAACACUGUAUCCUUGGGGACACAAGUCGGUUAUUUCUCCGGCUUUUACAGUUAACAGAGUUGAUUUUUUCAUUUGCAAAUGGACACAGAGCAGGUAGGAGCAUGACGACGAGCCUCUUUUGAUCUCAUCUAUAUUCCUAUCACCCUUCCCUUACUACGCUAACACCCACCAAAGACUACUUUCUCUCAGCACAUGAGCCUCUAUUGUCAUCGCAAAGUGCUUGCACUUCAAACAAAUGCAGAAGUAAGAUGUGCAAUCUAAGAGUGUCUGAUUUGAUUCGCAUACAGCAGGUUCAACCCUCGGCAAGUUUGGAUGUUGCAUCUUAAAAGGCACAUUCUUCUAAACGGCUGAAUUUGCAGAAUCAAUAGCAAAGUGAACCUAGUGGGCACGUUUUCUCCAGACAUUUCCACAAAAUUUGGAAUUUGUUCCCCUUACAAAUAGGAACGAUACUGGGUUUUCCUCUUUACCAAAAAAAAAGAAAAAAAACGAUACUGGGUUUUCCCCCUUAUGAGAAGAUGUUCUUGACCUGGGAGUUUGGAAGGGAGUAAGUGCCACUUAAAAGCUGUUGUAGUUUUGGAGAUGGUAUCAAACGACCUCUCAAAAAAGUAAUCUCUGUACGCCAAACAUUAAUUAUUUUGUCCUUUUACAAAAUCAUUCAUAUAUUUUUAGACAGUCGUUGAAUAAGUUGGGAGGCAAGUUGGCAGAGCGAGCUUUUUUGUGAGGUGUAAUAAGUCAGAGUUUGACAUUAUAUGGAUCAAAGUCUUUAAUCACGAAUAAAGAAAUGGCAAUACCACAAUCACAAAACUGAGGGCAGUUGGUAUAAUGGAAAUUUCAUUUAAAACUACUGUUGGUAUAUAAACUUUUUUUUUUUGGUUCCAAAGACAAAAAUUAUAAAUAUAUUACCAUAGUAGAACAACAUAUAGAAAAACUGAAGUUGAGAGCUAGACUUUUUAAAUUUUGGGGAAAAAAAGUUUCUACAAUAAGUUUUUAGGUACUACUUUCAAGAAUGCUUUGAUUUGAUUUGCGGAACUGUAACAAUUAAACUGAGAAUGGUCUUUCUUUAAUUUUCAGCGUCUGGCCGAGUAUAUGCAUUUACAAUGUCAAUAAGUGCCGGACACCGAAACUCAAUUGAAGAGGAGGACUGGGGAAAGUCAAGGAGUUGCACCAUCCACAACCCCUCCAAGUAUAGAGGUUCUGCAGAACGCUGGGCAGUGAAAUACCACCCUCGGGCCCCCCUUGCGUCCGCAGAUGCUGCUAACAGUACUUUUCCUUCCUACUUACGACGAAUGUCAAUAAAAUGAAAAAACAAUUAACUACAUUCAUGCCAUUCUUGUUUACUUAUCAAGCAUAUGCACACGAAGUGACACCUGCUUAUUUCCGUCUUCGGCUGGGCUUCGUGCUCUUUCUGGUUGGAAAUGAUUACUCCAAACGCACGGGUAAUAGGGUCCUCCUUUGACGCCAUCUUUAUCAGUCAUCUUACUGAAUGUUUUCUGGUAUCCAAUAAACACCUUAAAUUCUUUGAUCCGUUAAAGAUGACAAGGAACAUAUUGCUGUCAACACACGUUACAUACACAUUGCGGUUGCAAUAUUAUGAAAACCAUAUGAAGGAAUAAAGUUUUGAGGUUCAGAAAAUGUACCUAUUAAUCCACAUUCAUUAUCUUUUCAUUCUUCGACUUUAAUGACAGAAUUAUCCUGCACGUGCGAAGAAACCGUAUGUGUGCUUCAUUCAUGUCAAAUCAGAUGGGAGGACUAAGUUCUCCAGACAGCUUUAAAUUGACUAAACUCGUCUAGAAGUUGCAUCAUGUACAAUCGAUAACUAUGCUUAUCUAGGAAGAUUAGCCCACAUAACUCGAAUGAAGAUGAACAAGAUGAGUAUACUUUAAAAUGCUACAUAAUUAUUCUCUAUGUUGUAUGCAUAUUUUUUUUUUGGUCAGUCAUGUUGUAUGCAUAUUAAGGAACUCAAAAGGCUUCUAAACCCACAUUGCUCAAUCUAUGAAGCUCGAAUAAGGGUUAUGUCGACCAAGAGCAUAUUCUUUUCCUUUUAUUUUCUAUGUUCUCGAAGUUGGAAAUUUCAACACUACGCAUCAUGAACAACCAAUGAAUUGUUAUUGGAAUUAGUAAAUUUUUAAUGUUGCAAUUAAAUUUUAGUCCCAAACCAUCACAGAAUUAUUUGCAAAUUUUUCUAGUGUGCAAAAUUGUACUUUGAACUCGAACAAUGACCGUGGAGUUUUAAACAUUAACUUUAUGCCGAUAAAGUUAAACCUCUAAGGCAAUAGCACUAAAACAUCAAAAGGGAAACAAAAUCACAGAUGAAACAUACAUUAACAAAGGAACCAAAUAAGAGAGAGGUCGUCCCGUCUCGCCACUUCUUUGAAACUUCUUCAAAAAAAUUCCCAAUAACUACCUACUUCAUCUUCUUGCCACGUCCUCUAACCAAUAUUAACUCAAACUUGGUCAUUUCCCUCCAAAGUAUGGUGAAAAGAAGGCAUAUUAUCUAUUCGAUAAAUUCUCACACGACAUAAAAUGACUUAAGCAGGCAUAUUAUCUAUUCGAUAAAUUCUCACAUGACAUAAAAUGACCUUUCCUUGUGCCUUUAAUGAUGUGUCAUAAGUCAUUUAUAAUCACAAUUCAGAUAUUUGCAUUGGGUGUUGUAGUUUCUCUAUCCUCUUCCAACUACUUUCACCCUUUUUACCUCAAUUUGUGACACCAUCUAAAGGUUUAAACUAUGUGAACUCUUCCUCUUCACAUUACCAUCCUUACUUCUUUUUUUUAUCUUCUCAAAUGUUAUUCCGACCUUCCCUCUCAUGACCGACCGACCUAACUUAAAUGAAUUAUGACCGGCAUUGACUUGGGCCGUUAGGUCCAGCAUGAUAGAACUCAGGCGGGCCGACCCUAACCCGAAUCUCUCUUCAACUGAAAUUCACAUGCCACAUGGCACGCUUCCAUUAGUUAAAAUCCUCGCUGUCUACAAUAGAACAUAUGACGCCCAAUGGUCUAGUCAAUUUUCGUGAUAACUGUGUGGGGAGCACAAAACUCUAGUUUAAAAAAAAAAAAAACAAAACAAAACAAAGCUAUUCUACCACCUCCUAAUCAUUACAUGUUCCCGUCUGCUCAAAAAAAAAAAAAAAAAAAAUCAUUACAUGUUCCCACUCCUUCGCUGGUCGCGCCGUCGACCAUCAAUCUCAGGAGGAUCACGUUUGUUCAUUUCAUCGAGAGCACCAUUCCAGAACUAUUUUAAAUUAAAAAAAAAAUGGAGCAAGGAAAAUUCAUCUCGAAAAGGCGAUUCCGUUCGAUUCAGUUGGCGAUUUCAAGCGUUCUGAAUUGAUACCAGUGGCGGUCGCCCGCGUCAACAGCCUCUUCAAUGCCGCGACUCAUCUCCUUCGUUUCCCUUCCGCGGCCGAGAGCUUCGAAAUGUUGUCGUUCCGCUCGAAGCUUCUCCACCUGUUCAGGUUUCGAUCAUCGACACGUUCUAUAGCUUCUUUCGGUGAUUCGUGCGCCAAACCGCGGCCUCAGUCCACUUGAUUAACCGGGUAGCAUCUCCUGUUCUGUCGUCACAAGUAAGAGGCCGAGAGUCCGAUUCUCUUAUUAUGAUGAAAUUGAUCAUAGCUGACUUUUUUUUCUUUGACUUCGAACAUCAUGUACUGAUUUAGGUUGAGUCUAGUUACAAAUUUGGGUUCGAAAUGGCUUUGAUCUGUUCCACAACCGAUUCACCAUAAUCUGUUCGAUGAAAUGUGUCUGAGACCUUGGUGUGAAUUGAUUCCAGUAAUCGUCCGAUUUGAAAGCACAUUAGUGAUGUUCAC
rnacentral:lncRNA from 1 species